UGAAGUUUCACAUACUGUGUGUCCACUUCUGACCAAUCAGAUUUCGUGUUUUUGCGACGUCAGAUUCACCGGUUUAUCCAACAUGGCCGACCGGCUGAUUGUUUACAUGUCGGAGAACAGAGAGCUUUUUGAUAAAAAACACAAAUAUUGCAAAGAUAACGACCUGAAGGACAACUUGUGGAGAGUCAUAGCGUCUGAUUUCUCAUAUGACGAUGGUUUGUGUGCUUUAACAGUUUGCUAAACGUCUUUGUUUUAACUUUCAUCUGUGCUAAGUAACUUUAGCUCGUAAGCUAACCUGUUCAGAUACAACAUACCAUAUGUAUUUUCACAGUCUCAAACUCAAUCACAGCGCCAGUAGGUCUCAGUUGUUACCUUACGUCUAUGGAUUAUAGUUUAAUGUUCUUAUCUGGUACUGGCCCCGACUCAGUACAUGCUAUCAUGACAGACAGACAUCUCAACACUAGUGUCUAAUCAGAACUGUGUCAGAGUCUUCUCGCUUCCACCCGGGACGCGUCUUUUUUCCCUCGGAAAGUCACAAAAUCGCAUCGGGCCUGAUGUGUAUAGUCAGGUGCGUCAAAAUUCACCUCUGAAUAUUCUGUAAUUUCGGGUCGUAUAUUUGCGUCGUUCCCGGUGUGUAAGGACCUUUCGGCCUUAAGUGUCUCAGUUAGGGUUAGGGCUGCUUUAAAUCAACCUAAAUAGUGUGGAGGUGAACUAUGCGCUCUUUCACACAGAAAAUGAAAUGUACCUGGUUUCCAAAGAGAAUGUCAAAUUUUUGAUCCAUGUUUUAUUUUAUUUUUUUCACUUCCUUGUCCAAAAAACUGGAUUACAGUUCAUCUCUUUUUUAGAGACAUGCUGUUGUAAAAAGAGUCAAAUGUGGUUCAGCAUUGUCUUAAUUUGAAAUCAAAAGUCCUCAGAAAAAAGUCAUUUUGCAACAAAACAUAACUAUUUUUCAUCUAGGAUUAAUGAUUCCAUCCUUGAUAUACAUCACAGAUGCUUGCUUUGAAACUAGAUGGCCUCACUCCUGAUGAUGCGGUAACCAUGGUUUCUAAAAAGGAUGUCGCUUCAGUCAAUCUUUAACAAAAAUUUUUAAUCACAGACAUGAACAUCUGUUUUGAACAUCUACUUUUAACAGCUCCAGCCUCUCUUGGAUGCCUCUCUUUGUAACACAGUCAUCUCCUUUGGUUGCUUUUAGAAUAAUUGUCCAAAACUUUUUACAAAUAUUUUGCUUGUAUCAAAUCAAAGCAUCACAUCUUUUUAGAAAGAGGGGUUUGUGAUCUAAAAGUUCACUAAAUUUAGAUUAAAGGCCGACGGUGGCUGGGAACUUUUAAUAAUAUGCUACUCAUGUUAAUACAAAAGGAAUAAAUGUACAUUUAAUACAAAACAAAGCCCAUUUCCACAGCUUAUUUUGGAGAUCAAUGCACUUUUCCUCAUGUUUGGGUACAAAAUUCCACUGGGAUUGCUUUGUUUUAAUGAACAGUUUCUAUAAAAGAGUUGCUGUUUUAUUGUAAUAGAGGUCAUAAAUCGCAGCAUUAUCAGCGGCUGCACACCCCUUUUCCUGGACUGUAAAAGCUGAAAUAAACUCCUCAUUGUAAAGGUGUGAAAUAAAUUAAAAGGCCACAUCCACCAGAGACUGUUUCUCACCCAAUAUUUCGUUCGAGCUUUCCAGUCCUUCUAGAGGAAUUCAAACAACCGACACUGAAAUAUCAACACUUGGAAAUUAUCUUUGAACCACAUCAUGCCUGAAACAGCUAUUUCCUGAAAUCUACUUGGUUUUCUUUUCUUCCUCCAGCAGAUUAGUCACAGCGGGUGCGCGUUCUACUAACAUGCAGGAAUAAAGAAUAAGCUUUCCUGAUCUGGUAAAUCAAAGAGUUUCUGGGUUACUGAUCCUCGGGAAUCGCGUGCUUACACCUGAUGUAAUAAUGCGUGCAUGCAUAGCGUCCAUUCAUGGCUUUGUAGCGGCGGAGAGAUAAUCUCCCUCAGCCAUCGGCUUGCAUGUGCAACUCUGAGAGGUAAUACACUGUGUUUGUCUGCCAUUGUGCAGAAUUUCAGACUACGCCUGAGCAACAAUGUGGGAGCUCAUGCAGGGCGGAAAUCACGACACAAGAUAUUAUCAAGGUGUGCAUGAUCAAGGCUUUAUCUGUUCAAUCAGAAAAACGUGUGCAGCAGCGGCUUGAUUCAUAUUCGGGUGAUUAACGGCAGCUGGUCAGUUGUUGGUUUUUUCAUUUUUUGGGAACAAAAUCAUAAUGAAGGUCAGACCUCGGAGAGAAAAAGGAAGUCACGUUUUUUCCUGUGAUAGAUCAGGAGAUAUCUGCCAGUCCAAGGUUUGAAUUUGGGGUUUUAUCAAAUGACUUUUUCUCACUUUGCUCAAGAGCAUAAAUGAGAAAAACAAAUCGACUGACACGAAACAUCUGAUCACAAAUAAUAUCACAGAGAGAGGAGGAGAUGGCUGCUUGGUGUUAACAUGAUGUUGUUGUGUUUAAAACAAUUAAUGUGGAUCUUGUAAAUAUAGAAACACUGCGGCGACAACCGGGCGUGAUGGAAAUGAUGGAUGCACUGGCACUGCGGGAUGUGAAUAUGACAGCAAUGAGGUGUCACUCACUGAUGCUUUGAUUCAGUUGUGGGCCUCCUGCAGGAACAAAGAGUGCUCUCUUACCACUACUUCAUUUACAAAGAGCUUGAUCUCUGGGCUAGCUUAUACAUUUUCACCCAUUAGGUGCUUUGGAAUGACCAUUUUUGGGCGUGAAGAGGGCUGGAUAUGUGAAAGGUCCUCAAGUUGAUUUAUAAAGGUGACAAUAGCUGCGUUUAAAUAGGCAAAAAUAAUCUGUAUAAUGUCAUGUUAACAUGUUGAUAUGCGUUUCCGAAACGCAUCAUGAUAAAUAAAAAUGCGUCAUGUAAACAUGUCGAUUGGAAGAUUCCAAUCCAAUUCCACUCAAUCGGAAAGAAAUUGUAUUCUGAUCAGGAGGAGUUGUUAAUGCUGAUCCUUAUUCCAAAACGCGUCCAUGUCAAUACUUAUUCCGAUCGUGACUCUCUUACCUGACUUGAUCUUCACUCUCUAACCUUUGGCUUAUUUAUUGAUGCCAGUACAGUAGGUUUCGUUAUUAACACUCUAGCAUAAAACACAACCGCAGGUGUCAUGUCUGCUCCUCCGUUAACAUAAAAAGGCGUACAUACAGCGUAAUCAUGUCACAUCUGUAUGCUCAGUGCAACCUUUGACAGAACAAUAAAAUAAGUACGCAAGGGCGCCAUCUAGUGACAACAUUUAACAGUGGGUAAACUCCUGUGAGCCACGGCUGCGUUUGUUGGUUUGUUGACAGCACAGGCGUAAAUACAACUCUUCUUCUGUGGUUGUUUUAGUGAAAUUAGACAAGUCCGUGCAUGUCCAAAUGCCUCAACUGCACUACUGCCUGAUGGUCAUGUUUAUAGACUGUUUCUAUUUAUUCUUUAUUUAGUGUUAUUGUUACAGUAUUUGAAUUUGUAGAAUGUGAACUGUAGAAUGUGGAGAGUCAUAGCGUCGGAUUUCUCAUAUGACGAUGGUUUGUGUGCUUUAACAGUUUACUAAACGUCUUUGUUUUAACUUUCAUCUGUGCUAAGUAACUUUAGCUCGUAAGCUAACCUGUUCAGAUACAACAUACCAUAUGUAUUUUCACUGUCUCAAACUCAAUCACAGCACCAUUAGGUCUCGGUUGUUACCUUACGUCUAUGGAUUAUAGUUUAAUGUUCUUAUCUGGUACUGGCCCCGACUCAGUACAUGCUAUCAUGACAGACAGACAUCUCAACACUAGUGUCUAAUCAGAACUGUGUCAGAGUCUUCUCGCUUCCAAACAGGACGCGUCUUUUUUCCCUCGGAAAGUCGCAAAAUCGCAUCGGGCCUGAUGUGUAUAGUCAGGUGGGUCAAAAUUCGCCUCCAAAUAUUUUGUAAUUUCAUGUCGUAUAUUUGCGUUGUUCCUGGUGUGAAAGGACCUUUCGGCCUUAAGUGUCUCAGUUAGGGUUAGGGCUGCUUUAAAUUAACCUAAAUAGUGUGGAGGUGAACUAUGCGCUCUUUCACACAGAAAACGAAAUGUACCUGGUUUCCAAAGAGAAUGUCAAAUUUUUGAUCCAUGUUUUAUUUUUUUUUUCACUUCCUUGUCCAAAAAACUGGAUUACAGUUCAUCUCUUCUUUAGAGACAUGGUGUUGUAAAAAGAGUCAAAUGUGGUUCAGCAUUGUCUUAAUUUGAAAUCAAAAGUCCUCACUGGUGUUUCACUGGUGCUGUUUUUUUUUUCAAUUUCUCUCUGAGAUUAUUAAGUAUCUACAUAUCUACCAACGUACCUACGUAUCUACCUAUGUAUCUACCAACAUAUCUACCUACGUAUCUACCUAUCUACCUACCUACUCACCUUCUAAUCUGAAUAAGAAUUGGAGCAUGUAUACGCACAUCAUGAUCGGAUUAUUUGAUUUUGCACCCAUAUGAACAGUGGAUUCAGAUUAUCCAGUCCCUCAAAUUUUUAAUCAAAUCAAGAAAUUUGGUACAUGUACAUGUGGCUACUGUAAAAACCUGUGUAUCUGAAAUUCCUGAAUUAGUCUUUUUUACUUUAGGAAAUCAUACAUUUGAAAGAUUAUGCAUUGUGUAAAUAUAUAUAUAUAUAUAUAUAUAUACACACACAAUAUCUCCUUAAGUCAUCCCAGGCUGUUUCGUGAAUGUACACUGCAGUAUUGAGAAUGUGCUGUUCUGUUUGUUUUCAGCCUCCUAAUGUUUACCCAGGAAGAUAACACAUAAAUUGAAGCCAUUUCAUUAUCUUGGCAUAAUUAAAGUUCCUUUUUAAUGGAAAAAAAACCCAGGUCAGAUUAGUUCUGUUUUGGCGAUAGAGCUGCCUAUUAAGGCUAGAGUCACGGACUGUCUCUGAACCUCAGCAUAAUUUAAGAUUUCUGCUGCAUCCUUUGGGUUCGCAGAGACCUCAAAGUUGCUGUCUUUGAGGGUUUUUUCAUGAAAAAAAAAGGAUGAUUAGAGUAAAAAAGUAGUUCCUCCGUCACCUUUUUCCACUUUUUGAGCGUCUUUGAGAGUCGGUCAAACAAAGAGUUGCUUAACACUUGCAUACAUAAACAUGAGCUGAACCGAUCUUUGACGUCUUUGCCCUCUCUUUAGUCUCGCUUUCCUUAUUUUUUGAAGGGCUGCUCUCAUGCUAAUCUUGUGCACCUGUUGAGAGGUGCUGCCCCCUGCCACUCCCUAUCUUUCCGCAGAUGUCAACCCCCCGCCGACUCUGUCCCAGGAUAAAUGUCGUGCGGAAGCAUGACUUGGGGGACAAUACGCCCUUUUGCAUAACUUAAACCCAAGAUAAAGUUUCAGCUUUUUCCGUGUCUUCGUGCUCUUGUUAGGAAUUUGUUUGCAUCUUCAAACACUGGUUGAGGCUAUACCCCAGAUUUAAAAGCUGCCAAUGCUCGCUUCAUCUUGUUCUAUUUAUUCUUCUGACAUUCGUUAUACAAAUGCUCAUUCCGAAAAGCCUUACUUUGUUAUUAAGGAAUGCAGAAACACUACAUUUGAGAGUCUAAUCUGCUUAUUACCAUCAUUAAAAAUCUGUUUACUCUCCAAAAAACAUCCACUGUUGGAUUUUGCUUGAAAUACAGAUCCACUUUUUGGAUGCUUUCUUCUUUUUUAAUUCUCAAAAUAAUGAGACAGACUGUUAAUGUAGUCCAGAUGAUGCACUUUGUUGUGCGUUUUUUGGGCGACAAAUCACCGGGGAAACGAUUCUCUGUAUCUCCUGAAUCAGUUGAAUGACCCAUCUGUCUUUCAGUGUGCACUCCCAUCUUAUAUAAUUAGGGAGAAAUUGCCAAGAAAUCAGGUUGUGCACACUGCCAUAACAGAUAAUCCAGCGUCUUUUGAAAUGCAAUGAGGAAAAAAAACAAAGAAUGUGAGCUGCAGCGUGUAAGAUCUGGGGAUACUUAUACAAGGUCUUAUGAAUAAAAAGACAAAACACAUACACAUGUAAGCAGAUAAUAGAGAAGUAGAGGACGUAAACAAGAAUGCAAGGGAACAAUGGGCUAAAAGAAAAGAGAAUGAAUUGUGAGCGAGGAGGCGUAUAUGAAGGACAGAAGAUAAUGCAGUGAUGGAAUGCAAAUGACUUGAAUUCACCUCUCAUUGUCUUGAAUUUGCUGCUUACUUGUCAGCAAAUAACCAUGAAUCUUAAGUUUCAGGCUCAGCGAAUCGAUUCAGAUUUUGAUAGAAAUAUAUUAGUUCCAAGACCACUUGUUUAAAAGACAUCACUGUUUUAUACUAUAUUAAGUCAAAUAAACAGAAAUUUGACUUUCUUUUGUUCAAUGGCGGUGUUCCACAAGGUUCACAUCCGGGCCCCAUGACAUUCUCCAUUAAUUACUGACAUAGUUUAUAAUUGUAGCACCUGUUAUGCUAAUCUUUGUGCAGACCACAGUAAAUUACUGUAUACAGCUGAUAUGCACCAUAACAAAGGCUACGUUCACACUGCAGGUUAUGAUGCACAAUUCGGAUUUUUUGUUAAAUCCGAUCUUUUUGUGCGGUCGUUCACAUUACAACAACAAAUGCGGCAUCUACCGUGAACGGAAUGCGUCCGUGAAGUGAUGGCACGCCCACAAAGCACAAAUUGCUGUUUGUGUUGUCAAGUAAUGGUGACGUUUGUCGCAUAUUGAUGACAUAUAGGUGGGAUGAACGCGACCUGAGCGUCCACACUGUCACAUCGGAUACAUAUCCGAUUUAGAUCCACAUACAAAAGAGGCCUGGGUCGGAUUUGAAAAAAUUAGAAUUGCACUCUUCACACUUACAUAAAAAAAAUCAGAUAUGUGUCACAUAUGGUUAAAAAAUCGGAAUUGACCUUCAAUGUGAACAUAGCAGAGUUUGAAAAUGUUUGAUGUUUGAUUUAAAAAACUCUUGUGAACCUGAAACUGCUUUAUUUAGAACUUGACUUAAUUAUUGAAACAGAAUCAAGACAAAGUAAUGUUUGUCAAACAAAGGCAAGUAUUAUUCUAUUGUUUCAUCCACAAUCCAAUGUGAUAUAUAUGGUUAGCUUAGCUAUUAGCAUAGCCAGUUUGAAUGGGUUUUUAAUUAAAUUGUGAAAAAAACGCCAACAUUUUUUUUUUUUAUGCAACUAGUAUUUCUGCCAGGGACUAAUUAAAGCUCCUGUAAGCAGCUUUCUGUCAAUGUUGACUUUGGCGCCCCCCGUGGACAUUAUUAUGACUUGUAUCAUUUCUGGUUUUGGUCUCAUUUUUGCGACAGAUCUCCUGUUAUCUUUUAAAAGGCAAUAAAUGUGACUCAAGAAGAACAGUUGCUGUAGGUGAGACUGUGUUUCAGUGUACCUACCCCCUCAGACCAUUUACAGGCAUCAAAAACAAUCAUGCAGGAAGUGUUAAUCCUUUCAUUUAUGGUUUUCUUUGCUUUUGUACAUCAACGAGAUACAUCACUAUUUAUUUUCAACUAUUUCAUCACUGAUCAAAAACUCCUAACAGGAGCUUUAAACUGCAUUACGUUUAUACUAUAACAAGCAUUAAACACGAGCUAUUAUUUGCUGUUGUGUUGUAAACUAAUAGGAAAAAGAAAAAGUGAGGCAAAGUGAAACUUUUCUUUCUCAGCGACUGUGGCAAAGGAUUACAAACAAUUUGAUACAAAUGGAUUGGACUGUACAUAUUUAACUUUGUUUUGUACAAAUGUUGUCGAGAUAAUUUGAAGACAAUGACAAAUGUUUAGUUUCCCUACAUGCAGAUAGAGCUUAAUCAAUUCAAGUGAUUUUUCCUUUUUCAAUCCAGAAGAUGAUAAAUUUCAAACGUCAUCAAAGGCCAAAAUCGUUCAUCAUUCACCACAGAGCCCCGAGUCACUGUGUGUUUUCUUUGUUAUCAAUGUAAAGCAAGUUUCUUUGUCAUUUCUGAGAUAAGAUGAGGCGCGAUAAAUCUGUUUUUGUAGCUAAUAAAGCAAACUGUUUCUGGUGCAAUGUUUUGCAGCCUCAUCUCAUCAUUUUCGCCUGAGAUGACAUCCUGCUGUUUACCAUUUCUGCCCAUUAUUUACAAGUCAGUGUUUGGACUAUAAAUUGUGCUUCUCUCCGGGCCCCCACUGACCUCCACACAAGAUGAAAGAACCUUCAAGAUUCUUCAGUUUGUGUCUGCGUGGGCACUCUGUCUCGCAGAUACUUUUGUCAUCAUUACUGUUCAGCAGGAUCACAUCGGUCAGAAGCAGAGGGACCCACACUUUUUACUGAUCUGUCCAGGGAGGCAGCGUAAGUCUGUCUCAAUCAAUGCGUGGACAUAGACACAGUGAGAACUCGGAAAAGGCGGAAAAUACACUAAAACCUCUGAUUAAAUGUCUGUUAAAAUACUCAGAAAAUCACUGAUUGGGUACCAAUUAGAGAGAAAAUGGAGCCGCAUUUCUGAGGCAGGUCUAAUAAUUUAAAAUGUAUUAAGAAACCAGGCCUGACAGUUUUUGCCCUUUCUAAACUCUGCAAAUUAUAGCUUACUAAUCAUUUAUCAAUGCAGAUAGUCUGUAUCACUUUUUCUUUCAUUUUUCAACUUGAAAAUGGGGUUUAGAAAAAAAAAAAAAAGUAUUUUUAGCAAAAGUUUUAAAAGCCAAGAUGAAAAUGGGAAAUAUCUUAAUAUCCAAUCUUGUCUUCCAAUCAAAAAUGGAAAUAAACUUGUUUUUUCAGCAUAACACAAUUCCAUGUGUCAUCACUCUUGGUUAUUUUGCUGAUAAUCUGACUCACUGUGUGAAGACAUAGAGCAAGAUCUGGCAAUAUUUUAAGUUAUAAAACAUAUUUGACAGCCCAUUAGCUAUCAGAACAAAGCUUGUGUAACCUGAGUAUUGAGCCACAACCACACGAACAAUAUAAAAGUUUAACUCUUUGAUUAAAACACAUGGUAGUUGCAAAGAAAAAACAGUUCAGCUGGAUCAUUCUUAAGCAUGUGUUUGACUGGGCAUUCUUGAGUGAGCACAAUUCCUAUCCAAUGAUACCUUCAUAAUCAACCUUAUAGCUGUACACCUGCACCUACUCUGUAAUUAAGGCGCAUACCAGAGAGCCUGUUGGUACCAAUUUUUGCUGUCUUGUUUUAGAGUUACCUUGGGUCCCUCUUGGGACUAGAUAAAGCAUGAGUACAGUACGCAGGUUGGACUAGUUAAUUGGUCAUAGGAAGAGCUUUCCAAACUGGAAAUUUAUCAGAUACAGAGUUAUGGUGUACUGGGACAUUUUCUUUUGGAAUCCCAGUACCGCCAGAACCGUUUCUUGGCCUCUCCACAUUAGCGCCUCUUGCUGAUUUAUUCUUGCACCCAAUACCAAACACCUACUGUGAGGGAGCUCACAUCCCCCUCACUGAGGUAGAAAAACCAUACACUGAUGCAUAUUGACUUUUAAGAUCAACUUCAUCUAAUACAGGAAGGUGUUUUUUUGUUUUUGGUGUCACAUUUUUUAGCCCGAUACCAGACAUCAAAACGUGUUGUGUCUAUGCAAUGACUCGUCGAUCUGGCGGCAUUUGAUUCUCAUCACGGCACUGUAAAUACAUCAAAGGUGUGUUGUCCUGGUUUUGCUUAAAUGAAAGAAGUUGCAAUCUUCGCUAAACAUGUUAACUGAUGGCGUCUGCAUGGUGUGGUCUUCUUUCCCUUGUCCCGACAGUUUGACAACUACAGUGUCACUGCUCUCCACUAUUGCGCCAUCUGCCCAGGCGCUUCGCAUUGUGGGUAACUGUAGGUGAAGCAGACUUGUCCGAUGCAUACUGUGAAAUUUUCCCGAAUCAGAAUGUCAUCCUGGUAUUUUUGGCAUACUGCAAAUUUGGCAUUUGUUCACCUCCUGCAUACAGCAUACUACUAAAUUACUAAAUAGACAUACUAAGUUUUGUGUCUCUUAUGCUGGCCUGCUGCCGUAAUUAAGGGCGAUCAGCUACACCUGCUGCAAUUAGGGGAAUCAGCUACACCUGCUGCAAUUAGGGGAAUCAGCUACACCUGGGGGGUGUGGCUGUGUCUACCAGGAGUAUUUUGCUGCAUGUGGUUGAGACUCAGUAGAGUUUUGUGUGUCAAGUGUCAGUAAAAAGAUACCAGCCAGAGCUUUGGAACCUGUUGAAACCUAAUGGUAAAUGAUGUAGGAGUAUGGAGAUGUGGGGAAGUUCUUUUACGUGUCACUUUGCUAAAUUUGCUAAAUUCACUCCUAGAGAACCGACAGAGCACUCGCAUCUAAAUCUUCUCCUCAUACAAUUGUAUGCCAUAUCUCUAAUAUACUUAAAGGUAUUUCCAGUUUGUAUUUGAGGUUUUACCCAAAGCUUGUCUCAGCAAAGAGAGUUUAGUAAUAGAGGUGCUCCGCUUUGUCUUCCAUCGAGGGCAUAGUCAACAUUCAGCCGCGGCUCCCGCCAAGGACUAGUCUGAAUUGCCCCCUUCAAAGUCAAUACUACAAAACUAAGUGUAUCAAAAAAGACUGACAAGAAAAGGGUCCUCCUUCAGCCAAAAGACACUUCUUAUGGCGAAAUUUUGGAGGACACAGCUGGAGAGUUCUUUGCAGUUUUGAGUUUCCCAAACACAGUUAUGGACCCUGUCAUUGUGAUAACUCAUAGCCUGAAGUGAGUGCUUUCAUUUGUAGAGCACUUUUUUUUUGAGAUCAGAAUUUAAGAAUCAGAUUUAAAACACUGCAUAGACACUUUUUUAAAUGCAACUUGGCUUUUCAAUGAAAUGAGGAAAUAAGGAAAAGGCAAGGUCAGAAAUCAAGUUGUAUUCUAAAUCGGAUAUGUUGCCUUUGGGAAGAAAAAAAAAAGUUUAGGUUAAACACUUCCCAUUGUGUGCCUUGUUAAAGUUUUAUUAUUGGCAUUUAAGAUUAAUAGAAAAAAAUUGUCUUUUUUUGCCACGCAAGGUAAUUUGAGAAUUUGAAUAUUUUAAGGUUUCAAUAAGUGUGCAUAAUCAUUUAAAGUCAAUUUGAAUGAACAGUGAGGCAGAAAUUAGCCCUGCUUUUGACACACAGUGGUGUCUUAUAUUCCAAAAUACCAUCCAAAUACAGUAUAUAAAGAAUUAACGCCAAAAAUAUAACCCGAAUCUUUUCAGCUGUUACAAAACUGACUAAGAAACCUUUGCAAGGCCAACAGAAUAGGACCCAGUACUGAGCCCUGUGGCACACCACCACCAAUAGGUCAAAAGUUGUACACCACUUUUUAUGUGGUUUUAAAUUCGCAUAUUACGAAGUUGGAAUAAAAUCAUGCAAGUUUGCUCAAGUUGGAGCAUGAGGUCUUGGUUUCUUGGCAAAAGGUGGUCUUGGAUCCUUCAUCUAGACUGAUAGGAGCACUCUUGCCAGUCUUGUACUUGGUGGAUCUGUUGCCAUUGACUUGCUGCCAGCUACUUUAGAGCUCUAGUGGGGUAAGGUCAAGGCUUUUAUGGACCUGGUCUGAUAAAAGGUAGGGGUGCCUACACUAUGUUAGAGGACACUGGUAGAUGGAUUUGAUAUGGAGCUGCAGUGGCUUUAAAUGAGUCCAGAAAUGCGGUACUAUUAAUUGUUUCAGAACUUUUUUCCAAAAAGAUUUUUCCCUCAGCAAUGACUGUCUUAGGAGUUGGAUUUAAAGGACAUCUUGGAACUAGGUCAGUUGUUUUGGGGGCAGUGAAAGGGUAAAAACUGAUCAACCAGUUGUUUGAAAUAAAUGAGGACACGAGUUACUAAAGAAUUGUUGAUACUUGGACCCCCACAAGGACCCACAGAGCCAGUAAUAUCUUUAAACAAGGAUGUGGGGAAGAUUUCAAGGGGCUGGAAGAACUUUUUAUACCAAACAUUCCUCUGAAGUCUUCAUAAGCACAGUCCUUCAAAAGGAGAGGGCCCUGAAAUGGGACAUAACUGAAGUAGAUCACUUCUUAAGAUGUUUGAAAAGCAGCAGAGAGACCAGAGUCACUGCUAUGCUGGAUAUAAUUAUACAACACAAGAUCGGGGGGCAUCAGUUACUCAUGCGGACAAAAAAUAACUCGCACAGAUGUGACAGAGGUGGCGGGUUCAGUUUCCCAAAACGGUCGGGAAAUGAGCUAAUGAGGAAAACGUUCCCCGAUGUCCAGAGUCCUCCUGCUGAAAUGCCCUUGAGCAAGACAAUUAAUCCCCAGCAGCUCCAAAAGGAAUUCCUGUGAGGCUAAUAGUGAAAGAGCGUGGUCAUGCUGGGCAGCUCCCAGGUGUGAAUGUGUGUAAGUGUAUGAAAGUGGAGCCAUUCUCAAAAAGAAAAAAAAAAAAAAAAGGGAGCUUGCAUGCUCAGUGAACCUUCCCGGGAUAAGUGAAGGUUAGAAAAAUCUAUUUAAGGUUUUUGACGAGGCGGCGAGUGGGACCAAAGUUGGUGGGGGGAAGUGUAGGUCACAGUAUGCCAGCAGAAAAGUCAACACAGCUAGUCCUGCCAUUUGAGAUUUAUGUAAAGUAAGUUCUGCGAAUCCACAAAAGGUGUCACUCCAAUCAACAUCAAGCUAUUUCAGAGUCGUUUCAAGAGUUGAGAUGGAUGAGACUCUAAAGCGAAACACACUUAAUUUCACCUUUGCGCAGUUAUAUUCGGCUUUUACAAGGUCAAUUACAACCAGACACUGCAGCACAUCCAUUCAUUCAAAGGGAAGAGGCGAAGGGGCUUCGAGAAUGACACGAGUUGUGAUUCGGAGUGACGCAGGAGUGAAUUAGGAAAGCCAGAGGGCAAGUAGAUGACACACGCGACGUAAAACAUACGUGUCAGCCGCAAUCUGCUUCAACUUACUAUUUUUUUUUUAACCCAAUGAGGCCAGUUGUGUUGGGAGAAUCCAAAAGGUGGAAAGUGCUUGAGUACUUGGAAACUACUUCGUCACAUAGUUCAGAAAUGUUAACUCACUGGACUUGACAGAUAUAUUAAAAUGUUGUUUAUCACUGUAGAUAGAGUAAUUGAUUAGAUUAGCCAUUUUAAUCCCACUCAAUGUCCACUUUUCACCACACGACCAAAAGCUUUGUGGGGUUUUUGGCUGGUUUCACAUGCAGAUGAACGUCAGAUAAAGAUAGCAGCCUAAGUUUUCUCCGGAAAAAUGCCACAGUGGUCAAAAUAUGAAGUUUGUUCCUUUAAAUUGCAUAUAAAUAAAUCAGAUAUAAAGAAGUGUUAUUAUGAAUCUGUUAAACUGGAUUUUUCUACUUUCACCUUAACGUCCUCCGUCACAUAGACAACUAUCAGCAAUAACAAAUGCUGUAAGGCUAACAUUACUUCUCUUCAGAGCAAAAAGGCGACUCCCAUAUCGGCCAACAGAGGAGGACUUAAACUUCAACCACAACAAAAUCCACAAAAAGUUCCAGCUUGCACCACGCUAAAUCACAAGACUGUUUGUGCUGCCUUUGCGGAUGAAAAUAUGGGUUAAGGAAGUUGAACUUUAUAAAGUCACCUAUUACAUAUGCAUGAUGAAUACACUGUAUGGUGAAAUGAUAAUCCCACAUGUCUGGAAACACUGGUUAAUUACAAAAUUUUGCAUGCUGUUUCUUAUUACAAGAUCCAAUAAAAUAAUCAAUUAACUGAAGAUUAGAACUUCAAAAGGGAGUAUUUGAACGCCACUUUUGGCUAAGUGGACUAGUGUUGUGUCGUUCAUGAACGUUUCGUUCAAAAGAACAGAACUGCUGAGUGAACAACGUGAAUGGAAUCACUCCGAGACCUGAUUGGUUCCUUUCUCAGUUCAGUUGAGCUUAGCCACGAGCCUGGCGUGCUGGUCAGGAGUGGAAGCUGCCUUUGACUCUUUGGCGAACCACACACAGCCAGCCAGGGAGCAGGCGGAUGAACAAUAUGUAUCAGUCAGACUGUGAAUGAAAUGAAUGACUUCCGAAUAACUUGGGGCAGGCAGAGGAGCACCGGUUUGUUCACUGAGGCUAAGCUAAAACAGUGCAUUUUUGUGCCUUUACAUUAAUACACGUGUAUAACCUUUCCUGCAUUCAGCCGAUUUGAAGCAAUACACUAUUUGAUAUCUUUAAAAGUAGCAGAAUCCCCGCUACAGCUGCGGUGUUUAUAUUUAUUUAAUCUCUCCACAUUUCCACGAUAUAAAAGAACGAUGACUGAUGCUCGUUUAGCGGGCGUGCUGCUUGCUGCUGUGUUGUUUCCGCCGACCGCAACACAAAGAGAGGUGACUUCUUCAGGGCAAGGGAGUGAUUCUUCCUUCAGGACUUGGCAAAUGAAAGACGUGUGUCACCCAGUGAACGAUACUGUGACUUCAGCAGCAGGGGAUGGGAGGGGCUCGUUCAAUGAACAAACUCACAGCUGUGUCACUCACUCGCAUACUGCACCGGCAGGACGGGGCUCCGAAGCACUGACUGACUCAGUGAACGAAUCUUUUGAAUGAAUUGUUUUAAUGAACGGAUUCUAAAGAUUCAGUACAGUCCAAAGAACUGUUCUUCCCAUCACUGGAACCAACGCUAAGUUUUGCCCCUUCUGGAUAGAUUCGUCAAGGGGCAAACAAAGAUUUGUGUCAAAAGAUGUAAUUCUUUUCAGAGCCCCUUUCUUCUCUGCAACUGACAAAUACUCCACCACAGGACUUUAAAAGUCAUUCUUCUAAUAAAAGAAAACCAGGUUUUUGUUGUCCCUGCGCCUCUGCGAGGGACUUCCUGCACGAGCUUGUUGACUGAGCGCAAACACAAACCAUCAAUCCUACUAUUUUUUCCCCCCAAAUAUAAACUGGCGUAAAGCUGACAGCCGCUAUCCGCCGUGCAGUGGUAGAUCCACGCCGGAGAGCAAACUAGUUUGUUGCCCUCUGUAAUGAUUUUGUCGACUCAUGCGAGUACAGCAUCAGCCAGGACCAUUGCCCCCAAACCCAACAACCCCGACUUAAUGCCAAGUACUCCUCAUUGCUUCUGUUUUUCCCUCCCCGCCCCCCUUCGAGUUAUCGCUGUCACAGAGUGAAAAAUAAUCAAAGUCUGGAAACCGUUCAGGAAUUUGUUGGCGGAUGAAAAAAAACAGACAUGUAUUCCACCCCCCUCUUUCAGCAUUUCUCUCCCUCUCUCUGUGUUUUCCCCCAGCAGUAAGAGUAAAAUUAUAAAUCACCUCCCCGCAGACAAAAUUUCAUGCUCGAUGGGUGAACAACUCCAGCAUCUGGUGGGGUCCUGUGAUGAGGUGUGUUCCAAGUUUCUCCCUCUCCCUGCUUCCCCUGGGCUGAUGCAGAGCACAGCCAGCAUCCUGCCAAAUGUUACUCGCAUGCAGCUGAAGUGAUAAGACAAAAAAAAAAAAAAAAAGGCAGAUUAAUAUUUAGCAGGGCCGCGCUUUUUUCGUUUUAAACCUGCUCUGCGGUUUCCAUGAGGAAUCUCCGUGGUGGAUUCGUGUCACAUCACAAAGUGUGUGCACACCUGAAGCAGACUCUCUUCAGUGGGUACACAUGAGAGUGUGGAGGGCGUCCAAACAUACCUUGUAUCUCUUAACAACAAGCCCGGAGCCAGUGGUCGGCCCCGCUGGGCUGAAAUGCAUCAUAUCAGUGAUGCUGCAGUAACCUUGGGAGGAGAGGAGAUGAACUUGUUUUUAAAGCAUCGAAUCCAGGAAGAGAGGGAAACGUUUUAUCCUUGAAUUCACUUUUAAACACUUAGACAAAAAAAACGGCACGAAACCUCAGCAGAUCGUCUUUGGAGGUAUUUUUAACCUGCCUGGUGGGACAUGUGAAGUCAGGCCAAAUUUAGAUUUUCUCUUUUUUUUUUAUAAUAAUUGGAUUUGCUUGUACUAUCUCUGGUUCUGACAUGACAAAAGUGGGGAUGUGCGCCUUCAGUCAACCCAUUAAUUAAAAGUGUGAGCAGCAAAGUCACUUAAACAAAUAUUAGAGUUUUAUUACUGAGGGUCAUCUGGUUUAAUAGAGGGAUCCAAUUUUUCUGGUUUCUUCAUGUUUUUAUCAGUUAGCCGACAUUAGACAUUACUUAAAGGUGCAGUUCAUAGAAUUUAGCAGCAUUUAGCUGAACCUACUUGGUUAAAAUUAGAUACAUUAUUGGUAUGUUUGAAUUUGUUUUGUUUUUGUUUAAUUGGGUAGCGAAUCAUCACUGUAUUUAUUAUUUAUGUCAUUCGAUGGUCAGGUAGCGAUGAGUGUACCCACUCCUGGAUCAAAUGGCAAGUUAAUCAUUUGUAUGCAGCCUGAUAAUCUUUCCAUUUUGACGUUUAAGGGCUAAUUGCUGUUGGAAUAUGAACAUUUUCCCCCGAAGUCCAAAUAAAGACAUACAUUUUGAAUAAAAAGUGCUAGACUUAGGCAGCCAUCUUGCACUGCCAUGAUUCUACGGUAACUAAAAAAACCUGACAUCUAACUUGUAUUAAGUGAAUGGCAAAGCAGAAUGCACUGGUAGGAAGAUAAAUAAGAUGAGAGUAGUUGUUGUGCACAAAGCAAAUGUUUGUGAUCUUGACAAAUGGAGACUCAUGCUGAACAUGCAUCAAGGAGUUUCAUGUCCUCUUAAAGGGAUAUUCUGGUGUAAAAUUAAUUUAGGGUCAAACACACCGCAACACCGAGUUAGACACCCCCUCAAGAGAUGAAUGUUGCCAACUGCUUGCUUCUCUAGUUAUACCAACUUUAGUAAUGACCACACAAGAGCAAUACACAGCGGUCUGAGGAGCCAUGAACAAACCUCAACCAAAACGCACCUCUAUAGCCACAAAUAAUGCUCAGAACAGCACCUAACUUCAUCAACAGUACAUAUAGGGUCCUAGCCAAAGCACUAGCCACCAAACAUCUUUUUAGCUUUGCCUAAUUUCCUUAGUAAAGGGACUAAACACAACUCACCUACUCUCUUCCAACAGCCUCUUGUUUGUAGAGAGACCUUGGGCAAAUCCACUAUGGACUGCUUCGGGGUGACGCAGCCCAAGGAAGAACAUUUACGAUCAUUUCUUCAUGGAAAUGCUAUCAGACCGAGAUGCUUAGGCAGAAGAACUACCGCGUCUGCUUAUUACUUCAAGGAAAUGAUGAAGUAAUGAUCAUAAAUGUUCUUCCUUGAGCUGCGUGACCCCGAAGCAGUCCAUAAUGGACUGGCCUGAGGUCUCGCUACAAACAAGUGGCUGCUGGAAGAGAGUAGGUGAGUUGUGUUUAGUCUCUUUGCUAAAGUAAUUAGGCAAAGUUAAAUAGAUGUUUGGUGGCUAGUGCUAUGGCUAGGACCCUAUAUGUACUGUUGAUAAAUUUAGAUGCUGUUCUGAACAACACAGGGGGGCAAGGGAGCAUUUCAAUCUGAAAUCUGACCUAGAUAUGCCUCAAUACAGCCAUUUCUACACUCUAGUGACUGCUACACAAAUAGCAUUGGACUAUAAUAUGCCUGAUUUGUCACCAUUGUUUUUCUGGAAGCUUCCAGCAGACCAGGACAUGAUGAGUCCCUGCAGAUGAGGCACAUUGUUUCACAUCGGCCAUAUUGAAAAAUGCUACCAUAACACAGCUUGGAAAUUGUUUGCAUGCUCAAUUUAAGAUCAUAUCUGUAUGUACACAUAAUGUAUGUAUGAGGCUUAGCGUAUGUGAUGGAAUUGCCCUGGCUGGAUAUCUGCUGCCUCAUCCAAACAGGAUAAAAGAACACGAGAAAAAGUAAAAUUCAUUCAGGAAAAGACAAAAAAGGCUCAUUAUUUGGAGUCUUACUACACCUGGAUGAGCCUCCUUGGAGGUGUCUUGACAGUGGGAACUACUUCCUUGUUGAAACAAAGCGAAUUCUUCCACAAAAUAAAUCCGACUUUGCCUGCGCAAAGACAAGACUAAAACCCCCGACCCCACCUGUUGGCGCGCUGGGUGUCAUGGCAGACAUCAUUAAGCUCAGGGGUCCUUCAUGUUUUUUUUUACUGGAGCUUGUUAAAGAGCUGAGAAAGUGCUGCAAUGCAGGAGAAAAUAAUUUGGCUGUGAAUUUAAUUCCCAGGCUGCAAGACCAACAUUUUGGAUAAAUUAGCUGCUUAAGCUUCACUGCUUUUGUAUGUUAGUAAUGUGGGAACAGAUGGCAUAUUUUACUACUUUACCAGGAGGAGGGUUGUUGAUAUCUAAAUCUUUCAGAUGGGGACUGUUUUCCCCAAGUUGAAACGAAAAGCAGACAGAAAAGUCUGUCACUUUUUUGGUUUUCUUUGUGAAUAUGUUAAUUCUUUUUUGAUCUGUGUAAUUAACACUUUCACCAGACACAGAUAGUUCGUACAAAACUUAAUUAGUGUGUCUUUAACAGAAUGAUAGAUAAUAUGCAAAACAGUCUAAACAGGUGGGUUUGAGUCACUGACUUGGCCCGUUCUGCCCUCUUUCCAGUCACUCUCUACAGAGCUGACCCGCUGUUCCUGUGCCACUUAAUAACCUUUAUGUUGUCAUGGCAUAUGUCCCCCAUAUUUGGGGGUGGACCCAAGUUAUAGGGCACUGUCAGUCCCAGGUAGCAUCAACAGAGCAAGUCAGUAGGCGGAGCUUGUAAUGGCAUUUUCUGCUCUUACGAUGUGCACUAACUCCCCCCCUAAGAGGAUAUUUGAGCAGCUAAUCAGUGCAGUAGCUUGUCAUCAUCACAGAAAACCCCGCCCACUCAGAUCACCGCAUAGAUAAUGAGGUUGGAAACUAAGAGGCUGCAGAUUCUCUGAAUGAAUAGGACCUGUAGCAAUUCUGCUAAACUCAGUGCAAUAAACUGAUUUAGGAAACAUUAUUUGCCAUGAAAAAUACUCUUGGAUAUUAAAAAUGUAUUUGUGAAAGAGCAUGCAAAUAUCCUCCAAGUUGGCCCGGGGUUGUUUUGGGAUAAUUACAGCUGAAGUUCGUUUUCGCUCUGAAAUAAAAUAAGAAAGUAGGAAAUCUGAUGGGUUUUUAAUGCUUUUUUGCUCAUUCUUGCUCUUGCACAUCUUCAAGGGCAGGAGAGCUUGCAGAUACUAAAAUGACUUACUGUUCUUCUAAACGGAUAGGAAAGCAACACAAGAAGAAAAAUCUAUAACAAUUUAGGAAAAGUCAGGGGAGAAUUUUUUUUGUAGUUUUAUUUUAACCAAGUUUCUAAAUCACAGAAAUUAAAAAACAGCAUCUGCCUUGAUGGAUCUGGAGGUAAAAACUUUCCCUAUUCUUUCAUUCUGCACAGUCACCCAACCAUAUGUCGGUGGAUGAAGAGACCAAACGCUGACAACAAUAAAGUAAACAAGUCCGUUGUUGUAGCAGCAACUUUUGGCACCGACAUAUGCUCGCCUAACAGGGAAAACAGCUUUUCUCACAAGCGGAGGCAUAUGGCCGGCUCGUGUUCCGACAACAAGAUGCCGUGUCACCUUGCUCGCCACCUGUAGCCGAUGACCAGCAGAGAGGGAGGAGAAAUUUUAAGGUGAGGCACGCGUACACAAGCAGACAUACAUAUUUGCCUCCGUCCCUAUUAUCCCAAAGGCCAUAUGCUUAUCUUGUUGACCUAUUCGGUGUCCGACGGCAUGUCAUACACUCUGUCACCAUGACCAGGCAGGCGUGAAAAAGAAACCGGAGGGGGUCAAGAACACAAAAGCCUCUUAAAAAAAAAAAAAACAUGGCGGCAGCCUCAGAGUCCUUCCUCUCCCCUGCUCUCCCCUCUUCUCCUUUCUUUUCUGAUGCCGCGCACGUCCCGACGAGCGACAGCGAUUUGCAUGAUGUGAUCGGCCUCUGCCUUCCUGCAGCUCUUUAGAAGUGUGUGCGCGCUGGCGUCUGCAUGUGCCUGUCUCUAUUUGAGUGUGUUUGUAAGUGUUAAUGUGCGCAGGCUGACUGCCAGCCAGCUUAAGCUGCAAGGGAGGGUAUAAGGGAAAAAAAUAAUAAUAAAAGAGGGCUUUGAGCCUGUACCGAUCUUGCAGAGCAAUCAGGGAAAUAUGCUCAAAUACGUGACAGGCAGAGUGCGCCACUUGGCAUGCAUGUUUAAUUCUGUCUGAGGUUUGGGUGUUGUAGCUCUGCUGAGUUAAGGUGAGCUGUUUGUUGGGAUGUAACUAGGCCAGAUAGCGCACACACAUGCACACACGCUUGGGCGCGCACAAACACACACUUCGCUCUUGACUCAUCAAAAGAGGCGAGAUCUCAUCAGCAGCGAGCCUGGUUCGCACUGACGAAUAUUCAAGGACAUUUUGCAGACAUCAAACAGAAAAAUAUCCAAAAGGGAAAAAUUUAUAAAAGUGAGGCUGAGUUAUUCCUUAAAUUCCACCUUAAGUGUUCUGAGCAUGUCUGCCUCGUGUACUUAUUUUUUCCUCCGCUGCUGUUUUUUCCGUUGAAUUAUGAAAGCAAGUGAGCUGAAACACUUUCGCCACUUUCCCCAAUUUCUCUUUGGGCAUGAAAAAUGUAAUCACAAGCAAGGCUGCGUAUUUUUUUCAUAUAUUUUUUUCGCCUCGCUUUGAGUAAAUUAUGAUCAGAAUCACUAAAAAGCCAAUUACUUUUGUGAUACAUGGAGAAGGCAGCGUGUUAACAGCGCUACAUGCGUGCCAAAACUGGCGUGUGCGGUAGAAAUCAGUGUGGGGAUAGGUAAUGAGGGGGAGCCCUUAGAACAAUCAGUCCAGCUUUCACCGGCGAUCAUUAGACUGAAUGAAUUUGACGUAUGAGGCGUCGGGUGGGAGGGAAAUCACCGCUUAAGGUGCUGAAUGAACAUGUGAGGUAUUUGCACGCUACUCUCAUUUUUUCAUGUGUGAAUGAGCAUCCAUAUACACUAUUUUGGAGAACAUCCUCCUACACCCACAUUUGUAUUGAUCUGAAUUAAAAUCAUGCCUCUGGCGAGAAGCAUUUUCAAAACAGAAAAAUGAAGUAACAGCUACUGCAAGCUCUUAAAUCACUUGAACUCAGUGCCUUUUGGGCGCUUUUGGUGGUGUGCAAAUCAUUUCCUCUAUUUAAUUAAAACAGUGCAAAUACAGCAUGUGCUCCCUUUAACUUUGGCACCCGCAAUAUGCUUCAUAAAAGUUCGGACAAGGACUGUAAAACAUUGAAAUAGUGUUUUAAUAAAUAGUUCGUUUAAAACAGCACAGUAACAAUGAUUGGGCAUGCCAGGGUGGCUGAAUCACUCAGAAGUUUGGAUGGGAAGAGUUUCAGCAAACAGUUCAUCAAUUCUUGGAAAAUCAUGUAUUGUUGAAAAUUUGGGGAUUUAGAAGCAUUUUCAAAACAGAAAAAUGAAGUAACAGCUACUGCAAGCUCUUUAAAUCACUUGAUAAGUUGCAAUAGAUUCAAAACAGACAUAGCUGCUCUGUGGUGGAAAUCAUUGCAUGGGCUUAAAAUCUCUUUCAAAAUGUAUUAUCCGUCUAAAGUAGGGUGACCAUAUUCUGACUUCCCACAAAAAGGACAUGACUACGUGGGGGCGGAGUCAAGGAGUCGCACAAAGUUGAUUUUGAGAGUUUUCAGGUCGGAUCAAGUGUCUUUUAGAUGCUUCUAACUCAGUAAGUCCACAUGACACAAAAUUGAAACUUACGUACAAAACCGCAGACAUUUAAAAUAUUUUACAAACUUCCCCGGACAAAGCCGGUCAAACCCAGAUAGCCCCCCAAAAAGAGGACAUUUGGUCACCCUAGUCUAAAGAUCCUGUGACUUCUUUGGGUUCGCCUUUUUAAAGUACAUCAACCUGAGCAAGAUUAAAAGAUUCUUCGUGGAACGUCAUUGAGGAGAAACCUGGCACUGCAUUCAAAACUGCCAUGACUCUGAAGUCAAAAUCACUGCAUGCACUCAAAAACACUUGAAAACCUUCAUCUGUUGAUGUAUCCACAGAUGCAUGGUAAAACUGUUUGGGUUCAACUGGCUAAGGCACAGUGGAACACUAUACAGGGAUCUGAAGUUGUAAAUUCUGACAUCCCUUUUGGAAAUCAUGGACACAGUGUUUUCAGCCUCAAAGAGCACAGGAAAUACAAUAAUGUAGGGACGCACCGAUAUCUACAGUUUAAUAUCGGCCAAUACCGAUCCAAUUCCGAUACAGAAAAGCCGCACUGAAUUACCUUUUGUUGUAACCUGAAGUUUUACCAUCGCCCCUUGGAACAUUUACUGCACAGGCAUUGCAAGUGACCGUCCUCAGUGGCCUGAGGUAUUGCGAUAAAAUCCGAGAUAGCAGACCCCUUUGCUUGCUCCAUUUUGAAAACAACGUGGGCAUCCGCUCAGCGUGUUUACUUGUGGGUGCCACUCACAGCACAUAGUUAGUCUCAAUAGAUCGGCCCCUAUGCAUCGGGCCCAUUGUCACGAUAGCCGAUCUAGAAUUUCCUUCAGUAUCGGGACGGAUACGGAUAUCAAAUAUCGGAUGGGUGCCUGUUAAACCUGUUGAAUGCCAGUGGAAAACUACACAGCAGUUUUCAAGUAUUGAAAUUUUGACAUCCUUUUUGGAAAUUAUGGACAGGGCAUCCUCCAUCCUCAUUUUAAACGUGGGGAUAUGCUGUCUUUCUUUGCACUUUAUUCAAUUAAAAAUAUCAGCUUUCAAUUAGUUGCUUACUAUAAAAAAUAUUUUUUAGUGAAGGUCCUAACAGCAUCCUAGAUUUUUUUUUUUUUUUCUAGUUUUGGUGUGUUCUCCAUGAGGGAAUAAAUACAGGAGACAGUAAACGGCAAAUAAAAAGCAACAACUCACACAUCCGGCUGUCUUUGUUGGUUUGUCACUUUCGGCAGUAUAAUGAGGGAUUCCAGUCACAGGCAGCCAGCUUCUAAAGCGGGAUAACACUGAGACCGGGACAAGAAGGAUAGAAGAAGAGGAAAAGAAGACAGGAGAGGAUGAGAGAGGAAGAGGCAGGAAUAAGUGGGACGGUUCAGGAGGGCGAGGGAAAAAAAAAAACUCUGGAAUGAAAAAAUAAGGAGAGAUCAGUCUAGGGAGGGUGGAUCGAGGACAGAGGAGGGAAGAAGGAGCAGUGGAAGGAGGGUGGGGAGGUUGGGAGGGGGUGCCCGAGGGGGGUGCUGUGAGGUCAAGGUUCCAGUCUUUGGUGUGAGGUGGCCGCCAGCACGUGGCUGCGGCACGUUGCAGCUCUCAGACUCAGCGAGAGGAGUCACUGUAAAAAAAAAUGGAGCACAGAGCGAAGAGAGAGGAGUCCCCUGCUUGCUCUUUCCCUCUUUUUUUUCCCCCACCGUCACAGCCCCCCAGCCCCCCCAAAACUGGCACACAGUGAGCCAAUAGCUUAGGUUAGCUCUCUGGCACCGAAUCCUUUCUCCUCUAAUCGCUGGAGUUGAAGCAAAAAGGCAGGAAGAAAAAAGCUGACAGAGGGCCCGCAUGGCACGAGGACAUACAGCGUUAACAAGUAAUUAAGAAGAUACCACAUACAUAGUGUUCAUUCUGCUAAUUGAUUCACUGACUUAAUUGACUCCCAAUGAAUAUAUAAUGACAGCAGCUGUCAUAUUUUCAGUUUAAAUGAACUUGCGGAGCGGUUUUAUCUGGAAGUCGGUGCGGGUGGCAUUAUUAAAAUGCGUUAUUACAUCAUUCACUGGAGUAUUGUGACAGCAAUGUAAAGCUAAUCAUGUUUACUAAUGCUGUGUUUGCCAAGGCUGUAAGAAAGAGAUAGAGCGGGAGCACUCGGGCACUUAUUGCUUUUUUCAGUCGUUAUUCAGUUUUGUAUCGGAGCCAAGUGUUUGCCACUGUUUAGCGGAGCUGAAAUGCUUUCUCGCUUCUUUUUUUCCACACGGUGUUUGUGCUUCUAAUCCUCAGUACCACAGUGCUGACCACUGUCUUUAUUGUUUGUUUUUGUUUUUUUUCCAAGACAGCUUAUUUUCCGAGUAACAGGUCAAUAUUAAAACUCAUUUUAGCUCCAUUGUUUUCAAGCAUAUGAAAAACAGAUGACCUGCAGGUGGCUGUGGGGGAGUUAUGUUGUGAUAACAUGUUAAAAAACGAAGACAAAAGGCUCAUUCAGUCGAUGGUUACUUUUCUAAAAUUGACAACGGCCUCAUUCAGCUUGCUAUUAAAUGUGAUGUAACUAAGUGUCCAGCAGGGGGCAGCUUCAAUCUGGUGCUUAAGAUUGUCAGUUGCAUAGCUAUGUUUGAAGUAUCCCAAAAUAAAAGGUUAGCAAUGAUGCUUAUUUUUGCAAACUUAAGCCUCUAGUAUCAUAUUGUAAAGUUACAAUUUGAUUUGAUAUAAUUUUAGUACAUUAUUAGCCGUAAAAUGUAACAGCAACACUCGGACAGCAGGGGGCAGUAACAGUCCGUAUUUGUAAGAUAUGUUGCUUUGCAGAGUUUUUAUCGGAUUAAACCAAAUAACUAAUAAAAUAGAGGAUUUAAAUUGUUUUUGGAACAAAGAGUGAAGGCUUUUAAUUGUGUUGUGUUGUAAAUUUAUAAAGUUAUUUUAGCGCUCACCUUGUACAGAUAUAAGCAAGGACAAGGCGAGCGCUAAAAUAACUCUCGUUGAUGUAGCCAUCUUGUUUCCGCCUCUGAUUCUGCUUUUUUCCCCGACUUGGUAACUGAAACGCUGGUAACUCGGGUGUGACGUCAUUCCCAGCUCUGACAUCUGACUUCCGAGGUAGCUCGAAUGCAGCAUAAAUAGGCUUGGGAUUGUUUUGGUCGUAACAUGCUAUGACAAUACUGACCAGCAGGAGGCAGCUGCAGUUGGUAUUUGUCGGGAUGCAAGCUUAACUUGUUUUUAUUUUACAUCUAAAACAAAUAAAAUCAAUAUAAUAUUUAUUCUUCUGUUUUUAUAUGAUUAUGUUGUACAUUGAAUGAUAAAGUUUUACAGUACAUGUACCUUAAAAUGCACAGUCAACACUGGCCAGCAGGGGGCAGCUCCAAUCUGUAUUUAGGCAUAAUUUUAUUUAAACAGAUCCAGAUAUCAGAAAUAAUACCUGGAGUAUUUAUUCUUUGUGCAACAAGUAAAUGUUUUCGUAAAAGCACAUCAUGGGUUAGAUUUUUGAAAACACAGACAGCAGUGAGCAGCUAAAAUUGGUGUUUUUUUCACCCAUUUUAAAAUCACCCCAAACAAAAAAUAUGAAGCUUUUCUAAAAUGACACAGAUUGAGCAAUUUCUGAAGUUGCAUAUUUUUAUUUAUUUAUUUAUUUUUUUAGGGAUAUGAAGGGUUUAAAGGUAUGAGAAACAGCAAAAUAAGAUUUAAAAGCAGAUGUAGGUACCCCAUUUUUCCUUUGACAGAUUGAGCCUCGAAGACUCUAACAGACAGACUAAUUUCUAUAGCAGGGUUUAAAGGGUUUUAGUGCUGUUUAUUUUUCUCUAAUGGUAAUAAAUAAAGUCUUCAAGCGCUAAAGCUGUGAUCAUUCAAAAAAUAACCCUAAAAACAACCUUUUAGAGGGUUUUAAACACAUCAUAGAAAGAGUUGAGUCUCCAUACUCGUGUAGUCAGCGUGGCUAACCUCAACAUCCCGUCAUAGUGGAUUCUGAGCCUCCUAAACCCCCCAAAAAUGGACCAAAGGUUGUGUCAUGUGGGAUUAUUCUCAGCUCACAAAAAAGGGAAAAGAGAGCAAAAAUGUGAAUGUCAUUUCAAAAGUAGGUUGAGCGAGUCAAAAAUAGCUUCAAAGGCCUCCGACUUGAGAACAAAAUCCCAAGAGUAAGUCUUCUGAGGUAAGAAAAAAAAAGGAGAUUUGAUGAAGGUUUUUGCACAUUACAACAUACCUGCUGCUCGCUCGGCAGCGUUUUAUUCAUGUACUGUAUCAGUUUACAAGAGAAAAGCAACAAUGGCAGGGUAUUUAUUUAAGUCAAAGGAGGUAAAUUGUGUGUUUGUUGUUGUUUUGACUCAGUGUCAAGCCUGUAGAAGAUGUUAUUUUUGUAUUUUUGAUCGAAAAAAAGGUUAAUUUCCCCUUUUUAUUGUGUGAACAUUUACGCAAACUCAAAUAAUUGCUUUUAACAUUACCAGACUUAAAAUGUUCAAAAGAAAUAAUUAACCUUCCUAGAAAUAUAUAUAUAAAUUAAAAUUAUUUGGCGUUAAUUGAUGAAUUUAAUUGAUUUAUGGCUUUAUUUUGCUGAAAAACUUCCCAUCAUAUCGUCCAAGUGAAAAAAAAAAAAAACUCUGCUGUUGCGAUGUGGUUUUGUAGGAACAAGGAUCAGCAUGUGCGUCCUUCGUUUUGUCUCUCAAAGUCCAUGGCUUACAGAGUAUUUGGCCACCAGCUGCCUUGCGCGUAAACCUGCCUCACACCAGAGCAAAGGGGGGUAAAGGGAGCAUCGCAGAGCGCUGCCAUCCCUGCCCAUCCGCUCGACCACCUGUUUGACUUUCUGCCCUCUGGAUCAGGGUUCCAGGGAAGCAGAGCUGGUGAUGCUUUACGGAGUGAGGAUUUAAAAAAAUAACAGAAGUGUAAUCCCUCUGCUGUAGUUAAACACUGAAUGACAUGAGAAGAGGUAUUAAGGGAUGGAAGCGUGAUCAGUUGUUCUUGCAAGGCCAUAAAAAAAAUAGUCAAGAGUCAAAGCGUAUACUCUUUAAGAAGACCUGAACCUGUGAAGUGUUAAGUUACGUUCCACUACUGUAUCCCUGUAUACCUGACCUGCCUGUUUCUUAAAGGGAUAUUCUGGUGUAAAAUUAAUUUAGAGUCAAACACACCCGAACACCAAGUUAGACACCCCCUUGAGAGAUUCAUGUUGCUGACCACUUGCUUUUCUAGUUAAACCAACUUUAGUUACAUCCACACAAUAGCAAUACUCAGCGGUCUGAGGAGCCAUAAACAAACCUCAACCAAAACGCCACUCUAUAGCCACAAAUAAUGCUCAGAACAGCACCUAACUUCAUCAACAGUACAUAUAGGGUCCUCGCCACAGUACUAGCCACCAAACAUCUUUUUAACUUUGCCUAAUUUCUUGAGCAAAGAGACUUAACACAACUCACCUACUCUCUUCCAGCAGCCGCUAGCUUGUUGCGAGACCUUUGGCCAAUCCAUUACAGACUGUUCUUUCUUGAGCUGUGUCACCCCACUGCAGUACGUAAUGGACUAGCCCAGUGGUUCUCAAGUCCAGUCCUCGAGCCCCCCGUCCUGCAUGUUUUGGAUGUUUUCCUGCUCCAACACACCUGAUUCAAAUGAUCAGCUCGUUAUUAAGCCAUUUCAGAGCUUGAUAACGAGCUGAUCAUUUGAAUCAGGUGUGUUGGAGCAGGGAAACAUUUAAAACAUGCAGGACGGGGGGCUCGAGGACUGGACUUGAGAACCACUGGACUAGCCCAAGGUAUUGCUACAAACAAGCGGCUGCUGGAAGAGAGUAGGUGAGUUGUGUUUAGUCUCUUUGCUAAAGUAAUUAGGCAAAGUUAAAACCAUGUUUGGUGUCUCGUACUGUGGCUGGGACCCUUUAUGUACUGUCGAUGAAGUUAGGUGCUGUUCUGAGCAUUAUUUGUGGCUAUAGAGUGGCGUUUUGGUUGAGCGUGUGGCUCCUCAGACGGCUGUGUAUUGCUAUUGUGCGGAUGUAACUAAAGUUGGUAUAACUAGAGAAGCAAGCGGUCUGCAACACGAACCCCUCAAGGGGGCGUUUAACUCGAUGUUAUGGUGUGUUUGACCCUAAAUCUAUUUUACGCCGGAAUAUCUCUUUAAUAAAAGUACCCCAACAAUGCCAAAAGGACAGACUUUUAUUGUCAAGAAUAGGCAAGAAAAUCAAAGCCUGAUUCACCGCUGCAUUCAAACUUAUUUUCACAUGAGCUUUUUUCUUUAUUCCUUUUUUUGUUGCUUCUUAUACCAGACACUACAAACCGUUUCCUACUCCUCCGGUCAGCCCUUACUCAAGCUAGUUAAACUUUUACCCAUUCACACCCUUAAUAAAGCUUACAAUGCUGUUUGUUUGUGACUUAAGUGUAGCCUAAGUGCAUUGCAGAAGUAUUCUUUGAAUGAAGGAUAAUGGAGGGUCCAAAGCUACAUAGAAAUAUGUUAAACAAGAUAGAAAAGGAUGUUUUAUAUAAUAAAAGGUAUAAGGGUUUUAUCUGGAUCUGUUUGCUUUCAUUAGCCACGGAAAUCUCAGUAAUACAGAGGGGAAGUAAGCCGACUAUAACAGCCAUCAGUCUUGAAGCUUCGUCUAAGAAAAUAUUUGAAAUAUGAAGGUAAACUCUGAUGAGAUUAUCUGCAGAACGGACACAGGAUCGUGGUUUCACGCUCAUUAGCGCUAAAACCUGAAGUUCACUGAGCAGCUAAUGCACUCCUUUGAUCAGACCUUUUACAGUCUGCUCCCGCUUUCCUGUUAUCCUGCGAUUCCAAGCACUCAGCAGUAUCAGCGCUAUCUGCAUCCCCCACCUGCUCCAGUCUGAGCGUCUGCGGGGCCAGUUGUUCCGUUUGGGUCAGCUACUUCCACUGCAGCGGUCCACACAGACAUCAACUCCCCCAGUGUUUGAAAGCUUUAUGCUUCUUUAUUGCUUAAUUAGUUCGCUACUGCUGAGUUAGGUCAGAUGGUUAUUGCACGUGAAAAUGUUGAAUAUACAUAAAUCUGACCCUCAGGAAUUGGGGAAGAAAAAAGUUUGAGACUUUGUUUGUUUUUGGCCUUGAACGAAGAGCACAAGGGGACUUUUUUCUUCUUUAUCUUCUUACAAGAGAAAGUUGCAGAAUUAAUUUUGUUUAUUAAUCAAACUCCUUGGGAACUCGGAUCUUGGUGGCCCUUUUCGCAAUAAAAUAUUGGGCUCUGGGAACUCCCUAAGUAGGCCUUAAUUGAGAGUAGUGAUAUACUAAUAUUUACAUUAAUGCAAAACAAUUACAUUAAAGGCUCUGCUCUGAUUGGCUCAGCAGUGGAGGUUCGGAUUUCGGUUUAUCCAUUUUGCUAAUGUGUGCAAAAGUAAGGUGACCAGAUGUCUGUAAUGAAUUAGGGGACAUUCGGUGCGGCAGCAGGGAGGGUGCAGGGGCUGCAGGGGCUGUGUGAUCACAGACAACAUCUUGGUACUAUUUAGUAGCAGCGCAUGCCCCUUGUAAUAACCCCCUUAAAGACUGUUGUUCAGGACUGCUAACUUGUGCUUCCUACCUAUUCGGCUACUGUAAUAACCGUUGUUCGAGCCCACACGCAACAUUUUUGUUCUCAUUCAUGAAACGCUUAAAUCAAGGACAUUUUUGGGGACAGGUCAUCCAAUUCGGCGACUGUCCCUGGAAAUCGGGGAUGUCUGGUCACCUUAUGCUAAAGGCUAAAAAUGGCAGGAAUUAAACCACAUAUUUUUGACCCCGAGUCCAAAUAGGAGGUGGAAGUUGAGGAAGAAGCCGGAGAUCUCCAGCGGUGUUUUCUCAUUCAUUCUGCUCGGCUUUAAGUUCAUUUUCCCGGCAGUGAAUCCAAGGAAACACCGGUCGUUUGGAAGAGACCCAUAGCGGGUACAGUGGUAGCUGGGUCUCGCUCUGGCUGGAGAGUGAUGAUAACUGUGACUGGGUACGAGAACGAGAGAGUGGGCGCGGCUCAAAGAGGACGCGCUAGUGAAUAAUAAUGAGCAAGGUCAGCUUGACGUCAGAAGGACCUGCUUUUUCAAUUGGCCUGGUUUACCCGUUCUUUUAUUUUAAACCUUUACAGAAUGCAAACGACGUAACGGUUUGUUUUCACAUCUACAACAUAAGACAAACAUAAUAUGGACUUAAUCUGACACACAAACAUGCAAAAAUUACAUUUUUGAUGGCAGGUCCUCUUUAAAGUAUGGUAUCUUAAGCACCACCUAAAGCCGAAUCACCCACAUUAAGAUCGCCAUUUUCUCGUCGUUUUGUAGGCUGCUGUAUGAGACUCAACCGUAAAAUCAAAGGCGUAUUAAUACUUUUUUUUUUUUUUUUUUUUAAGUCUUAUUUCUGGAGGCUUUUAACCCCCCAGGCAUGCUCUCACUUAAGCAACACUGAAGGUGACAAGCGCACACAUCAAAAACAUGAAACACCGUUACCUUCUCUCCUGGAUGUCCUUCCUUUAAAGUACCACCUCCAGAGACUCGGUGAACUCUUGAACAGGAGGCUUUUGAGAUUUUAAUGGUUUCUAACCGUUUACAAAAAAAAUAAAACACUCCUACUCAACGGAUGUCAAUGAACGGCCUUCUAGGUGUGCACGGUCCCUCGGUUCUCACUUUGAGGAGGUGAUGACAGCCUGUUACGCCACAGGGUUGCUUUCUGCUGGCGCGGCCUCUUGAUUACACUAAAGGUUUAAAAAGAAGUCCCUGAGAGGUGAGAGCUGCGCGUCUAGUUAGAUAAAGUGGUUUUGAGGGAAGAAAGCUGUAGGUCGACUAGACGCGUUUGUCGAAUUUCAUGUUGAGGGUUGAGUGGAAGGGGCGUUAAAAAGUGGUGAAGUGAUUCAAUUGAAAAACUUUUGAUUUCUCAAACCAACUAUUUCUGACUCCUUCGAUAAUUUGUAUCUAAAAGCAGCAUAUGUAUCUCGUAAUUAACAUUUUGAAGUCCGUCAGAUCGUAUCAUCAAGAUGUUUAUUUAACAAAAGCCACUCAGGUUGUAUUAUAUUAAGAUGAAAAGGAAGAAGAAUGAGGCAUCAGGUUUUUUUCCUUCUCUUCUUUCCCAGGUGUAAUCAUUUCCUUUGUAAGUCUGAUCAAUCGGAAGCUUUGUACUUUUUUUUCAUUUGUCAGAAAGAGGAUGUAAGAGUGUGCUAAUAACUGCGGUUUGUUUUCAGCUGUCCUUGUCUAUCUCUGUGAUCGUUUCCAGUCAAGUCUAAUUAUUGUAAUCACUCAGGUUUUCAAAAACAACUCAAAAUGAAUUAGCUGUCGCAACCCACAGCAUGUAAAUAAUGCAUCUAUUUUAUAAUUAUUUAGAUUCAAACCGUAUAUACAUGUUGUUAAAGCUUCAACGAUGAGUCAGUUGUUGGUGAGGGAGCUUUUUCUUUGAUUUUCUUGUCAUGAGAGGAAUCUAUGGCAAAGUUGAUCAUGAGGACAUGAAAAUUUCCAAGAAUAUACUUACUCUAACUCUCCAAGCAUCGCAAAAUUCCAAAUCAUACAUUUGUUUUUGUCUUAUUCCCAGUAAAAAGUGUCUCAUUAGGCUGAAGUAAUCAUCUAUCACAACAGCUUUUUGUCUUUAGGGGACACUGUCGCUAAACACUGCGUAUUGCUAAAUACUCUAAUUUCUGUGCACUGUACCUUUAAGAAGACUCGAUAAAUAACUUGUCGGAGCCAUUCCAGGUAAACUAGCUUAAGAAAUUGUACAAAACAUGACUUUUAGUUCCCUAACUAUUUUUUCCACUGUCAUCAAAAUCAAGUUUUUUGUUCUUGUUUUUAAAGAUAUGCUAUUUAGCGAGGAGCUAGUAUUGUCAAAGUUGUUUUAGUAUUGUUGAGGCCAGAGGUGUGAUCAAAGGUGAGGUUGUCUGAAUAAUUCUGAUCAUAAUACUGUUUUCUUGUUGGUACAUUUGCAUGAAAAUUAGGCCCCCUUGUGGAAUUUAUUUCUGAGCUGGGCCACCCCAGCCAAAACUCCUAGAUACGCCCCUGUCGGAAUCUGAAGACAGCUGAUCUUAUGAAAGCUACGAUAAUGACAGUUAAGGAUUGAUUAUCUUUUAAUAACUCAGACUGACCUUGAAUUAUAAUUGUAUUCAGUAGUUUGGAUCCAUGUCCAUGUCUACUGUGGUAGAAGGGAAAUAAGUGGGUAGAUUAACCCCCAAUGGGAAUAUUUCAAAAUGCCUUUUUACUAGGUGCAACCUUGCUAGAAGUAAUACUUUCCUAUUAUCUCAUUCAUUUUGUAGAUAUUUCUUUCUUUUAUGAAAAAAAAAAAAAAAAAAUCCCCAAGGAAACCCGUACUGCGUGAUGUACUUAAGGCCUCCUCGCUCGUGUCUUUAUGAAGGCAUGGGAAAGUACUUUCACAAAAUCCUUCAUCAAAACUACAUUUCAUACCCUCCAAACUUGUGGAGGGGAUUAAAUGUCCUCAUUUCUUUUCUACUCUCGCACUCAUUGAAAGUCGAUCUGGAUAAAAGUGUCAGCCAAAUUCCUAAAUGUAAUAUUAAUGUGUUCUUUUUCCCCCUCUUUCAAAAAAUAAGAAAAGGUUAAAAAAAAAAAAAAUCCACGGAUGAGCACUGCAGAUCCAGUCUGUCAUCAUCAUUUCUCCAGUAUUCUUUUAUUGGUAAAUUAAGUUGGCCAAAGUGACAACUAAGUAAAUGAUGAUUGCAGUUUAAUCACGAGCAUCAAUCUAGCGAGUCAAUCAUUUAAUUCGGCUUUAGCUCAGCUGUAUUGGGGAAUUAAUGCAGCAGGAUGGCUGAGGUCAUUGGGAUUCUGUGCAUGGGUCUCACGCAGCCCACUGUGAGCCCCGGCACGGUUCAGCAGACAAACGCAUAUGUCAUGUCAUGAGUCUAUUUGCCGUGCGGUGCUGGAAAGGCCAUAAAAAUAACCUUUAAGGAAGAAAUUUAAGAGCCAUCAUUCUCAAAGACGAAAAAUAGAAUGAGAAACCUCAGUCGCCUUAAUUCUGUUAGCCGAUUCAUGAAAUAUAAAAGACCUCAAUGUCACACACAAGGUGACGCAGCUUUUCAUUUUCCCACUGACACAUUUCAGAAUAUAAACAUAGUAAAAGUUUUACUCUUUUACAGCAUGUUGAAGUGUGGCAGUGGGGUUUAGCAUUGUCUUGCUGAAAUUUGCAAGGCAUUCCCUUAUGAAGGUUGCUAUUCCAAGCAAGCAACAUUGGUGCCAUACGAGGACUGGGACGAUACGCUUUUCUCCCGAUUCGAUUCCUCUACGAUUUUUGGAUGCCGAUUUGAUUUAAAUUCUACGAUAUUGUCGAUUUUCUCGAUUUUUAGUCGGCAUUUUUAACACCAGUGAAACAGUUGAAUGAUUAUGAUUGUCUACUGACUAUUCCAGGAACCAUAUUUCGCCCAAAAUACACAUCACAUGUAAGUCAGUUUUUAAGAUUUAAUCUAAAAAAAAAAGCGAUUUUUUUAGCAUUAAAAUUUAUAUAAAAAUUGUGAAACAAAAAAAUCACAAUACCUAUGUAAAUUGAUUUUUUCUCCCACUUCGAUGCCUUACCUAAAGUAAAGGCUACCGAAUGCCAUUGACACACAAGCAUCCUAAACCAUCACAUAUGCUAGCCCGAGAACUGUGCGCUAGGAAGUCCCAAUCCUCCUCAGAGCAGAAGAUGGAGAGUCCAAGAUUUCUAAAAUCUUUAACCCCAAACUGCCUCUGGUGGGUUUAAGACAGGUUUGUGAGUAGAAUUAGUUGGCAUAAAUGUGUGAAUGUGUGAUUGGAAGCCUACUCAGAGAUUACCACUACAGAGCCAUGUCUAUUUUCAAUGCAGUGCUGCCUCUCAUGGAGUACUGUACAAAACAGGGUAAUGGCACCUGUACAACUAUGAAGCUACUCUUUUGAUUUAAGUUAAUUAAGCUUGAAUUAACUCCAAAUGAAGGUGGCGUGUAGCGAGUUCUAAACAGUGCCAAAAAAAAAAAAAGAGGUUUUUGCCAGAAAGUGCUGAGGGCUAUCAAACAGAGAAGACCUGCACCUGGCACAUUGUUAUUCAAAUGGUGGAUUUGGCAUCAAAUUUUGGAGAAAAAAACAUCUGCUUGUGAACAAAGUGAAAGUGGACAAGCAGACUCUCAAUUUGAGAUUGCCUGAGAAGAGACAGUCAUGGGGUGGGGGAUUUAUAAGUUAUUCAAAUAGAUCAAUUAGAUCUAAUAGAUUAGAAAGAGCUGAGCCGUAAGGCGAGACUCUCGAGUUACCGGUCGAUCUACGUGCCGAUCCUCACGUAUGGUCAUGAACCUUGGGUAAUGACCGAAAGAACAAGAUCGCGGAUACAAGUGGCCCCUCCCCACGAACAUGUGCGUCUGAAAAGCCAAGGGACAUUAUGACACAGCAAAUCUACCCAGCUGUUUGAAUUGAAAAAAGUGAGGAAAUGCAUGGGGAGAAUUGCCUUCAGCAGAAAAGGAAAUCAAAGUCAGCCCAUGAUGACACCAAGGCCAAAGAUAAAACUGUGUCUAAUGUAUGCUGACAUGUGUGGUGCAUGACAGAAACAAGGCGGUGAACCUGCAACCAGAACUUGCACCAGAUGGCUAAAUUCAAAGCCUCACAGCUCUAAGUGUGUGGCAACAGGCUGCCGCGGUGGGCGGUUGAUAUUUUUGCUUCAAGAACAUGCGAUGGUAAUCAGCGGGGUCCGGUUUAAAGCCAUAAAUGCAGAGAGGGUGGCUUCCCUGCUGCUUCCACAUUAUGAAAUCCAGCAUGUGGUGGAGGAAACAGAACAGUGAUUUACCUGCUUACAUUCCCCUUCAUUAAACCUGAGAAAAGUGAUUUGCAAUUGGAAAUUCCCCAGUCUGCUACAAAAGAAGCUGCUUUCAAGAUGCAGCCUUCGUCAUUUUGCGGAGGAGUGGGAACAAACAAUUGCCCUGGCGCCACCUCUUUAAACGGCUCUCUGUUGCACGACAAGCAGGUUGGUGUUGAAAUCAAUAAGAAGAUUAAAAUCAUUGUUUUUUUUUUCCCCCUCCUUUUUUUUUUUUUUUUGUCACCCACACUUGCGCUUAAGCAUGACUCACUGAGGGUGUGAGUGUGUGUGUGUGAAGUUCUCUGUGUGACUGAGUAAAACAUGAAUCGCACUGUCAGGAGCUGGAUUUGUGUUUAUUUGCACAGCAGGUCGUCUGUUUGACUAUUUGUGAUCUCAAUGUGUGGUUAUUGACGUGCGUACAAGACUGAUGGCUACUCCUGCUGCUAACGUUCAGCAUGACGAGUUAUUCUGGAUGAGGCUGCAGACAUGGAGAUGAAUCCCUCUGCUUUUACCUACAAACCCUUGAAAUAAACAGCUAUCUUUGGGAACCAUGCGUCAGGUUAGACAUUUUCUCAAGCAGAAUGUUUUUUUGUAAUAUUGUAAUAUUUCAGUUGCAUUGUAAUUGUCUCCACAUACGAAGCACAAGUCGAUGCAAAGACGCCAUUGGACACUCCUGCAACUCUGGCGGCAUAAAUGGCGUGUAUUAAAAGGUGGGGUAGGGCAGGAAUCCCUUAAAGAAGCAUCUUUUUCUGUGUGUAUUUAUUAGUUAUUGAUGACAUUUGGUAAUAUAGCGAUAUCGCUGUGUUUUGUUGUCUGUGUAGUCAAUAUUUUAACAUUUUUGAGCGGCAUACUCCUUCUGACUGUAAACAAAGCCAUUCUCCACCUCCCCCAACCUGAUUGGUUGUAAAGAAGACGCUGCUCCCCCAUGGCUUACAUGAGUCCAAACAGAGUUAGCGUGCUACAAUAUCGGACAGCAGAAACCAACCAGAAAGUACGAAAAAUCGUCCGAAUCCUCCUUCGACUGCCAACACAAGCAAGAAAACAAAGUAAAUACCCAAUACUCUGGUGGAAUAACAGGCGCUUAAAAAAGAGGUAGCCCACCCGGACCACGAUGGGGAACGCUUCAGGAUCUUGCGGACCCUUUAUCUUAGUUGUGGAAGUCCUGCAAACAUUGUGUUUCCUGGUAGUCUGUUGACAUCUACAGUAGCACCAAUGCUGUUUACUUUCACAUUGACUGGGCCCCAUUUGUUAUUAUCUGAAGUAUUUAUCUGCGUUAUAUCUGAAUUUAAUUAAAAUGAUACGAGCGAGCAGGAGUGUCUGUUUGUGGGCGGGGCUUGCUGGAGGGGAGAGGAGGAGCUGAGGGGAAAACUGGUUUGGAGGGGUCGUGUUCACAUUCAAGAUUUCUCCCAAAAACUGGCACUUCCUCAGAUCCUGCCUACACCACCUUUGAGUCAAUGCAAAGACGCGAUUAUACGCUCCUACGACUCUGGCAGCGUGAAUGACGCGAUUGGGCAGGAUGUCUCAACUUAGACGGAUAUUCGCGUCGUGGUAACCAAUCAGCACAAAGGUUGCCGGGUGACGUAUAGUACCUAAAAUGAAGGACAAACUGAUUAUGUCGGUGUGUGGGUGCCCCAAAUUAUAUGAUACCUUUUCUUUCAAACACCAAAACCAGAAGAAAAAGGAGCUCGCCUGAAGUGAGUGAGGAGGCCGGAUUACCUGGUAAAUUGUAAAAAACUUUGUCUAUCACCUGAUCCCACCGGUUGAAUUGGCAGGGAUUAUCGUUGAAAUUACCAUUGAUGUGCGUAUGCAGCAAGUGAAUACUAUUCAAUCGCGCAAAACCAAAAGAUAAGUGUUGUCCACAAGCAAAUAUUGACUCAUGGAUGCCAUUAUGCCUCGUGUCUGCACUUUGACUGUCUCUGAUAGGGUCAUUGUAAUGUCACAUUACAAUAAAAAAGUGCUGUUAGGAAGAAUCUGAAGUCUGAAACAGAAAAAAAAACUUUUUGGAUUCCAUUUGAGGUGGUUUUAAAUCUCUGCUUCUACAAAAAUAAUUGCAGUUAUUUUUGUUUUAAAGUGAAAUGUUGAGGUGGAUGUGCAGGGUAAAUAAGGAUAAUGGUGUGAGCAAAAUCAAGAAUGCAUUGCAUCUUAUUUAAUUUGACCUCUUUCAAACAGUGCUGGCAUUUAUCUUGUUUGCAAUAUCUGUGAAAUUUGCAAUUAUCUUUCUGUUGGCAUCUCAAACUAAAGUGCAAUAAGUCUUCUGUGUUUAUUUUGUGUGAAAUAUUAGCCUGAAACAAAUGUUCAAGCUUAUUCAAAAGGUAUCUUUGAGUGAGGGAAAAAGAGUUUGCAAACACCGUAGGGAUGAGGCCAGACGGAGGAUUUUUCCUUUCUAUUUUUAAACCCUUGGAAACUGCAACAGGGAAAGGUCAAAAGACCAUCCUGCAGUGUAGUCGAGCCAAAUUGGAUCGUGGAAGCGACACACAUGAACACACAGAUUCACAAAGAGAUACCGUUCACAUAUAUGGGUGAAUACCAAAGGGAACACACUGUGGUACACAUGCAACAUGGGAUUAUUCCUCUGCCCUGCUUGUAAACAAUCGCCGACUUAGAUUUGUAGCAACAUGGACGAGGUCAGUUACAUCUAAAAGCAAAGUAGCUAUCUUGUUUCUUUGACCUUAUGUGGCGAAUGGAUUGGCUUUGCAUUGUAGGCUAUCUUAGUUGACAGGCCUCUAAGGUGGGAGUGGUUUUACACGCGUGCAAAUCACUCCUGUCAUUACAUCACCACAGGAGGCGAUAAAAAUCACUGUGUAGAUACCUUGCAAUCUCAGAAACAAUGCAGAGGCUUUUUCACUCCCACAUUCUCAGGAUUGCCAGGCUGGAGGAUCACUGAAGUACAAAUGUUCAGGCGAGGAAAAAUGUGUUUUUUUAUCAUUGCAUGAAAUAACCCGAAUCACAAGAAUCCAUAAAUCCAUUACAUAUUCAGCCGGUAUAUCCAUUAUAGAGAAGUGCAGGUCUUUAAAUUGUUGAUGCACAUCAUAUCAGCCUGGUUCACAGGGGUUCUUUUGUAAGAUAAAGAAGAAAGGAUCCAAAACCAACACACCUGGAUAACAGAAUGAUUAUACUGCAAAUGAAAGGUGCAAUCAUCCCCAAUGCAUCUUCAAACACUCAAAGAUGACUUAAAGAUAUAAUAAGAAAGAAGGGAUCCUACAUAAGCAGUUCAAACACCAGAAAUCACAGUUAAACAAACCCCCCCUCUCUUGCUCUUAUCCCUCCACUCUCAGCCUCUGAGUCAAUUUUCCAGCACAACACUGUCUUACCACAGAGAGCUGCCCUGAUCGAUUCACUCCAGGUCUUUUUUCCGGCCCUGAUCCGAUAUAUUUUUAUUCUCUCUCUGCAGUAAUACCAGGUAAGCGUGCAUCCUAAGUGGGAUAAUAUUGUCUCCACUCUUAGGCAAUCUUCAAUUAUUCACAAGCAGAUAUUGCUUAUGUGUGUCUGUAGAGCUCUGAAGACUAUGCCACACUGUAUUACUCAGCAUUUAAAAAAAGGUAAGGAUAACAUUAAAUGCAGAUGACUUAACAAGCCGUCUAAUGUUGCAUCCUCUCUGUGUUAAACAGUAAAUUCAGCUACGGAUUUUGUUAUAGCUGAUGAUGCCAUUUUCUGUUUUGCAGUUACACUCUCACAGCUGUAUUUUGACUUGUACAUAUUCAGUUUCAGAAUCACAAAGGUGGGAAGACGUUCAGGAGGAAAUUGAAAAUUACUUACGAUGGCUUUGAGACCAGUAGAAUUAGUAAGAAGUCAGGUGGUUCCUCUUCUCUUUUAGUGGAGGUCAUGGCUUCCAUGAUUUUUAAAAAGUAUGACAAAACUUAAAAGGGAUAUUCCGGCGUAAAAUUAAGUUAGGGUCAAACACACCAUAACACUGAGUUAGACACCCCCUCUAGAGAUGAAUGUUGCGGACCGCUUGCUUCUCUACUUAUACCAACUUAAGUAACGACCGCAGAUAGCAAAACAGAGAGCCACGCACUCAACCAAAAAGCCACUCUACAGCCACAAAUAAUGCUCAGAACAGCGCCUAACUUCAUCAACAGUACAUAUAGGAUCCCAGCCAUGGCACUAUAGCCGCCAAACAUCUUUUUAACUUUGCCUGAUUUCUUUAGCAAAGAGACUAAAUACAACUCACCCACUCUCUUCCAGCAGCCGCUUGUUUGUACAGAGACCUUGGGGCGAGUCCAUCGACUGCAGCGGGGUGACACAGCUCAAGGAAGAACAUUUAUGAUCAUUUCUUUAUCAUUUCGUUGAAGUAAUAAUCACCAUAUUAACCAUUUUGCCAUGCAGAUGUGGUAGUUCUUCUCCCUUAGCAUCUCGGUCUGAUCACAUUUCAAGGAAGAAAUGGUCAUAAAUGUUCUUCCUUGAGCUGCGUCACCCCACUGCAAGCAUUGGACUCGCCUGAGGUCUUGCUACAAACAAGCGGCUGCUGGAAGAGAAAAAGUGAGUUGUGUUUAGUCUCUUUGCUGAAGAAAUUAGUCAAACUUAAAAAGAUGUUUGGUGGCUAGUACUAUGGCUAGGACCCUAUAUGUACUGUUGAUGAAGUUAGGUGCUGUUCUGAGCAUUAUUUGUGGCUAUAGAGUGGCUUUUUGGUUGAGGUUGUGGCUCUCUGGACUUCUAUAUGCGGUCGUUCCUGAAGUUGGUAUAACUAGAGAAGCAAGCGGUCCGCAACAUUCAUCUCUCGAUGAGGUGUCUAACUUGGUGUUAUGUUGUGUUUGAACCUAACUUAAUUUUACGCUGGAAUAUCCCUUUAAAUUUUGUCAUUAUUCUUGGAAAUGAUGGAAGCCAUGACCUCCACUAAAAGAGCAGAGGAACCACCUGGCUUCUUACCAUUUCUACCGGUCCAAAAGCCAUUGUCUACAAUGGUAUGUCGAUGUACAGGUCUCAGAGCAUUAUCAUACUAACAACUAGACAAUGUUUUGUUUGGACCUUGCCUAUUGUAGCAGAGCAAUACUUCACCACAUUCUGCUUAUAUUCCAACACCAUGGCGCUAUUGUAGAGUAGUCCAGGUGCAGUCCUGAUCUAUCAAGUAUUUGUCAAUUCAUGCUGAAAAAAAGUGCAUGAUUUGUGAACCACCAAAAUCUAUCCUUAUUCACAUACUUAUCUUACAUUACACAUGUUGAAGCAUCUUCCUUGUUGUACAUAAUGUCACACACAUGUUCAUUUCACGGAGUAUGGACAGUGCAUCACACAUCAUUUAGAAAUAGAACGGGUUGUCAUCUGUAUAAUGUGUGAAUUUCACCAGUCUUAAUUUGUAAUUAAACUGGUUUUCCAUCCUUCCUGUCACUAUACAUUGACCUGUACCUGUUCAAGUUUUCAUUUAAGACUCUCCAUCUAAUCAUUGUGUAAUUCUGGCACAGAGUAAUUCCUGAUGGCCCCUGUCACUUCACAUUAAAGCCCUGACGUGUUGACCUGGAGCUGAACCAAACAGCAAAGGGUUAAGUUUAGAAGGGAUGCGCCAUUGGAAAAAUUCAAUGCAAAUUUGCUUCAGCUUUCAGAAUGGAAGCUGUCACAGUCAGUCAGUGUCAUAAUUUAGUGGAAGUCACUGCCCUGGCUGUUGUCACAUUUCACUCUCUAUAGACUAUGCACACAGUUCUUUACCUUUAAGUCCUGAGUGGCUUUUUUCGCCGUGUCUAAUUGCCCAAAGAAUGUAUUUUGUCAUCAAUGUUGGCUGCAUUUUACUUCUUUUUCUGCAACUGCAUUUCACUGUCCUCCUUUUGCAUAUUCCGUCGACAAUAUUUUCCCAGCCCAGCUUCCACCAAGGGCAAAUUUUUAAUUAGACACAAGCGCAUUGCUGCCGCCGCCACCGUCAGCUACGAAAACAAACACUGACUUCUUUUAUAUCCCCCCUCUUCCUCUUUUCAUCCUUAUCAGAAAUCUCCCCUCAAUCAUUCUAUCCACACUUUCCCCUCUAACAUCGCCUCUUCAGUCAAGCAUGAUCUCCCCUCUAUGGCGAGAGAGGGAGAAAGCAACGCAGGGAGGGGAGGAGGGAUGUAGAAAGAGAGAUAGUAGGAGAAAAAAAAAGAGAGAGAGAUCCAAGAGGCCCUUGCCGCCUUUCAUUUCCGCUGCUUGGCUAUGCAGCUCUGCCCCGCUUCCACGGUUCUGGCAAACUCGGCUCCUUCCCCUUGAGAGGCCCAUCUAGUCCACAAUCUAAGGCCUUGUAAUGCAGUCCCCGGCCCACAAUGAUAGAUCACACUACAUGUGGGAUGGUAUUGUCUGCCUCGCUGAUAAGCCAGAGCAGUCGGGGAGUAUAUGAGCAAAGCCACAGUGUGUGUAUGUGUGUGUGUUUGCGCAUCAGCCUGCACGAUUGCAGGCUGGUGUUGUUACAUUAGCAUCCCUGUGUGUGUGUUUAUUCUGCAUGCCGUGAGAAUGCACGUGUAUGUGUGAGAUCUCUCUCUUCCCUCUGCCCACAAAGGGGACCCAAAUCCAGGCCCUUCUUGUAUUGUGUUGUGAUUCUCUUGGAGGGUUUGAUGUUACCCAGAGUGGUGAGUCACUCCACGUGGAGACCUGGCCCUGCAUCACAAAACAAAACAAAAAAUAAAAAGGAUUGGGGAAAAAAAAAAUGUGAAUGUUUCCGUGAGAGAGGGACCAUGACUCAGGAUAAAAAUCGACUAAAAUAUCCUCUAAAAGUAACCGUGCAUGCAAAUGUGCACACGCUCCGAAUCCUUUUAUCUGUCACUCAUUUGCAUGUGUGCAUGAUUGUGUGCAAGACAAAGAGAACGAAAUGAGAGAAAGCGGGAAUGAGUCCUAUUUUUUUUUUCCUGUUUUUUAUUAUUUUGUUUGACAUGAUGUACCUCACCAUCUGUCUCUAAACAGAUGCAUCCUGUGCGGCCUUGGACUGAUGCGUCUUCAUGGUAAUUCGGCGUUUGCCAGAGCUUUUUCGCUUAAAGGGACAAAAUGAAAGGUUAACAGACUGUGUUUGGUGAUGCAACAUUAGAUGCACAAACAGAAAACUUUUUAGACCGCACUUUGAAGGAGAGCAUAUGCGCCUAUAGCGGAUAGCAAUGUCCUAUUUAGUCAAAUAACAGCUCCAUCUUUAAUAUGUGGAAAUAUUAAGCUUGCAGUUGAGUUGUGGAGCCACCAGGGGCAGUGUAGGACAACUUUCUCUGUUUUAACCAUAGACUGGUUUGUGCUCAAGUCCUCUUUUUUUCUGUACAGCUCCGUUUUUAAAAGUUAUAAGGGGGUUCAUGUUUUCUAUGAUUGACACUUGAUAUAGCCUUUGGGCGUACGAAGAUAGCGUUGCUCGCCCAGGGGAUACGCUGUUCGAGCUGCGCAUCAUCACACAACUCUCCGAAUGCGCACACUGCUACUGUGCAAUGUUGGUUUCAGGAAGUGGAGAAAAAAACGCAGAAUUACCGAGAUCUUUCUUGGCUCAAAUCCAUAUACUGGCGGAAGGCGGAACCAAGUUGUCCAUAGUAUAAACAGUCUAUGGUUUUAACCUUUAUAUUCAUCUUUUCUAACGUUCCCAAACUUUGGAAAGUUUGCAAUCUAAUGAAAUUCUAGGAUAAACCUUGAAUGUGAUCUGCACAUUUUUUGCCCUGAACAGAAAUGCAAUAAUAAACUGGACUUACAUCAAAUAUGAAUUUCCAUCUGCAUAAACAUAUGAAUCUGCCAAGCAAUGCAUUAAGUUUAAAAUGUGAUUUUGAAAUUAAUUUUUCUGCAGCUGUGUAGCUCUUUCCAGUUACCAUCUGUUUACCCUGAGCGACAAGUUGUGCAGUUUCAGGUCCACUAAAUUUAAAAAUGCAUAUUAUACAGAAUUAUUAUUCAACUCAUUUGGGGGGGGUACAAAAAGCUGUUUUCUCUUUCUCUUCAUAUAAAUAGUACACAUUCAGAGACUUUUCCUCUUUAACACAUCAGAUUUAGCAUACCCAGCAGACUCAAAGACCUCUGAAACUUGGGUUGUGUUCGUGUUUCCAAUAUUGUCAGCAUCUAGAGCUGGGCAAUUAACUGAAUUUCGAUUUUGAUAUGCCAGACUGAACAGUAUGCAGCUACAGGUGGAGAGAGGAGAGCAGGGAGAGGAGCAGGAAGAAGCAUGUUUAAUUAAAAGGCAUGGUUGACGAUUGGAGAGAUUGGUCAUUAUUAUGAACCUCGUUUAUAUGGCGAUCAUGGUCCUAUAGUGCGAUCUCCACAAAGUGAAGAGGAAAAAAAUGUAAAAAAUCUGUUCACCUUAGCAGGUGCAGGGCUGCAAAAACAUUGACCAACGGGAGCCAUCCGUCCUGUACAGCUCCUAUUGGUCAAUCUCCUGCUCUGCCUCUCCAUCCAAUCACCUCGCUGUAUUCGACACACCCCUCUCCCGUAGUUCAGACUCGUCCCCUCCCACUCUCCCGGUGCUCCUCAGAGCUCUGAGCAGCUAAAAAUAGCGUAGCAGCUUAGCUACAGGAGCUGUGAUGGAGAAGGACGCAAAAAAUACAAAAAAAAAAAAACACUUUUGCUUGCCCUACCGCCAAAAGUGAGAAGAAAACGCAAGCCAACAAAAGAAAGGGCAGAAUUGAAGAGGAAAUGUGACCAAGCGAGGAAUCUAACUGGAAUAAACAUCGGGUCAUCCUACGAGCGGUGGAGAAAGCUCUGCCAGAAUUUGGGCCUGAAAACAGACGCAGAGACAGCAGAGUUUUUGUUAAGCAGGUAAUUUUUGCCUUUUAUUGUGGCACAUGUUACCUAAAUAACUCUUAUUAAUCUCUGUAAUGUCAACACGGUAGCUGUCCAGGCAGCUGCAGACGGUGUUCGCUAGCAGAGCUGGCGUUUACUACCGCAAGUCACUAGCAAUCCGAUAUGGUGAAUCCUAUUUGAAGCUAGCGUAGGAUCUUCUGGCAUCUUGCUCUGCCAGAGGGGGUGUGUCGUGUAUCAGAUUUUUCAAAUCUGCCUCAACAGCUCAGUUUUUUCAACUGCUACUCAGAUCGGCAACACUGCCUUUGAUAAUGAUAUCAUAACAGUCAGACUGAUUGUGAUUAUGGUUUUUGCUGUAAUCGAGAAGCCCUACAACAAUCAGUAUCUGGUCAUGGCGGUAUGUCUGUGGCAGUUUUGAAGGACAUCUUGGCCUAUGUGGGUCACGCAUUUGUUCCUGUUGAACAUUUUUGAACACUGACAGGAUCCUCCUCCUUUGAAAAAAAUAGGUGAAUUUGAAAUGUGACAUUCAGAAGGUUUUAAGCCGGGAAUAAAAAAUGCACUGAUGUCUGUUCUCACCCACACAGCACACUAUCCCAGUCAGGCGAAGGGAAAUAAAACCCUCCUUUAUUAUCACAGCCUCCGUUUGUGUGUCAGGUUCCUGCAUGAUCAGCCUCCUGUAUGCAUCUCCGUCGUGCAUGUUCACGCGCUACCUUGAAUACGAAUCUGCUCUGUGUUGUUUGCCUUGUGCGGGGAACAAGGAUGGAGUGCUGAUUGUUUGGGCCUGUCGGUGUAUGUGUGUGAUGCUUUUACGACAGCUUCCUUCCUGCCUCCUCUGGGUGCCUGCGAGACUAGUUGGUCUGAAGGAAACCUGACAGCCUAAAUCACGCUGAAGAGCCAGAAACAGAUGUUAAUUAGCUUUAAUUUGCCUUUUGUUGUUCCGCUGCCAAGGCUGCACUAAAGUCUCCUCUCUGUAUUUUACUGCACUCUGUUAAAUGUUGCACUGUAGCUCACAUGCUUGUAUUUUAAAAACCACCACCAAAUAACACAGACGUUUCAAGCAGGAUUUGAAUUUUUAGAUAGAUUUCAAAAGAGUGGUUUUGUUUCCAAAGUUUAGCUGGCAGGUUGAAAUUUCACACUUUAGAAAGCAAAUACAUGACUCAUUUUAGUUUCUUACUAUAUUAAGCUCAAAAGCAGCUUUACUCGAUUUGAAAGGAGAAACAUUCAGACUGCAUUUUGAAUAGUACCCACAUUUGAAUAGUGAACAGUAUGACAUAUUAUUCAAAGAAUCAGAGAAAACAGACACGACUCUGUAGUGGGAGUCCCUGCAUGGGCUGAAAUCACUUCCAAAAGCCAAUGCAUCAUGCAAAGAGGAAAUAUGAUCCAGGAAAUUAAAAAAAAAAAGUUCAUUUGGGAAUCGGAAACCAGUUCCAUGAGAGAACUCUCUCCAACAAGCUCCAGCCAUCAUUUGCUUUUAAGGUUCAAUUGCCAAUGCCUUCAAGAGCGCUCCAGGGUGGCUCCAGAAAUAGGACUGUACAACAUUCCCACUUACUGUAAAAUCCACUCUCCACUUAAGCUGCACGGUGAUAAACUCUGUCUUUGUCCAAGAGGGACUUAUCUACUUAAAAAGGAGAUCAGUGUAUUUUCAGACUAUCCAGGUCUAAUCUCCCUAAUAAAGGUAAUUUUGACCUAUUUGUGCAUACAUUUAAACAGAAAAGUAUUGAGUAUUUUGUUUGCUGACCAUGCUAGAGGGAAGCUAGCAUCUUUGUUUGGGUGUAUUGACCAAUUAGAAGCUGUAUUUGCAAUCAAUUGACCUGGGAAAAUUCAGAAAGCGGGCUUCGCGUCUUAUCUGAGCAAUUAAAUUACAAAAAAAGUAAUAGUUAUUUUGAACCUGUAGAGGCCACCAUAUCCAUUCCCAUCCUUGUUUAAAGAUAGGAACUUAUGAAACAUUCUAUUUGGAAAUCCUGUACGCAAGAUCCUCUGAUUUAAAGAAAAGUGUCUGUGAUGGCUCAGGGAAGCACUAAUGCCAGUUCCUUUUCCCAGAAAAGGUAAAUCAAAGUGAAGUAGAAACCGGUUACAUAAUCUGUCAGAUCAAAAUAUAAUACUCUUUUUGGAAAUCAUGGACACAGAAUCUUCUGAUUUAAAGAAAAGUGUCCGUGAUGGCUCAGGGAAGCACUAGUGCCAGUUCCUAGUCCCAUAAAAGAUAAAUCAAAGUGAAGUAGAAACCUGUUUCAUGAUCUAACAGAUUAAAAUACAACACUCUUUUUGGAAAUCAUGGACACAGCGCUUUUUGCUCUAAAGAGAAGGGACCACCAAUUCAUAUUGUUCCACAGACAAAAAGCCAGUGUACCCUGGUGGUAUUGGGAAUCAUAUGGGAAAAUCUUGUGGUCUGAUGAAUCAAAAUUUUGCAUUCUUUUUGGAGAACAUGGAUACCACAAUCUUUGAAACUAAAGUUGAAUGAUAGCCUCUUUAGCUUGUUUAACAGGCUAUUGUGCAUGACUCCACAAAACUCCAUUGCGAUAAUGGCAGGAUAAAGGGUUGACUGCAUUGACCUUCAUUCUCAUUGAUAUAAAAUCUAACCAGAAGAGCGUGACUCAGCGUCUGUUCAUGCAUCUUGUGGUAUUUCAAUUUCCCGACUAUGCUGUAAAGCUAUGUGUUAUGUUAUGGGAGUGUUUGAAUCCAUCUGUAUUAAGGCACUAAACAAUGUCAAGGACAGCUGUAGAGUCAGACUGUUCGUGGGUUUAACAAGGCUGACAUAAAGCCACAGUGUGGAAGAAUCUUUGAAUGAACUGAACCACUUCACAACAAGGACAAAGAAGAAAAACCAAUACAUGUGAUUCUAAGUGGCCAGGAUACACUGCAUCAUUGCAUGUUUGUAAUAUAUGUAACUGCCCCGACGCCCGUGAGUGAUUAUCUCCGGACAAUUUUACAUAUGAAUCACCAGAUCAAUAUUUGGAGUCAAACAAGACCCUUUACACGAUUUAGGGGCCUUGCUUCUAAGCCAUGUCUGCUGUAUUUGAAGCAUUCCUGUGCUAAUUUGUCGGAAGGUUACCCCGGUGACCUUGCCGCUAAUUCAAUCUCAGACGGCUAUCAUAUUUCAAUCAACGUGUAUCGGCAAAGUGGGGAUAAUGAGGAGUGGUAACUGGAUUAGUGUUGAUACACUGAUGGGGGAGAUUGGACAUGUGGCAGGCCAGUAAAUCCAUCCAUUUUGGUUAUUAGAGUGGAAUAUGCAGCAACAUGAUCUAAGGUUUGUUUGGAGAUAACAAAGUGGAAAGUUGUCAGAGUUCACAUCUUGGUCUCACCGGUUUUUGAUUUUCCCUUUGUUUGAUUCUGUCCUAAAUGCUUGCUUGUUGUGGUCUUCAGUUGUUGUUGUUGUUUUUAAUUUAUUUAUGAGUCCUCGGAGUGACAAUUAUAAAUUACACUCUCAUGUUUACAUGCAUGAGAAAGCACAGUUGCACUCUCUAAAAUCCACUAAAUCUGAUGUGUGUUUUUUUCAAAGUUCUGUCAUUGUUGUUCAUGAUAAGUCUCUGUUCAGUAUUUUAAACUACAGACCUUGACCUAAAAAGUAUAAAUAGCCUAUUUGAUGUCAUUAAAUAAGUGUUGAAUGGAAUCACUCUGAGAUCUGAUUUGUUCCUUUCUCAGUUCAGUUGAGCUGGCGUGUCAGUCGGGAGUGGAACUGCUGCGUUUGACUCUUUAGUGAAUGACACACAGCCAGCCAGCCAGCAGGCGGGAGGAGUCUCGUGAUUUGCUCACAGCGAAUGAACGAUAUGUAUCAGUCAGACCGUGAACGAAACGAACGAAUCUCCGCUACAGCUGCCAUGUGUUUCAUCUCUAAUCUCUCCACUUUUCCGCCAUAUAAAAGAACGACAACUCGCGCCUGUUAGCGAUUGUGCUGCUCGCUGCCGUGUUGUUUCCGCCAAUGGCGACACAGAGAGGUGAGUUUUUCAAGGCAGGGGAGUGAUUCUUCCUUUUUGGACUUAGCGAAUGAACGACAGGUGUCACACAGUGAACGACGCUGUGACUUCAGUAGCAAGGGAGGGGAGGGGCUUAUUCAAUGAAUGAACUUGGGGCUGUGUCGCUCACUCGUGUACUGCACCUGCAGGACGGGGGCUCCAAAGCACUGGCUGAUUCAGUGAACGAAUCGUUUUCAUGAACGGAUUCUAAAGAUUCAGUACAGUCAAAAGAACUGUUCUUCCCAUCACUAGCUCAAAGCUUAUAGCCAGUGCUAUUCUUCUUGUUUUUCUUCUAACAUUAUAAUUCAUGUUAGCAUUAGCAUUAUUAGCAUUAGCAUUAUUAGCAUUCCACAACUUUUUCAGUUUUUUUGUUGUCCCUGAGAAUUAUGUUAUUGGUAACAAAUCAAAGCAAGCAGGUAUUUCUUGUUAAACAACCUAGUGUGUCAGUUUCAGCAUUUUAUAUAUUUUCUACUCUAUUUCUCUACCUCUGACCACCUUUGCGUCUUACCAUAAGAAACUGUGGGUUUUUGGUAUUUUUGCUGCCCAGGUGGAUAAAUGCAAUCUCAAAACUCCUUACUGGAGCUUUGACUAACAACUUCCUGUUACUUUCAGAAAGUUCAUGACAUAUAUAUAUAUAUAUAUAUAUAUAUAUAUAUAUAUAUAUAUAUAUAUAUAUAUAUAUUUUUUUUUUUUUUUUUUCCAGUUUCAGACAAAAAAUAAAUAAAUUCUGAUUUGACUGAGAAGGUGUGCUCAGGCAAAUAGAUGUAAUAACUUAAAAGUAUUUAUGAAAUUUAUUGACCCAUCUAUCUCCGUUUUCCCUUCUCCAAUAGACUGGUGUGUCUCGCUGCAGUCGUUAUUCUUGUUAAAAGAACUGCUGUCAUGUUAAUUAAAAAUAAUAAACCACAAAAGCAAAAAGGACCAAUAUGAAAAAAAAAAAUAUAUAUAUAUAUAUAUACAAAAAACUAAUAUAAACGACUACAUGUCUCAAAAGAUGCUGUGAGGCAAGAAUUAACAAGCGCUGUAGAUCCUCGGGGUGCGGUCCAAAACAAAUUGGCCACUGCAAAGAGAGAGUGAGAGAUGGACAGAACGAGGGAUAUGAAAGGGAUGAGUGAGAGUGGAAAUAGGUACAAAAAUCUUAACAACUAAAGCAAAUCUGGAGCGUUCCGUUUGAUAACUUCUUUUCUGGGACAUCAUAGCGGUUAACUCACAUCUACAUCAAAGCUGGAGGAGGGAAAGUGUCCGUCAUUUCCAACUUGUUUUGUAAUUUUGCCACUCUGUUUUUUCAAAGUUCAGAGAGAUUGAAAUCUUGAAACGGAUCAGUAGCUCUUACAAAGCUUUUUCCGUUUUCUCUGUUCGUCUAUCAGAGGCUUUAUGUAUUCUACAUUGGUUAAUUGAAAAGAAAAGCAGGUUUGAUGGAGCGUUUUUCCAAGUUGUGGAGCUGCAAAUUGUCACAAAGUUUCAGUAAAAGGCGUAGUAGUUUGUUUUUCAUUUCUAUAUGCAAAAUCCAAAGGAUGCAAUUAGCAUGCAUGAGUUUUAAUUCGACGUGCAAUGUACAUCUGUGCAAGCGCUGCCUCACAAGUGAAAUUCAGACGAAUGAAAGUACGCGAUUCAACUUUGUUUUCUCCUGCAGGCCAGUCACACAUCUCUGGCGUUCCUCCCUGUUCCUGAGUGGGUCUCGCAGAUACAGCCAUGCUAAUAACGAUGUGGCUAAGUGCUAUGGCAAAGCAGGGCUUAGAGUGCUUUGUAGACUUAGAAGGCCCCCUCCUCUCCAUGGCGAGCUGCUCUUUGAAGGCUUAUGGGCUAAAGUGGCAGCGAGGGGCUGGUGAUGCCAAGGCAAUCAUCUCCUCCCGAGUCGUACUCCUGCAGGGAAUGCGGACCGCUAUCAGGGCAGGGACGGGGAGGGCGAGAGCGGCGGGAGGUCAGCGACUGUGGCACCGCUUCACAGCACACACAUACUGACUGGCUGAAUAAAGUACAAAAAGAGGUUUUAGUCACACAAACAUUUCUGUGGAGGCGCCCAAAGCGGAAUUCAUGUCAGCGCUCAUGUUGGUAUGCAGUGUUCCGUCUCUUUCACUGUGCCUCACACUUACAAGAGCAAAUAAUGAACACACUGUGCUCCAAAGCUGUGAAUUCCAGCGCUGUAGCCAGCUUUCUCUGAAUUUUCAACUAAAUCUCAAGGACAUUACUCACUCAAAUCUCCAUGUCCUCCUUAACUCUCUGAAUUUUUUAUUUCCGAUUUUAAUUUAGUGUUUUAUUCCUUGCCAUGUUUGUAAUUAGUGGUUCAAAUUGAUGUAUCUGAUGGAUGUUUGAGCACAGAUAUGAUUAUUUCAGGCUACUGUUUAGCUUAUUUAGUUUCACUACAGAUAGGGUGACCAUAUUCUGACUUCCCAAAAAGAGGACAUGACUACAUGGGGGCGGAGUCACGGAGUCGCAUGAAGUUCAUUUAGAGAGUUUUUCAGGUCGGUUCGAGUGUUUUUCACAUGCUUCUGACUCAGUAAGUCCAUUGACACAAAAUGGAAACUUAACGUACAAAACCAUGGACAUUUGAAGGAUUUUCUAAACUUCCCUAACAAAACCGGACAAACCAGGACAGCCCCCAAAAAGAGGACAUGUCAGCGUAAAAAAGGGCAUAUGGUCACCCAACUACAGACCCAUUCUGUUAUGAUUGCUUGAGUUGCUAUAAUUUAAAAGGACAGCGUAGAAGACCAAACUCUUUCUCAGGCCUAAGUCCAUGAUUUCCAAAAAGAGUGCUGAAAUUUGUUGAAGCUGUUUCCCACACAGAUAGUAGUUUUAAACUGUUAGGUGGUUUGAGACCAUGACUUUUAGACCCUGUGCAGAUGACAAGCUUGGAUAUCUGACUUCUCUUUACAGUGGAGGAAGUAGUGUCCAUGAUUUCCAAAAAGAUGUCAAAUUUUGAUUAGUAUUACCACAGAACAGCUCCCUCUUUGACUGUCCAUCUUUAUAAAUUAAUUGAUUUAGUUUAGUGUCAAACGUGAAAUAAAGAGAGGAUUGUCCUUGGAGAUCAAGGAUAACUUGGUGUCCAUGGUUUCCAAGAAGAGUGCUGAAAUUAGUUGAAGUUGUUUCCCACAGUGGAUAGUAGUUUUAAACUUUGUUAGGUGGUUUGAGACCAUGACUUUUAGACCCUGUGCAGAUGACAAGCUUGGAUAUCUGACUUUUCUCUAUCCUGGAGGAAGCAGCGUCCACGAUUUCCAAAAAGCAUGUCAAAUUUUGAUCAGCAUCACCACAGAACAGUUCCCUCUUUAACUGCCCAUCUUUAUGCAUUAAUUGAUUCAGUUGAGUGUGAAAUAUGUGAAAUAAAAAUAAAUUGGUUCUUGGAGUUAGUGGAUGACAUGGUGCCCAUGGUUUCCAAGAAGAAUGUGCGAUUCUGACUGGAUUUAUCAAACUUUCCAGCUUUGCCUGCAUUGUUUUUUCUUGACCAUGUUUACAUAAGGUGCUCUCUUCCUAUGGUCCAGUUUCACUUGUAUUUGUGGAGCUCGCUGACAGGUUAGGUGGUUUCACUUUUCUAAUAGAGAGGAAGCAACCUCCAUGAUUUCCAAAAAGACUGUCAAAUUGAAUCGUAAUACAGUACAGUUUUUCUCUUAGUCCAACUUCAUUGAUUGGUUAAUUGAUUGAUUGAUCGAACAUGUACAAUAAGAAGUAAAAUAUGUGGUGUCCAUGAUUUCCAAAAAGACAGUCAAAUCUGGAUUGGUCUUAUACGAGGCCAGCUCUGCAACAAAAACGAUGGUGUUUUUAUUUUUAACUCACAUUUACUAUCUCGGAAGGAGUGAAGGAAACAGCAAAGUAUCUGAAGCCUCUUUGUGGGUUUGAUGUAGCACUUUUUGCCAUUUUUCAGAACUUUUUGACAUUUUAAAAUAAAUUGAUUUUUGUCACAAUCCUUUCAGUUUAUCCAGUGUCUGUCAGUUCUUAUAAUUUCCCCAAAGAUAGUGUUAUUCGGAGUCUCUUAUUUCCUGUUCCAUGUGUGUGAGUCACGUCCAGGAGGGUGAAAAACAUGUUUUAUGGGGAUUUUGUAACACGUCCUUUUUGCAAAAUCAAAAGUACACUUCCAUGCUUGAAAAGUUUUCCCUUUUUUUAGUCUCUGCUCAUGCAAUACUGCAGUAGGAAUUGUCAAGAAAGAGUCAAGCCUGGGUGAAAAACUGAAGAAGUGAAUCAUGUGACGCCUUGAAUAAUGUGAAGUUUUACACAAUUCCCCCGGUGAUCCAAUGCUUCAGAGGCGUUCGUGGGUUUCUCAUAGUGUGCCACCGUCCCCACCCUCGCCAGCUGAGCCUGCAUUGACUUGUGCAUUGGAUCUGAUUCAAGCUUGACAUUAGUUCCGUGACUUCUGACUGCGAGAGUUGACUACAGGCUCUUUUGACUCACAAACUCAAAAAUGUCAGCGAGUGUGGCAGGAACAGAGCAGAACACAAUGGCUGCCAGAGCAUCGGGUAGAGUGAUGAAAAAUUGGCUGCAGGGUUCCCUGUAGGAAAGAAAUGCAGAGCUGGAGCUAUUUGUUACAUAUCAAAGCUGGGCUGUAAUGCCAUCAACACAAAUGACUGCAUAGUCAUCGCGAUGGGCAGAUUAUGAGAAGCUAAAUAUGGUUGCAUCUGUUGAUGCCUGAGUCAAGGGUUGUUUUGGACUGCAUGUAGCUUGUUUAAAUACCCCUCAAGAUAUGAAAUAAUGACAUGUUUUGAUGGAAAAAUAGAUGUUCACUUUGGAUUAAUAUUUUUCUGCAUGCAUUAACAAAAAGCAUGUUCAAAAAAGUUUGAAAAGCACAUAGAAAGUUUCUAAAAUUUGUCUGCCAGUGCAUAGUUCUUCUCACUCAAGGCAUUUUUUUAACAGUACAUUAUGGCAUCAGUAGGAUACAUAAAGUGCUCAACAUAAAUGAGUACACCCCUUCAGAGUUGUCGGAAAACCUUUAGUUUCCCUCAAAAUCAACAUUUUCUAUGUCAGACUAUGCAGCAAAAUGUAGGCCAUUGAUUGCAAACAAUAUUUUUUAAGUUGCAUACAAUUUAUUUAUGUAUUUAUUUUCAUUUUAAAAUUAGGAUGCAAAAAUGAGUACACCCCAAUCAAAUUUCUGGGAGCAAAGCUGAAUUUUCAUUACCAUAUCAACUUCAUUUACAUCUUAUGCCAAAUAAAAUGUUCUGUUAAACUCAGCUUUGUCAAAACUUUGGAAAUUGUACUAAACUCAUCUAGAUAUUAAGCAAUCCAUUACUUUUAAUAGGGGUGUACUGACUUAAGCUGGGCACAGUACAUGCAUGCAGGAAAUCAAGAUUUAUCUUAAUAUCAAUGAGCCCAGAAAGCAUUUGCUAAAAGAUCUGAAGGUUCAGCCGUUUGCUUGCAGAAAACAUAUCUUCAAAGUCCCACUCUGAUCUUUUUUUUUACUACUGAAAGUUUUCUCAAUGGUCUUUAAAUAGUGAUUACCCUACUUGUUCGUGUUUAGACACUGUGUACAUGUGCUGUAGCUUCUAAUGUACUGAACAUGUCACAUGUACCUGCACUCAGUCUACAGGAGCUCUAGCCAUUUCUGUCUACUGUGGAAAACAGGAAAUAUGAUUUUUUUUUAACCAUAUGUGACAUAUAUCUGAUGUUUUCAUGUAAGUGUGAACAGUGCAAUUCUGAAUUUUUCAAAUCUGACCCAGGCCUCUUUUGUAUGUGGAUAUAAAUUGGAUAUGUAUCCGAUGUGACUGCAGUGUACACGCUCAGGUCGCGUUCAUCCGACCUAUUCGUCAUCAAUAUGCGACAAACGUCACCAUUGUUCGACAUCACAAACAGGUGCGGAAAGCAAUCGUGGACGAGGGAAUGGAGGACAGCCAGUUGUGCGCAUGCGGGUCACUUCACAGAUGCAUUCCGUUCACAUUGGAUGCUGCAUUUGUUGCUGUAAUGUGAACGACCGCACAAAAAGUUCGGAUUUAACAAAAAAUCUGAAUUGUGCAUCAUAACCUGCAGUGUGAACGUAGCCGUAACGCCUAUUUUGUCUUUAUUACUUUAUCAAGACAUGAAGUUUGAAAUAUAUUAGCAUGCGACCAAUCUUAAAAGACUGAACAUUAAUAAAAAAGUGAGGUCUACUAAAGUCACACCUGAAAACACCAAAGUUUUUCAUUUAAGUCCCCCACUCUUUUACCAAAAACUGCAUUCCCUGUGUCAUUUUCAAGGAAUUUUUUUCUGCAGAGCUCCAGUAGAUCAUUAGCAAUUUGCCUGAGUUGUGGGUGAAGACAGCGCUGCUCUGCACACUCAUCUUCACAUUAGCUUGCAGCCUAACAUUGUUGGUGUAGCAGAAGUGGCAGGUAACAUAGGCGCUAUUAAGCUCUCAGACUCAAAUGUCUUUAGGGAAACGAUGAAAGCUAACAUCAUAAUUAGCUUUCUUACAAGCAUUGCAGGCAGUGGAGGAGUUCAAGUAUCUCGGGAUCUUGUUCACGAGUGAGGGUAGGGUGGAGCGGGAGGUCGACAGUCGGUAUCAGCAGUGAUGCGGACGCUUAACCGAUCAGUCAUGGUGAAGAAAGAGCUGAGCCGUAAGGCGAGACUCUCGAUUUACCAGUCGAUCUAUGUGCUGAUCCUCACCUAUGGCUGAAAGAACAAGAUCGCGGAUACAAGCGGCUGAAAUGGGUUUCCUUCGUGGGGUGGCCGGGCUAAGCCUUAGAGAUAGGGUAAGGAGCUCGGACACUCGGGAGGCGCUCAGAGUAGAACCGCUGCUCCUCCACGUCGAGAGGAGUCAGCUGAGGUGGCUCGGGCAUCUGGUUAGGAUGCCUUCUGGACGCCUCCCAUUAGAGGCUUUCUGGACAUAUCCCACCGGGAGGGGACCUUGUGGCCGGCCCAGGACCAGGUGGAGGGAUUAUAUCUCUCACCUGGCCUGGGAGUGCCUGGGAAUCCCCCCGGAGGAGCUGGUGGAAGUGGCUGGUAUGAGGGCCGUCUGGGCUUCCCUCCUGAAGCUGCUGCCCCCGCAAUGACGACGACAAGCAUUGCAGUCCGCUAACGCACAUGCUUGUUUCGUGAUCGUCCUCUGUAUUUCUCCUCUAUAUGCAAAUGUGGCUUGCAUAGUGGGGCUUUGGGGGCGGAGCUUGAAUUGGUUACCUAUAAAAUCUCACUGUUUCUGAACCUGCCGUUUGGGUCUGCCAGAGAUUCACGGCGAUUCGAAUGAAGAAAUACUCCGCAAAGCAAUUCCACAUUUAGUUUUCUCAUGAUAUGUCCUGUAGCAUCAAAAAAAUGACACAUGAACGUAUAAAAUCAAGAAAAACUUGGUUUUCAUCAGAGUGGGUCUUUAAAGGGUCAAUGACUUGCAAGCACAACAGGAUCAGCUGCAGAAUGAAGGAUCAGAGGAGAGAGUCGAAAACUGCAGUACAACAUAUUUUGGAUCCAGAUUAGAUGGUUUUAAGUUAGCGCAUAAAGAAGUUGAAUCUUGGGAGUAUUAGAGGAGUGGAGAUAACACAAAUGAAUGCAUGCUUCCCCGUCUUGUUAAGGAGUUCCAGGGAAAAUAACUGAACACAAACCCUUCACCAUUUGCUUGUUAUUAUUAAGUGCUUCUGAGGCUGUCUGCAUUUUGAUCCUCCUCUCAUACUACAAAAACGGUGCUCUUGAGGAGGCUCAAAUAUCCCGAACAAAGGCACAUGGUGGAGGAGCUCAUCAGGUUUUCAAACUGGCACAGAGGGAACACUCAAAGGUGUUUUUGACUUCUGCUUUAAUCAAGUUCUGGGCUCAGACAGUCAGAGAAAUGAAAAAGGAAAAUCCAAACAGCAAACUCCACCACAUACCGACAGCAUUUGGGUCUCUGUCAGAGAUCCAGACUGAUUAUCGCGUGCUUGAAAUUUUGAUUGAAAGAGUAUGCAAAUCCCGUCCCUUAUUUGCAUCACUCUCUCUCUCAGAGAUGAUGAAGACAAUAUUAUCAGUUUGAGCUGAUGUAGACGAGCUAACAAAGCCGGCAGAGCCGUGAGGCGUUUUGGAUCAAUUCACAGAGUGGUAAAUGUAAAUCCGAGGAUUUUUUCACGUUUGUUUUUUACCGCUGCUGGUUUUCUGAAAUCAUUUUCAAAUCUGUACUACUCAGAGGAGAAAAUUGUGGAGACCCUUGAGUUUGAAUCUGGCAGGAUGAUUGAUAGUCAAGCUCAAUUAUAUCAUAUGUUUGUAAGGAAAACUGGGCACUGAUCUUAGACCAAUACUCCCACUCACAAUAUGCUCCACAACCGCUCUGCAGUCCCUGGCCUCUUAAAAUAGAGAGACUGUAUGUACAAACACUGACAGGGUUUCAGCGCAUCCAGAUCAGGUCUAUUUGUGUUUUCCUCUUUGCAUGAUACAGUUGCAACUCUGGACUGUGUUCACACACACACACACAACUGUUUUGAGCCCAUGCAGGGAUUUCUACUCCAGAGUUUUGUCUGCCUAUAACGCAGUGUGCUGCCUGAGGGCCCCAAGAUUAUGGGACUUGGGUUUUGGUAGUAAGCCAGCAUGCUUUGUGAUCAUGGGGACCCGCAUUCCUUUGUGCAGGAAAAAGAAACUCGCCAUCCGCUCGUGUUUGAGACGCAGCGUGCAGAUUAAAACUGCAGGGAAAGGUAGAAUAAUGCCAAGAUGGAGGUUCUACGCUGCAGAGGUGUGCAAUGUUUUCCAGGUGUAAGAGGAUUAAAGUUUGCGGCCUCAUGUUAUGCCCAAGCAUAGUGGAGCAUAUCAAUGUAUGUAUGCAUGCAAAGCAGCUGCAGUAUCUACUUUUAAGAGAAUUCAGACUAUGAAAUUCAGAAUACGAGGCACAAAUGGGAGGAAAAAAAAAAAAAGUAGUGUCAACCUCCAGAGGGAGCUGUGCAGAGUCUAACAAACUGCCUCAAGCGAUGCUGGUUGAGUCAGUGUUUGUUGCAGCAGCAGAGUCGAGGUUUGAAAAACAUAUUUUUGUAUAAAAUCAGGGGGGGGGGAGAAUGGAGCUCAUCUGUUGGCAGCUCCUCAGUUCUACUCGAGAAACAAAACACUCAAAAAACCUUGCCAAACCAUUGACCCUGGAGUUGUAGUCUGGGGAACCAAAUCUUGAAUAGAAUGAUACAACAUAGUGAGAGGAGAAGGUAAUAUUUUUGCUUCUGCUAGACCGGCUUUAUCAGGAGGAGAGGCAACACUCCCAUUAAUGAUAAAAUACUAUUUUUUUAAAGUAAUUUUAUGCAAAAUAACAUGAUAGCCAUUAACACUUACAGUUGUGUUCAAAAUAAUAGCAGUCCCACAUCACUAGCAAGAUAAAUCACUGUUUUUGUUAGAAUUUCAACUUCUACGCUUCAAGUAGGUUUCAAGAAGGUUUAGUAAAGGUAUAGAAGAAAAAAACUGACCCAACAGGCAUGACAUGCAUGCUGCUGAUUCUGUCAAACUGACUCAUCAAACAGGUGGCCUUUAUUUAAGGAUCAGGGCAACUGACGCUGCAUAUGCUGGCUGUGCAUUUGUCCUUGAAAAACAGAGUGAAAUUGGUCGUUCAAGACACUGUUCAGAAGAAGAGCGAAAUUAAUAAAAGAGGGGAAAACCCAUCAAGAAGUGCAGAAAAUGAUAGGCUUUUCAGAUAAAAUGAUAUUAAAUGCUUUAAAAUGGCAGCCAAAACCCGAAAGGCAUGGAAGAAAAAGAAAAGCGACUAUUCCAAUGGAUCGUAGAAUAACCAAAAUGGCAAAGUGGGAAUGAUCAGCUCCAGGAGGAUCAAAGACAAUCUAAAGCUGCGUUUCCAUUACAUUUUUUCGCAAAAUAAAAGCGAUGUUUAUCAAAUUUCGACAAAGUAUAAUUGCGAUUUGCGGGUGUUUCCAUUGAAUGGUGUUCAGUGCGAGCCGUGUUUAAAUGGCCGUUGCCUAGCAACGAGGUAAACUUCCUGCCCGUGCGACCUCGUAUUCCUUAAGCCUUUUUGCACACCAACAUGGACGAGACACAAAACAUUUUGCGUUUUGGAGCAGCUAUUUCUGUGACCAUUACUGCUGUUGCCGCUGCUGUCAUCAGAAGACGAAGGCAGCGGGUGAUAAUUCAAAGGCAAAGCUCGUAUGUAUGGGAGCGAACACGGAUGAGCGAUUUAUGGGAGAGGAUCGUUAAUGAGGAAUUCACAGACGAAUUGUGGAUUCAAAACUUCAGAAAAAUACAAAUACAAUUCAAAACUUCAGAAAUAACUCCGUCUCCUCCCCCGUCCACAUAUACCGUGCCAUCUACGCUUGAAAUGAACUGGUCACUUGACCCGCUACGUCACGUCCGGUGACAGAGAAUUGCGAGAAAAGUGUUUCCAUUACACUUUUGCGAUAUACUUCUAUAUCGACACUUCUGAAAAACCACCUCAUGAGAGCGUAAAAACUUUUUAGCGAUAUUUGGGAGGUUUUUCGAAAUGUAGGUGUUUCCAUUACCAGUUUUCUAUUGCGAUAUUUACGUUUUGCGCAAAUCUAUGGGUAAUGGAAACGCAGCUUAAGAUUGCCUGUGAGUACUGUAACAAUCAGACGACGUCUAUGUGAAGUCAAGCUACCAGCAAGACGCCCCUGCAAAGUCCCGUUGUUAAAAAAAAUACAUGUGCUGAAGUGGUUACAAUUCGCCAACCAACACAUUGACCAUCCCCUAAAAGAAAUGGCGUGAUAUUUUGUGGACUGAUGAGAGUAAGAUUGUUCUUUUGGGGUCUAAAGGCCACAGACAGUUUGUCAGACGUCCUGCAAACACUGAAUUUAAACCACAGUACACAGUGAAGACGGUGAAGCAUGGUGGUGCAAGCGUCAUGACAUGGGGAUGUUUCUCAUACGAUGGUGUUGGUCCUAUUUAUCCCAUACCAGGGAUCAUGGAUUAGUAAAUCAGAAUACUGGAAGAAGUCAUGUUGCCAUGUUUCAACAAGACAAUGACCCCAAACACACCAGCAAGUGAGCAAAAUCAUGGUUCCAGACCAACGGAAUUCAAGUAAAGGAGUGACCAGCACAAUCCCCCGACCUUAAUCCCAUGGAAAACCUGUGAGCUGACAUAAAAAAUGCUGUUUAUGAGUCAAAACCAAGAAAUGCAGAGGAAUUGUGGAACAUAGUACAAUUGUGCUGGGCUGCAAUACCUGUUGACCGGUGCCAGAAGUUGGUCGACUCCAUGUACCACAGAUGUGAAGCAGUUAUCAGAAACCGUGGUAAUGCAACUAAAUAUUAGUUUAUGAUGCUCAGAAAAGUUGAAUCUUUUUAGUUUAUACAGUACAUUUCUGAGUUUGUAAAGAAAGAUGUCAACACUGCUAUAUUUUUCAACAUUAAAUUUCUUGACUUUCUGGAAAAUAUUAUCAAAUUUAAUUACUUUUUCCAAUUUUCUUGCUUUGUAAUAGAAUGUGCAAAAAACAAUUUACUUGAAGAAUUUUGAGGUUUACUCACCUUUUUAAACACACUGCUCUUAUUAUGAACAUAAGUGUAUGCAUCUCUAUAGUUGGGUCUUGAGAUUCUAUGACCAUCCUCUGGCAAGGAUGUUUUGACGAUAGAUUUGACCUCUAUGGACCCUUUAGAAAAGAUUUAGCCCCCAGGUCCCUCGCAAAAAUCCCGGCAUUUUUUGCUAGACAGCUAAAUUCAAGAUGGCGGCCGGCGCCAUCUCUAAAAAUUAACUUUUGAUCUGGAUGACCUAGAAUCAUGUAUGAAGGCACUUUUCCAUACAAGUCAAGCAUGAAGAUUCCAAAUCUGACAUAGUUUUAAUCAUACAACUUUGUUUUGACCGCGAUAUCCAAGAUGGCUGCCAUCUAGUACUGUGAUUCUCAACCUUUUCAGGACUUGACCCCCCAAAACAAUCAUAUUUGAACUGGGUAACCCCCAAUUUGUUUCACUCUGUUCCACAUACAGAUAUUGUGAAAAUAGCCGAUCCUAUCCUAUCCUAUCCUGGAUUUUUGUGGUGUGGCUCGUUUCCUUUUUAGAGUAGAUAAAUUUGAAAAUGUUGCAAUAAACUAUAUUCGAAGACUGUUUUUUUGAAGGUGAAUUAAAGCCCAUGCGGUGACUUCCACUACAGAGGUUUGUGUGUUUUCAGUGUUGUGCUCCCAGACCAUGGCCAUUUGGUGUUUGUUUUGUGUUCAUUAUUGGUCUAGCCCUCAUUUUGUAGAGAUUUAUGGAGAAAUUGUUCCAAAGCUGUGGAAGUAUUAGCUCAUUUGUACUAUUCGUAAUUAAAGAGUGGUUUGUUAGAGUGGAUUUUACGAUUAGUGCGUCUUCUGCACUCAAUUUUCCAGUUCCUGAGUUGCACAUGGGACUAAUGAGCAGUUUGCAGACUCUUAAUACUUUUAACGGCUUAUCAAAUUAGUUUGUUUGUUUUUUUGUAAUAAAGAAAUCCCACAAAGUUGUUGAAAUGAAAAAAUAAAAAAUAACAGAAAUAUUUUAUGAAUUUGGUUCUGGGCAAGCCCUCUCAUACUAACCACCACAACUCCCCUGUCAACAACCCAGUCGAUGAAAAAGUAAUAAACUCUUCCUUUUCAUCGCAUCACAAGGUGAAGCGCAGGUUACCGUAUGAAACACGAACCAUACAAUUAGUCUCGCUAUUCACACACACUCACACACGGUGUUAUUCUAUCGCUAAAUCGUACCACACAAGUUCAUUCACAGGUCAAACACACGCCUACAGCCAACAAACUUCCAGACACUUGCUCUCGGCAUUUGCUCAUCAUAGCGCCUCACUUACAAAGCUGAAUCUCUUUCCCCUGCAAUCUUUUCCCUAAAAUGAAGCUGUGGUCUAUCAGGACGAGCCCAUCUGGGGAAUACGAGUUGAGGGAAAUUACGUAUUCGGCAGGCGACGCCUUCUUGAUUUCCUCCGGGUGUUAAAAAAACAAGGGGAAGAUGGAACCGAGGGAGGCGGGGGAUGGGGGCAAAAUUAAAUUAUGCCUAAUUACCAGAGCAAUCGAUAGCAAAUUGAGUUGAUAUGCAUCCUUCAUGACUUAACUAGAUAUCAGAUAACGCGGGUAUGCAGCACAUUGUAACAGGAGUCAGUGGGUAAAAGGUGAGCCACGUUUUGCGAUGGCAGGAGUACAGGGGAGUAAGUCCUGAGUUAUCUGAUCUGUCAGGGUUCCGGCUGUUGUCGUCUGGCCGCUCUCCAAAAUCAGGAAUUGAGGAGACACAGGAGGAAGGUUGUUGCUAUUGUCAGGGGUAAGACACCUUGUUGACUCUGUCAGGAAGCCAAAAUACAUCAAAAUAGAAGCAGGGGACGUCAUUCUGAAUGUCAUUUUUAAUUGAAAAAUAAAUAAGAAGUGGCGUUGCCCAAGGCUACAAAUCAAGCAUAUCAUAGCAGCAGUAUCAUCUGCACAAUGUUGUCGGGUUUAUUAUUCAUCAAGCCGAAUUCAUCCUGCCCUUAAAAGGAGACAAGCGAAGUUAUGUGACCUCGGUGCUUUUAUUUUGGCAGCGAGUGAUGGGCAGAAAAUGUGAUAGAGCAGAGCAGCCCGCCCCGGUAAUCAGAGAGGAACCACAGGGUCACGAGUACGACGCCUCAGAUGACCAGCGAGUUUGUAACAGUUGAUAUACCCUGAAGCGUCAGACUGCAAUGCUGCUUUUAGAUGACCCUGCAACAAAGACGGUGAAUCAAGUCGGACAAACCAUCUUUAGUUGGAUGUAAGUGAACUCAGAUUCCCCAGAAGCAGAAAGUAAUGUCAUGUAAAAGUGGCGUUAUUUAGAAGGAGGGUUAUUGAUGUAGGAAUUGGAUGGUGAAGUCUAGGUAUGAUUGCCACACCCCAUCUGCUACCGUGAAAAAAAAGAAAAAAAAGAAAUGCAAAACAGCGUUGUCUGACAGUUUGACACUAUUUUGGUGAUGGACAUGAAAUGCUAUAGUAAAAUAAAAAACUUUUAACCUGGGAACUGUUCUUUUAUUGUCUUUUCAUAUUGUGUCUUUUUAAACCUUUUACAUUGUUGGUUUUAUUUCUCAAUAUUUUUUACAUUUUAUAUUGUGUUUUUUUUUUUUUUUAACUAUUUUUUAUCUUUGUAGGGCUUCUUUGAACAUCUGUAAAAGCGUGUUAUGAAUAAAAUUUAUUUAAUUUAAUUAACCAAGGCCUGUCUUAGCUCACUUGUCAGACUAACUGAAGCAGUCCAUCUCUCGUUGUUUAUGCCAAUCACUUUUGUUAGCAUUGAUAAAUUUGUGUUAUUGCUACAGUCCUCUCUCGUCAUGCUCAUUAUGUCCCUCUGCUUAACUAUCACACACGCAAACACUUCUGUCUUCCUGCUCUUAUUCAUGCUGCCAUUUAUGUAGCAUCAAAGUACUGAUAAAAGUGCAAUAUUUAGAACUGUUUACAUAGAUGAGGCGGGCUCUGUGACCUUUCACAGCACAUUUUGGCUUCCAUUUUAGGAAGCUGGUGUGUCAUUCCUCUAUUUAUACUGCACAAACUUAGUGUUUGGAGUAAACUUUCAGUACAGAGUUAAAAAAAGUACAGAGCGAGGACAGUCAGUAGAUGUCUGCAGGGAUACAAGGCAACAUGAGGACAAGUUUUCGUCUUCAUAUUUACCAAGGCGAAUAUUUUUAUUUGCAAUUAUCCCCCUGUUAGAAAGCUAAACAUAUCUCUUUCUACAUCAUUGGCGUUGCAACAAAGAUCAAUAAACCAUGGCAAAACAUAAUACAUUUCGCACAGCUUGGUGGAAAGGGUUUUUUAAUGCACUCGUAAAGUAUAGAGAAACAUUAAAGUUACUCUUGUUUAACACACAUAAUUUGCAACGGCACUAAAAUAAGGGACAUUUAUUGAAGAGUUAAACAGGGCAAUUUUAUGAAGUAAAUGUUUAUCUACCUGAAUGAGUAGCAAGCAAAUUUAUCUUUUGUUUACAGUGACUUCGCACAGGCGGAUGUUCUGCUUUAAAAACAGGCACUUGGAAAUAAUGAUGUCUUUAGCAGGAGCUAUUAAAUCCUAAAAGCUAAGUAGGGACUGCGGCAAAGACGGCUCUGUCCUCAGCUCUGCCUGUCGUGUAUUCGGUCCGUGUCACUCUAUCUUGCUAGCUUCAACGCCGGCUUUAGAGACUGAAGUCAUGUGUCUAAUUAAAGCUCUAUCAAUAGCUCUACCAGCAACUCCAGCUUGCUUCAGAACUAGCAUUGUGGCUACACCGUGACUCUUUUUCUUUUGGCGUGUACAGCUAGUCAUGGUCAGGGAAAAUACACAGCUUGAACUUAAAUAGAUUGCAAAUUUGCACCUACAAUUUUCAGUCUAUUCACCAGCAAAUCUUUGACCCAGUACCAAAAACUCUCCAUCCAUCUACACUCUAGAAAUGCUCCACUGUGCACACUGCAAGGAACUGUCAACCAUCACACUGAGUGCAGACAGGUGGGGCUUAAUUCAUACCCAUGGCUGUACCUCAAAACGCCCCCAAGCCGGAUUAUCGCUCCAGCCAAGGUGAGAUGACCAAACUGCCCUGACUUGACUUGUGCUUUUGUCCGACACAACUCACCGUGGACAGAGUUGGCACCGGAGGAAAAGUGGCGAGACGGAGAAGACGGCGCACAUCGAAAAAAAAAAUAUAUAUGUUCACAGCUCAUCUCGAAGUAUUCAGGGUAUGUAGCAGCCUUAAACACAGUUUUCACAUUGAGCGGAUGCUGGCUGAAUUCCAUUUUUUAUAAGUAUGUUGAAGCUCUAUGGCCAAAAGCACAAGACUGCAGUAAUGCAUUAAAGCAACCUACUCCCAAGUGUAAAUUUGUAUGUGUGUAAGGACACACACACACGCUCAUACACACAGAUAUGGCAUUUCCACUUUUUACUGCUUGUUUGCUGAACCGCUGCAGCAUCUUGGCUCCAUGCCCUGGAGCAGAAUCAAAAUACUGUUCAGCUGUUAGAAGUUACAAAAGAAAGUCCCAUAACUAGUUUGGUCAGACAGUAAAUGUUACAGAGCUCUAAAACUGUCUGCAGUGUUGAUGCGGGAAAAUACACAGAGGGGGCUGUUGACCACCCUGGCAGUGUGUUUUAGUGCGCGCUGUGCUGUCAGAUUACUUUUGGCAGUCUGCUGCGUAGUUAUAAAACACCACCAUUAUUCAUUGCUGCUAUAUUCUCUCUGAAUUAGAUGUGUAUUCGCCAUUGCUGUUUAGGGUAAUUCCUUAUCCCACAGUACACAUUCAGUUUAGUAUCUGCCAGUCAGUAUCACUGAGCAGAUAUCAUAGAGUUGACACACCGCCAGAACUUUCAACUCCGAUAUGGCGCUAAAGCUAAAAGUAGACAGCAUUGAUACCUAUUUCAUUACAUGAAUGAACUCUAAAGCGUCGAAGUUGGGUGAAAUUAUCAUUUGGUUUCCAUUGUGUACACUGUGCCUCUACAAAGAAAGAAACUAAGUUUGGAUCAUACAACGAAAGGUUGAUUCAACUUUGGUUACUGUUGCAAACAUGCGUAUGUGUAUAUUUACUUAAACUCUACUUGAGGUGUAGUUGGCAGUUAGCGCCAUUUUGAGGGGUGUCCGAAACCUGAGUGAUCAAUUCCAAUGCCCCAUAUGGGCAACUCAAAAUUUACCAUAGAGCAUCACAAAAUGUAGUGACCAUCCAAUGGUCACUCACUGGUGGUGGGCAUCCCGUCAUGCAUUGCGUAUCCAGCAGCACUCUACAUCUGCUUACUGUACUGUUCUGGCAAGGAACCUGGCACAAUACUCGCCAGGAGAUGGCGUAGCCUGACAAAGAAGACCACGUAAUAUACUGAUGCUUUUUUUUUUCUCCGUUGAUGUAAUGAACUGCCCACCGUUGUUUAGUCUCUCACUUACAAUUCCACGACGUCUUGCUAGCGUCGAACGGCACGACGCAGUCUUCUCUGGCGUAUUUCUAUUUGUCGGUUUGUUCUUAUUAAAAACCAACUGCCUCAUGACGAGAACAAGAAGAGACAGAACCGAGAGACCGAGCUCUAUUUGCCAUUUUCAGCAUUUUUAAUCUUCACUUUACUCACAAGUGAUCCGUACAGUUUUCGAAAAACAAUUGUUCGCUGCGUCAUAAAGUCUCGUGCACAAUAUGAUGCAGCAUCCUGAAAAAAAACAAAUACAUCUAUACAACAUCAUGAAAUUCAAGAGGUGUGUAAAAAACAGCCGCAACUUCAGACACGGCAGUCUGAGCAGUGACGUCACAACGGUGCGCCAUGUAGUGUCCGAAACCUCCGGUGAUUGAGUGAUUCAUUUUGGACACAGCUGUAGUUUCUAGUCUGGUUUUUACUUCCCUAGUUUUCCCUCCCUCGUUAAUCACUAACGAGUUUCACCUGUGUCUCGUUUGCCUCACCUGUUGCUCGUUACCCAGUGUGUACAUAGUCCCUGUCUUCCCCGCUGUCCUGGUUGGUUCAUUGUAUGUAUGUUGAUGUGCAUGCUUGUGUCCGCUGUUGCUCCCUGUGACUUUUCUUCAGUGAUUUUGAUGUAUUUUUCUCUUUUGAUGCUUUUUCAUUUAAUUCUUUUAAUAAAGACACUUUUUGUUCUGCAUUUGGGUUUUUUCUCUUUGUCUAACUCUGCUAAAACACUGCUGAAUGCCAUUUAAAUUUCAUUUUGCUAACAGCUUACACGCAAAUUCGCUUUGUUCACGCUUCAUAACUGAGACCCAAUAACUUCACGUUAGACUCAGGAGAUAAUUUAUGUCACAAAGACUCACUUUUCCUCUUUUGGCUUUGCUUCCUUAAGUUUUCAACAAAGUAGAGAGAGUUUGCAGAGUGGAGAUCUAAAACUGUCAAACAAUUUGCCUGAGGACAACCAGGUCUGCUGAGUCAGUUAUCUAAGGCUCUCCUUAAAACAGACUAUAAAAUGUAAGCAAAUUUGUUGGCAGUUUUUCUGGGAUAACAUUGUGUUAUCUGAAGGGAAAGAAAUACUGGAGUAUUCCCUACAAAUUUAGUGAUAACCCAUUAGGGCUCAUUUUAGCUUUAAAGUUCACAAUGGGUGGAAAUGAUGUCCAGUCUCAUGGGGAUGGAAAUUGAGAUCUGGUUCCAUUUAAUACCCGUUUAUGUAGUUUUCAAAACCCCCAGAUCAAUAGGAGCGUAUUGAUUCUGCGAAGAGUCUCAUGGGUCCCUCAUUAAAGAGUAAGGUGCCACUUUUUACCCAGAAUGCAAACCUGCAUUUAAAAUCUAGGGGAAAAGGUAAUUCAAACUGAGCUGUUUAAACUCAUAAUGACACAGUAGACGAGCGCAUUAGGCCACCUGCUGGAUCCAGUAGAGGGCACAUUCGUCGUAACCUGACUAAUGGUCUUGGUGAACUAAUACCGUCAUGUUAUUCUACAAAAAUGUAGGACAUGGUGGGGCAAAGCCGCACCAAUCAUGACGCCAAAACAUUUUAAGAAGCAUGACUGCAUAUGACUGCAAAUCAACUUGUACAAAGAAGCUGUCUUAGUCAUGAAUGAUGAAAAACUCGUCAACUGUCAUCAAGGUUCUUUCGUCAAAGAAAACCCGACUUUUUGCUGAGCCUUGUUGGUAAAUUUACACCAACUGUGGCUGGUGCAUCACUGUUAAAAAUAAAAAGUAACCAUUGUUUUCUUCUGAAGGGGAUUAUGUUCAUUUGUGUUGGUUCUUGCAGCCAGCAAUGUAGCAGUCGGUGUGACCACCGCAAACCUUUGACAUCUCGACUCUGCAACGCCAACUGGGACCUCAAACGUGUGGGAGGAAGCAGGACUUUUAAAAAUGUCUACUUUCUUUGAAAGAAAUUGAACUUUUCAGAGUAUAGAUGGACACGGAAAGUGUUAGAUAAGUUAAUUAAUGGAUCUUUGUGCAGAUAUCCUCUUCAAUAUUUAAGGUGGUACACAUGCCACCUUAAUAAUUAACCUAAUUAAAUUCAGCAUUGAAUUAUUAACACUGCCGAGUGGUCUGCUGUAGUCUGAUCGGACAAGCUGGGGCUUUAGCAGAUUGAGUGCAUGCUGGGAAAACUAACAAGGCUCACACUCAAUCACACGCACACACACACACACCUCCUUUCGUUUCACCAUUGGUGCUGGUGAGUGGCCAAAGGCAGGAGGUGUACAAUGCAGCUCCCAGGUGCGAAGUGGUGAAUUUAUCCAACUCUCCCUCCUUGCUGUGAACAAGCAUGUGUUUUGGCAUAAAUCUCUCUGCAGCACUUUUCCUGUGCUCCUUCCCUACUUGGACUUUAAACCACCAGUUUUAAAAUAUGCAGCAAUGAAGACAUAAUUCUUACCACACUGUGCCCGCUUGUAGCAAAAGAAAAACAAAUUAGAGUGAGCUUUUUAUUUUCUAAAAGUUGGUUUUAUCAGGAAAAUAUUGCUUAUUCUUUUACUUUAAUGGAUUUUCCAAAAGAAGCAUAAUUCAAAUAGGUUUAAGUGAGAUUUAUUUCCUGUAUUACAAGACAGGCCACACUCCCUGAGAAGGCAGCUCGGGCCAUCACUAAUAAUAAAACUCCAUAAAUGUGAUGUGGGCAAUAAAGCCAGUAUAAUAAACUCCACUGCAGAGAAACCAGGAUCAUAUUUUCUGUGCUAUUAUCUGUAAAAAACCAAAUCCACAAAACACAUAACUUUUUUUUUUUUUGCUGUGUUUUCAGUCACUGCAGGUGCUGAAAAGUAUGAUCUGCUUUGGCUCUAGAGGCUGAAAACAGACGGUGUAAAAUACCCCAACAUACAGAAAAUCAAAAACCUGCUCACAAAGACUGUCUACGGUGCUUUAGUCUUUGUCCAAAGGCUUUAUCUUGCAGGUGGGCUCAGGCGGAGAAAACAAACCAGCAACAUAUCAAAACAGGGCCGAGCCCCGGCGGGAUGCGUUCAGUACGCCGGCUUUUUCUUCGAGGCGUUUAAAAGCCAGUGGGUAUUAUUUUUAAUGAUUGUUUAUUGAGACUAAUCUGCCACCUUAAUCAAAGGGACCUUUGCAAUCUGCGCGUCUGGCACUUUUUCCUCUCCCUGUUUAUGCUGCUGGCUGUUUAUGCCGCGCCUAAAGAGCGCAUAUCAGCCAAAUGUAUUUUCAAUCACUCACAGACCGGAUUGGGAUAAUUAUGUGGAGCCGCUCGAUUCAUUUGCGUCGCAUGUCCAAAUGUUUCCAUCCCAUCUUGUCGGAAGGUCACCGAUUUGGAUUCGGAUAAUGGGGUUCAAUCAAGCAAAUAAAGCAAAGAUUACAUGUAAGGAACGACAAAGAGCUGCUACAGAGCAGGUUUUUCUCUUGAUUUGAAAAGGCAUCGCAGGGCUUACUUUUGAUUUGAACAAACAAGUGAAUCACAGGGAGAGGCGUCCUUUAUUCCUUAACUGCAUGGUGACUCACCAUCACAUUGUAGUGGCAUGUUGAAGGUACAUUGUACAGCUUUUGUAAUGCAAUUUUGAGGCCAUGGAGGUCCAACACUAGAUUGAGGUCUUUUGUGUGCAUUUUUCUCAUCUGAAUCAUAGAAUUUGGAAAUUGUCUCCAAAGUAGGCUGUGUGCUUUUGGGCCUGAGGAAAUUUAAUCGAUAAAAUCUACAAUAUUAUCCUCAUUAGCAAAAACAUAAGGGACAACUUUUCCAAAAUAAAGUCUUUUGCAGUAUCAAAAGCAUCUUGCAAGUCACUCUGAGCCUGAGAGUGUGUUUGAGGCAGAGCAGUAAAGAACAGUAUCAUCUGCAUAUACAUGUAAAUUUGCAUUGGGAAGAUUUUGACCAGUGCUGGUAGAUUGUGAAAAACAGUGGUCCUGAGACAGAACCCUUUCACUACCUCAGGAGAUUCAGAGGUUAGUCCUUCAGCCUGCACACACCGCGACCUGUUUGAUAAAUAAUUGUCUAACCAACAGACACAUUGUUCAUGAUUUCAUAGUCCACAGUGUCAAAAGCUUUUGAUAAAGCUUUGCUACUUGCGCCACUGUCCACCGUUAUCGCUGUACUACAUCUGAUGCAGCCAGUAGAUCAACUGUAAACAUUGCCGUUUCGAGCGUCUUUGACUGCAUAGAUCAUCCCUUAUCAUGGGUAGCAUGAUGGAUACUUGACAGAUCCAUAAACUUGUUUACAACCGGAUCAUGAUUUACACAGUUUUCUUUUGUUCUGCGAAACCAUUCCUUGAAAAAAACCCAUAAAACCUCCACCUCGAGCGCCCUGCUAUAAAUCCACUGAAUACUUUGUGGAGAUUCUCGGAAAACUUUUCCGAUGGAGGCUCCUUGGCUGUCCUUGGUCAAGUCAGACUGUGAUGAAUCAUGCAUCGGAUCAAAGUGAUCCUGCCAUCCUUGCGGGGGCACAACACUGUCUGCUGCUGCCGUCAUCCCACCUGCCGCCCUGGCGUCAGGUGCAAGAUGUCACCCAUGCUACUGUCCCCUGCAAGACCAAACCCUCCAGUAGUGGGCUUUACUUAGUCUUUCCGCCGACAUGCCUCUUCCUCACUCCACUGCUUCUGCAGCUGCUGCUUGUUGGCGCCCAUCUGUUAAGGGUAUUGUUUAUGUGGUUGGUGAUCCAGAACUCAUUACCAUCCCACCUUCCCCUAUACACUAUUGUUCUUCUCUCUAAUAUGUCUCUGAUGCAAUCUGUCUUGAGGAGAGGAUUUUUUUUUUUUUUUUUAAAAAGCUGGAAACUGACUGAGGAUAAAAGAAGAGAAUAUCGCAGAUGUUCAGACUUCGGUCGGAGGAGAGAACAAUGAUAAACCUUGAGAGAAAAGUUGGAUUUUAAUAUCAAAGUUCUCAUCGUCUAGAAAGGAGUAAACAUAUUUUAUAUAUUACAAGUUGCUUAAAUGACAGGAAAGCUUUAAGAAAAGUCUUUACUAAAUAAUGAAAAACCUGAAUCACUUUUCUGGGGUAGAUUUAAGUAUCAUUCAAACCAUUGUGAGAUGAUGUCUCUUAUACAGAGAUUCAAAAUGCAACACACCUCUUAAAGGGAUAUUCCGGCGUAAAAUUAAUUUAGGGUCAAACACACCAUAACACCGAGUUAGACACCCCGUCCAGAGAUUAAUAUUGCCGACCGCUUGCUUCGAUAGUGACAACAACUUCGAUAACGACCGCAGGAUAGUGAUACACAGUGGUCUGAGGAGCCAUAAACAAACCUCAACCAAAACACCACUCUAUAGCGACAUAUAAUGCUCAGAACAGCACCUAACUUCAUCAACAGGACAUAUAGGGUCCUAGUCACAGCACUUGCCACCAAACAUCUUUUUAGCUUUGCCUAAUUUCUUUAGCAAAGAGACUACACACAACUCACACACUCUCUUCCAGCAGCCGCUUGUUUGUUGCGAGAAUUCUGGCCAGUCCAUUACGGACUGCUGUGGGGUGACACAGCUCAAGGAACAACAUUUAUGAUCAUUUCUUCAAGGAAAUGCAAUCAGACGGAGAUGCUGAGGCAGAAGAACUACUGCGUCUGCAGUGCAAAAAGGUUUAAUAUGGUGAUUAUUACUUAAGGGAAUUUAUAAAGAAAUUAUCAUAAAUGUUCUUCCUUGAGCUGCGACACCCUGCAGGACUGGCCCGAGGCCUGGGGUUAGUAUAACUAGAGAAUCAACCGGUCUGCAAUAUUAAUCUCUCAACAGGGUAUCUAACUCGAUUUUACUGUGUGUUUGACACUAAAUUAAUUUUACGCCGGAAUAUCCCUUUCAGUAAGAAAUCAGGUGGACGACUGUGAGUAAAAACUUUCCGAUACCAUGAAACAGUAACUAAUACAUCAAAUUCACGGCACUAGUAAAAAUUACAUAUAUUAUUUUUUUUUCACUAUUAUUUCUUUAUUAUUAAAUAUUUUUCAAUAGUGGUAAUUAUAGCUACUUCGUGGGAAAAACAUGCAGAUACAGGAUAAUUCCGACAUCAUUUGCACCUAAACUUUUUGAUAUGUUGCGAUUUCAGCUCAAGUGAAGUGUUACUCGAGCAUGCAAAGGAUGUAACUUUUUGUUCCAGAGUCACGGCCUGUAUCUCAUUUAAGUCUUGACAGAAACAAAAUUGUUAGUGGCUGACACCCUCUCACAGUUUUAGAUGACAGAGAUGUACUUCACAGCAUAUGAGUGCUGCUGCCACUUCACUGUAUUAGCUGCCUUCCUGAAUUCUUACUCCUACUAUCGUUGAAUAUGAGAAAGACUGCGGGCCAUGUUUAACCACUCGUAGACGCAUGCUGCUUUUUGAUUCGGAAGAGUGUUCUUCAGCGGCUCCCAGUAUAUAUCUGUCUUCAUAUUUAUUCAUGUGAACUUUGUCAAAGUACAGCUAAGACUUUCAGCCAUGCCCGCCACUGUCUUUGCCCGAGGAAGGCAGUAAGUAUUCUUGUGAGCAGCUCCAUAUACUUGGAAAGGGCAACAAAAAUGUCUGAAAUUAAAAGUUACUCAUGAUUCAAGAAGUUUAUACAGAGAUACAGUAAAGGAGCUAGAAUGUAUAGCUACACAUUGAUAUGCAUGAUUGAUAUUAUAACAAGGACCUUUGAAGACUUUCAUGGGGGGUGGGGACUUGAGACGACAAGGUUGGUGAGAUUAGUGCUAACAAGUGUCAAGCGUCCUUUCUGCAAUGGUGUGUACAUCUAGAGUGUUUGUGCUCACUCAACUAGUCCACUAUCUCUCUCUCUUUGGUGACAUCCAUUAGAAGGCCUUUAAAGAUCAGGCGCAACAUCACAGUAUCAUCUGCAAACAAAACGAUUCGCUCACUCCUAGUUGGAAAACCCUGGCUUUGCACAGACCAGGGAUCCCUGUGUAUUUGUGGAUUAUCAUCAGAAAUCAGUUUAGGUGCAUCCAGGGGCCACUUGAUAUACAUAUGAUACACAGGAAGGGCAUUUUGUUCCAUUUUUUUACACAUCAUAUGAUUGUUUCAUAUGGUUUCAAUAGCAAAGGUUCUGAGUAUUUAAAUACGUCAUCCCAAACCAUCAGCGUAGUUUGUCCAGGAAGCCCAGAUAUGUCAGUCUGUGACAUUGCCCUUCUUUGUCGCCCUGCUCUGAUCCUGUUCCUAUAAAAAGAGAGGCCCAGGAGAAGAGGAGGAAAUAUUUAGAGUGAGCAAACAGCAAGUAUUUGUGCAUCCUCCUAUAUUCUAACAGUGGCUUCAGGUUGUUGUUUGCCAACCACAGCAUGUGUUUGUUGACGGUCAACCCAACUGCAUAUGGGUGGCGGUUCUCUAGUUUGCUUAAUUAGUGCUGAUGACAGUAAUCAACCUGUAGUGAUGGGCUUAUCGGAAAGAGAACUGUGCCACAUUGAUUAGCCAUCUACGCUAUGUUUGAUACAGCAAACCAGUCUAUUCACUGGCAGAGUGCCACUCUUACUCAGGCUGUUUAUUUUGUCGUCCCAGCAAAGCACAGUAAGCGUUCUUUUAAAUGGACUCAGCUCUUUCUUUAUCCUCAAGCAAACUUCACUGACUGUUCAGAAAUCUAGCAAUUAUUAGCCCAUCAGGUUGUUGUCUGCACCCCGAGGUCCCGGGUGUGUAUAAACUGUUGUGACCACUCCACAAAGCUCUCUCAGAGCAAAUUGCCUCAGUAAAUACCCUGUGUAUAUCCUAACAGGUAAUAUUUAAAAUUCUGCAACGCCAAGUCGCCCAAGCCUUGAUAGAUGCGUCUGCCUGCUACAGCGAUGAAUAAUGCAAAUGAAACUAAUUCUUUCUGACCUAGUGCCAAGCCUAAUACACAUUCAUAUGCUUCGCUAGUGAAAGAUGUGAGAUUCCUAUUAUGGGAAGGAAGCAAUCUGUAUUUUAAUAAUGGGACUGAUAGACCUUGGCCUUCCUUUCUCUGUGAGUUUUCCCCUAUAUGACAUCUUGUAGAGUUUAAUAGUAACAAUUGCUUUCUAUGUAGAGUGGGGAUGUGUAUUCAAAUGAGACCUUUGUGUGUCUGCUGUUCUUUUUGACAGGUGCAGAUGUACAGUAUUCGUACAGCGCUCAUAAAAAGUCCUUGUGCUACUCAAAUUUUAAAAAAGAGCCGUGAUAGAUGUUGAUAAAAAAAAAAGAAAAAAAGCUAUUACUGGUUGGAUACUUUUGAUAAAUGUGAUCAUAGGGAUGAAAAGGGGGAAAAAAUUUGCUUGUGAGAGACUGUGUGAGCAAAUACUCUCUAGUUUCAGAAUAAUAUUAAUUAGCAUUUGUAGUGAGGUUCCAAUCGCUUUGAAAUUGUUAUUUCUCCUUUUUUAAAUUUCAUUUUAGCUUUUUGUUUUCAUUUUCAGUUUAGUUUUGAUUUGUUUAUUAAGGCUAGAUUUUAAAUUGAGUUUUCAUUACUUUUGGAGUGCGUUUGUUUUUUACCUCCGCCAAGGAGGUUUUGUUUUCGGUAGCGUUGGUUGGUUUGUUUGUUUGUCUGUUAGCAACUUUACGGAGAAAGUAACAGACAGAUUGACCUGAAAUUUUCACCAGAGGUGCGUCUCAGCCCCAGGAGGAUCCCAUUUAAUUUUGGUGGUGGUCCGGACAAAAUUCUGGAUACUGUGAUCCAGAACACACAAAAUAAGGGUGUCAUUGGAAUUAUCAAUGCUGAAAGAUAACCAAUAGGCGGCACAGUGGUGUAGAUGGGCGGCACAGUGGUGUAGUGGUUAGCACUGUCGCCUCACAACUAGAAGGUUCUGGGUUCAAAUCCGGGUCAGGGCAUUUCUUGUUUUAGGAACAUUAUGAACAGUGAACAUACCAGUUUAAACACAAAUAAAAGUUAAUAAAAGACACGUAACAGUAAAAGUUUUGGUGUGAAUCACAAUAUAAGGGGGGACAUGAGCUGCUUGGUGGAGGUCUGCGCUCUCUGAGUGCUUUUCUAGUUGUAACAUGGGACAAAUGUCAGGGGCAAGACCUCCUGAAGUUAGACUCAAACCAACACUUAGCUAUCUGUUUGCCUUCUCAGAGACAAUGCCAAUGUUAGCGUGAACUAUUUGGCUGGUUUUGCAACACAGAUGCAGUAAUAAAUACUAUCUAUUGCUGUGCAGGCUUAUCUACUUUAUACCACCCCAGCACAGUGUUGGUGCUGGGACUGUGCAACCCCAGUCAAAAAGGUCUAGACACACCCAUGGGAUUCGGUCAGCUAUCUGUACCCUAUAUAAUAUUGCAAAAAGUGUCGGAUAGAGUGGAGAAAUCUCUGUUCAAAAGGGAUAAAGCUAAAAACUGAAAUUGGAUGAUGGCACCACAUGACUCUGGUGUGAAAGUCACUGCAUAGACUCAAAAUUACCUCCAAUGUCUCCUGUUUUUAAACACUUGUUACUGCAUCCUCAAAACAUGAUGCAGUGAUCUCUCAAGCCCAUUUUAGAUGAACUUGGGUGGAUUUUUGUAUAGGAUGGUGACUUGACUGAGUAUACACCUUUUGCGGGAAUCAUGUAUUCUUGGCAAAGCAUAAUAUAAAUAUCUGAUUCACAAAAAUAAGAGCUGUUCAGUAAACACCAAAUCAUUUGACUAUGCAGCCAAUUCAUGAUGAGUUUGAGUCACAAAAUUUACCUUCGAGUACCAUCGCAGCAUUUCCAAACUAACUCCAAACAACAGAUCCUUUUCCCCCUUUGAUGCUCACAUGUAUGACAAAUGGAAGGUCUUACUCAACCAAAAUUUGUUGCAGAUGUUUCAACUCCUCUUAGAUUAAAAAGAGCUCAACCAUAAAUAUCUAUUACAUUGGUACAUUUCCAAGAGACAUGGAAAUAAAUCUUCAUCGGGUGCAGGGAUGUCCCACCUUCACAGAGGAAGGGGCGUAUAAUGAAAGUCAUGUAAGCCUCAGAUUGGAUCAGAGUGGCUGGUUAAUAUGCAGUACACUUGGUCCACAGCCCAUGAGUGCUCAAUUUGAGGCCCACCAAUUUGCUUUGGAUGAUCUGGCAGCCAUGUACUCGGUUCCCCACUUAUGUGUAAGAGUGUUUUUCACAUUUAGGCAAAGGGGGAAAAUGGUUCCGACUCAUUGCAGAUUUUGGAUGCCAAUAAUAUUAAACCAUGCAGUGAACUCACAUCUGUGUAUAGCCCACAGCGUAGGACAGGGGUAUGAAAAUUCAGCUGGGCUGCAAGGGACUCAAAUGCAACAAGCAAAUUCAACGCCUAAUGACAAUGGAGGAAAACCAUUACCAUUGAGUCUGUUUUUGCAGAGCUGUUGUAACAAACCAGUAUUAUAGUGAGCAUAUGCUGUUAUCAUGUUGUGUUGUAUUGAUUUGUGAGUGAAAAAAACAUCAGAUCUAGGCGCUACAUUUGGUGUUUAAAAUUUUAUUAAAGCAUUGCGAUUGAUUAGAGUUUGUCUGAGCAUUCAUGAAUAACUAUUUUAAUUUUACAUACAAAAAUUUAUGUGAAUUGUUUUUAAUUUAGAAGCUAAUAUAUUCCCAACAACCUCAUCUCUAAACCUAUUGGGCAUACGAGCUAAAAUUGGAUCUAUUACUUCACAUCAUGUUCUGGACUUCAUGUUCAAGCCAUGAAGCUGGCUCCUGGCAAAGUUAGUCAAUGUCAGCAAGGGAGCUACCUGUCAAGAAUCGUUACCGUCCACCCACCCACCUUCCCACUAAUAAUGUAUGACAAUCUCAAUGAGUUUUCCAACUUAAGAUUCCAAACCAAAUUUCAGCCGCUCGCCUCCCCAUCUGCUAAUUUGAAAAGCCUGAAAUCAAUUUACGACACAGAGUGGAUAGCUUUGGAUGGUCCCAGUAUCUCUCCCCACUUAUUCAGCUGGGUCCUCUCAGAGGGGGGAAGGCGUAAUUCAACUACCACUCUAUAAAUUCCAUUACAUGGUGCAGGGUAUGGCUGUGAAAGUGCUGUGUCUAAUGAAGAGCUCGUGGUACCUGACAGCCCGCUUGGAGUUUCUGCUGCAGCACAGCAAUAAGAGCAGAGAGAGGGCUUCUGGGGGGAAAAUGCUCGAGACAGGGUGUGUGAGUGUGUUAGAGAGAAGUAUAGACAAAGUGUUUGUUCGUGUUUGGACACUGUGUACAUGUGCUGUAGCUUCUAAUGUACUGAACAUGUCACAUGUGCCUGCACUCAGAGUCUACAGGACUCUCCACUGAGCUCAAGCUAUUUCUGUCUCCUAUGGGAAACAGAAGUUUGACACAUUUUCACAGUACAAAUCCAUGCAACUCCAAUGCAUUGAUAUACACCUACUUUGUCUUUUUUACUUUAUCGAGGCAAAAUUUUUUUUAAAUAAAAAAAGACAAAUCUUAAUAGACUGAACAUUAAUAAAAAGUGAAGUCUACCAAAGGGGUCAUUCCAUGUCAAUUCAACCAAGAAUCUCCACUCACGUCACAGAUUUUGAUGAAAUUUGGUGGACUGAUUGGCCUUCAGGAGAAACUGUAAAAGCUCAAAUAUUUUUGUUCAAAGCCAUCUAAUUAGUGAGAUAGGGGCUAAUGAAUUUUUGGCUAAUUAGCAUGACAUGCGUCACAAAAGUGUUCAUAUCUCUGGAAGUAUGGCACCUAGAGAGCUGAUUCAGGUGUCAUUUUGAAGCUCUCUUCAAGUUCUUUUUGUUAUAACACGUUUUUCCCCAAAUUGGACCAGAAAAAAGUUAUAAAAGACCAAAAACUUAAAUUGGAAAUAGCAAAAAACGCGCGUCCUUCAAUUUUCUUCAUGUUCACACUAUAGAAAGACUUUCAUGUCCACUACCAUCCCUGCAAGUUUCAGGAUGGGCAUUCCAUAACUUUUUGAGUAAUCAGUCAAAAUGUGUGGUACGUUAGGUCGAAAAUCGCCAUAUUUGGCACAUUAUACAGUCUUGACCUCAUCUGAAGUUAGCCCCACUUGCCUGCUUGUGUAAAACAUUACUUCCUAAUAGUACAAAAUGGUUUUUUUUAAAUGUUAUCCCAUAUUUAUAUGAAAAAUGGCUAAAAUAGCUUAUUUUUGCUCAGUUUUCCAUCGCAUUUCAUUUCUAUUUGCACCUAUAUCCAGAUUAUGGAUAUGGACGUUCAGUGUAGCAGAAGUGGCAGGUAACAUAGGAGCUAUUCAGCUCUCAGACACAAAUGUCUUUCGGUACACGAUGAAAGCUAAUAUCAUAAUUAGCUUUCUUACAACAUUGCAAUCCGCUAACGCACACGCUUGUUCCGCGAUCGUCCUCUAUAUUUCUCCUCUAUAUGUAGAGUGGGGCUUCGGGGGUGGAGCUUGGAUUUGUGACAUACGAAAUCUCGUGUGUUUGAGCCGAAAGUUUGGGUCUGCCAGAGAUUCACAGCGAUUCGAAUGAAGAAAUACUCCGAAAAGCAAUUUUGCAUUUAGUUUUCCAAUGAUAUGUCCUGUAGCAUCAGAAAAAUGCCAUAUGAACAUAUAAAAAAACAAGAAAAACAUGAUUUUCAUCGGAGUGUGUCUUUAAUCCCUUUGGGAGGAGUUUAGCAACUUUGCCCGACUCAAGUUUGCUUGGGACCAUGAUUGCCUGUACCUAAUUUCAAACUAAUCCAUCCAAACACUGUUGAGAUGUUCGUCUUAUUUCACCAGUUGACCACCAACUGACCACCAAACUGCAGUUCUUACAGUGUCCACUAAGGGCUAGUUUCAAAGCCCAGAAAGCCUCAUUAGCACCUUUGGGUCUUGUUUGCGUUUUACUAUCAGGAAAAAGCCCCAAAUUUCAGUGUUUUCAGUCUCAUAAAGUAACCGAGAGAGGUUGGGUCUUUGCUCUCAAUAUGGUGUCCACUAUCGCCGUCCUUUACAACUCUACUUCAUGAACCAAUAGGUACAACCACCACCUAUUUUUGGCUCAGCAAGAGGAUAUCUGAAACCAAGCCCUCCUUUAUAUCCCCUGGUUUUUCUUCCACAAUAGCUUUCAUUUGUUCUUCACUCAUCCCAACCAGCUCCAGCUUGAACAACAGUGCAUCAAAGGAUUUAUUUAAGAUUCAGCUCAGCUAUAUCUGAGGCUUACUUUUUUAUGAGAAAAUAUGAAUAGAGGAUGGUGAAGGAAGAAUACUCUGUGAAACACUUGUUAAGCUAUGGCACUCCAGUUUGCGAGUGCAGCACAGCCGUGCAGAUACUUCCCUUUUUCCCUCUUGUAUGCAUUUUAAAAGAAGCCCGAGCCUGCAGGCCAUACUACUGUCCCCAUAAAUUGGUAAUACACAUUUAGUUUCAAAUUCAGAUCUGGGGUGUGUUGGCUAGCUUCAAACGAUCUUCAAAACCUAAUUUAUGCACGGGAGGCUGGUCUGCAGCGUGCAACAAUUGUGUCCCAAAAACAAGCAGGUGAAGUUCAGGAUCAUAAAAAUCUAAUAUCCAUCAAUUUCCGGAGCUUUAUCACUAAUCCAAUCAAAUGAAAUAGGAAAACUAAUAAAUUCAAAUUGAGGUCAUUACUAGUCACAAAACUACAUACCAAUACUGCCUGUAACUGAGAUCAAUUCAAUGAAUCACCACAGUAGCAGGGGAGUGUCAGGGGAAGCAACAAACACUGGCUUCCAUCAACAGCUCCAAUUGAGAUGCCCCUGGGCAAAGCUCUCAAUCCUCAAUUACUCCGCUGGAGCUGCUCAGUGGCCGGCGCUAGAUGACUGUGGUUUGAUCAGACAGCUGUGUAUGUGUGAAGCAAUUUCCAGCAGCGUAGGCCUGAAGGAACAAUCCCUGUUAGUGGCUUGUUCCUUGAGACGACACGUGGGUGAGGAGGAUCAAUUUUCCUGUCUGUUUUGGGGGGUUUAAUUUGAGCUAAUCCAAAAGCUAUUUUUAGCCUGGUUCAUUAGUUGCACAGAGAAAACACACAGUAGAAACAUUCAGUUGCAAAAACCUACAGAUAACUCACCUCCAGGCUGAGAGUUUGCUCACCUGUGCGCACUUUUUACCCAUCAAGCUUCAUUUUUCGAGGCGUAUGUGAGUUUGUGCAAGAGACCCCAGGCGAAUUGGCUCUAAACUGCUCCAUGGACUCAGCUUAUCUAUUAUACCAGAAGUCAGCAUGUUUGCUAAAUGCUACACAGCUGCACAAAAACUGCACAUUGCUUAACCCAAUGAAAUUUCACACAGAAAGGUAGUAUUUACUGACCUUCCCAAACACCGUUUUUGUCAUGUUAGGCUAGUUUAUCAAAUUAAAUUUGUGGAGUAAAAUGAUUUGUCAAUUUAGCUUUCGUGUAAUGGCGGUUAUGGGGUUACACCCAUAGAUAUAUAUAACAAAGGCUAGAUGACUCGAGGUGGAGUCACCGGCGUCCCUACACUGCAGCCAUCUUACUCCAGUAUAUAAUUCUGGUACGCUCUAGGGUAGCUGAUGGAAUCUGCUGUAAUCUGCAUGAUCAAAAAUACUCUUAACUCGUUGAAAUCUUGACUGAUUUACAAAUGGUUUUGUUUAUAACAGACCUUAAUAAUGUGGCUAUGAGUCAGAGUGUUUGGACAUAUUGAAAUGUCAGAAUUUCUUUGAGAAAAAAAGAGACUUAAUCAUGAAGCACAGUUGUUUCACAGCUAUUUGCACGUAAAGGCUAACUUACUCGCUUUGUCAAGGCUGAGACCACAAUCGAGAUUUAAUUUCUUGUAUGACAGCCCGUUUUUAUUUUAUUUAUUCAUUUUGUCUCAGUGACAGCCUUAGUGGAUGUGCUUGUGUUUAUCUGCUGUCUUACGAGGCUAACAGACUUGCUGUGAGUGAGACCAAGUACAUAUUACAAAGUUGACCCAGCAAUUUUACAUCAGUUGAAGGGGCAGAAAUGCUCUUUCGAUUCAACAUAACUUAAAUUGCACAUCCAAGCUGUUUGGUUUGUUAAAAAACAUCUAAAACAGCAACAUGAGGCAGGAAUUUAUAUUGAAAAGAAAUACAUGUUAUUGUUAUACGUUGUUAUAGUUAUUCUUAUAAUAGAAAUAUUACUAAUAUCACAUACAUGGGAUGAUUAAAUGUUUCAUAUAUAAAUGAUUUAAUAUACCUGCCUUGUGUGUGUAAGCCUAUAGCGUUUGCUCUAUCUAUCUGCUUAACAUACAUUUAUGAAAAUCCAUGGUUAAAAUUAUUCUUAAGUAUGCAGGAACAUAACUAAAACUCUGAGGUUUGUUACAAACCAAACCAUUCGAAAAUCGGUUUAAAAUUAAGAAAUCUAUGGUUAUUUAAACGCUACAUGCACCGUAGACUGUAAUGUUAUGAGUGGGCGAGCAUUUCAUAGCAAAAUGGCCGCCAUGCGCGGACGUCGGUAUUCAUUGGUUUACAGCGUGCGUGAGCCAUCAAGCCUUUCUUAUAGAUAUCUAUGGUUCUACCAGGCAAAUUGGUUACUUAGCAUCAUAGCUAGCAUGAUUGCUAGCUGGUACAAGAAAAAACUACUCAGUUGCAUGGUAAUUGUACAUUACUGAACUCAUUGGGAAUUUUUACAGAUAUACAGUAACUUACUGUUUAUUCAGGAUUAUAAGAGCUGCAUGUAUUGUAAGAAAAGGUGCUAUAUUGAUUUAAGUCAUUCUAUGUUAAUGAUGGUUUAGUAUCAUGAUCAUAAUCCUUGUUGUAUUUUCCAGGGUAAACAAGCUGAAAGUUUAAGCCCAUGUGCAGGAAAGCAGUAUUUUCUCCCCUUUUUAUUCAACUCCAGUCCCCCCCCUUUUUUUGAAGACUUUUCUUGUACUGCAAGUGCAUGAAUAGGUGGGAUAAACCUCAGCUUUCUUGGCCGCUCAGUGGCCUCUGAGUAAGUGAUUUUAACAAGUGAGUCUAAGAGCAUGGAUGCAUUUUGUAGCGCCGAGUUCAAAAGUUGACACAUUGAAGUGCAAAUUGAGUGUCGUCUUCCCUUCUUAUCUACUUUGUGUUGCUUUCUGUCAUCCUGCCAUCUCGUGCCCGCUUCAGACGGCAAUUGUGUCAAUCCAAACCUGACAUUUACGGAGAUGAAGACACAAUUUUGUUCGAUGCUGAACCGAAAAAGGAAAAAAAUUGUGCCAGUUCAGAGAGGGGUGUGCUUGCCGGAGAUGAUAAAAAGUGACAAACAACAAUAAUACUUGGAAAAAAAAGAAAUCGAUGUGGAUUUAUUUUCUGGAUAUCUUCUGCAAGUGUGGAAAACUGAAAUGAAAACAGGCAUUUGAAUUCAGCUUGGAUGCCAAUGGCGUGCAGCGCUCGGUGCUUAGGCCUCUAGUGACUGAGGGCGCAUGCAAAUGUUACACGCUGCCUUGUUCGUGAGGAAGAGUGAGAAUGACGCAUCGGGCCUUCUGCCAAAGUUCUGUGGUGAUAAACAGAUGCACAUACUAUAUGCAACACUACACACCAGUAGAAACAAAUGGUGCAUAUGCCUGUUUUGGAUUGUUUUAUAUGUGCAUGAGUGUUUAAAAAUCCAAUCGAAGCAGGUGGAAAAGCUGUCAAUUUUGUAUUUUCGCAUUUUUUUGUCACACUAAGUACCGAUGAAGUCUUCAUCCACUUAAAGUCAAAGCAGCUUGAGUAAAAAGUGUCCAAAAACUAGUCUGACUUUAACUAAAUUUAUAAUGAAUCCAAACCCUUUUUUUCCACCAGUAAACAGAGGGAAAACCAACAAGCAUAAAACAGCGAAACACUCCCUCUAAAAUGCAUUAUUUCUGCUUUGCUUAAUGGAGAUUUUUAGAGCAUCCCCCAGUUUGUGCGUGCUAGUCUAAAUGCAUGAAAGUGCAUGCGGAAAAAAAGCUAAAUAAGACAAAUGGAAGAGCACACACACACACACACACACACAUUCACAAGUCUGACUCAGCUAGUUUUUGAACAGUGCUGAUGGUCGGCAUAAACGCCCCGGAGGACGAGGUCGCAGCGGGGUCACGUCAUUAACCUGCCCGUGUGUGUUUCCGGAUCAGCUGCUGGGAAACCUCCACGGGGGUAUCAAUCAAAAGGGAGGGGCCCACUGUGUUUUGAGUGCAUGGGAGUGUGGAGAGAGAGUUUGCUGGUGAGGUAGCAGAGGGAUUAACCCCACGGGAGAAAACUGAUCAAUCAUUCUGCUUUUGAUGUGACUGUCUCCAGAAAUUUGUGAGGAGAUGUUUAAUUCAAUCUGCAGAACAAUAAGAUGUGGGAAUUUUAAUAUUUCGGGGGUUAAUGUCUUCACGUAUGUCAGUUUUCAUGAUAAAAGAUGUCAGAAGAAAUUAUCCAUUGAUGUAAUAAAGCACCUAUCAGAAGGUGGUGUGGUGGACCUGACGGGCACAAACAACAAAAAGUCAUAGAACCCAAAAAAAAGCAUAAACAGGAACAUACAAUUUUCAUGACAAUAAUAAUAAUAAUAAUAAUAAUAAUAAUAAUAAUAAUAAAAAGAAGAGGAAGAAGAAAUGUGGAAUACUUAACAUCUAGGGAAAAAUUUUGUACGAGACUCUAAAGUAUUUUCUAAACCAACUUAUUUCAUAAAAUGCAGAAGCAUUGAACAGAAUGAGAAUAUACAUCUUUCAUUGAAACAAUUGGGAUUUUUUUUGUUUUUUAUUUGGAAAAAAAAAAACUGAGAAAUCAAAUCAACGGCAAUAAAAAGUAUCAAUAAAAGGUCAUGGUUCAUGAUUUUUUAAAAAUAUUUCAUUAAGUAUUUUGUAGGUUCUGUGUUAUUUCGCAUUUUUUUUCCUGUUUUUCUUUACACUUAAGGUCCUUUUACACCGGGAGCGUUUAUUUUGUGCAAUUAUUUCGGACGUCAGUAUUUUUUUUUUGAACCUGUAUCCUGUCAAUACAAGCGUUCACGUCAGCGACGUUUUCCUAUCCUGUGAUAUUGCAGCAUUUUUUCGUAUCAGGGUCGAUUUUUCUAAAGUUUUGCGAACUAUCUGUCUACUUCUGACCAAUCAGAUUGCGUGUUGUUACGACGUCAGAUUCACCAGUAUAUCCAACGUGGCCGACCGGCUGAUUGUUUAUGUGUCAGAGAACAGAGUGCUUUUUGAUAAAAAACACAAAUAUUACAAAGAUAACGACCUGAAGGACAACUUGUAGAGAGUCAUAGCGUCAGAUUUCUCAUAUGACGAUGGUUUGUGUGCUUUAACAGUUUGCUAAACGUCUUUGUUUUAACUUUCAUCUGUGCUAAGUAACUUUAGCUCGUAAGCUAACCUGUUCAGAUACAACAUACCAUAUGUAUUUUCACUGUCUCAAACUCAAUCUCGUUGCUGUCACAGCACCAUUAGGUCUCAGUUGUUAACUUACGUUUAUGGAUUAUAGUUUAAUGUGCUUAUCUGGUACUGGCCCCGACUCAGUACAUGCUAUCAUGACAGACAGACAUCUCAACACUAGUGUCUAAUUAGAACUGAAAAACAGUCAGUCUGCUGUUGUGUCAGUCUUCUCGCCUCCAUCCGGGACGCGUCUUUUUUUCCACCCAGAAAGUCGCAAAAUCGCAUCGCACUUGAUGUGUUUAGUCAGGCGCGUCAAAAUUCGCCUCCGAAUAUUCCAUAAUUUCGCGUCAUAUAUUUGCGUUGUUCCUGGUGUGUAAGGACCUUUACCCAAUUAUGGGUCAGAAAUGUGAAAUCCCAGAUUCCCUCUGAUGCAAAUAAAAUUCAAAUCCUAUCACAAGUGGGAACUCCCAGAGAUCUUGAAGUUGAUGAUUAUUAGCCUUUAAAUUUCAGUGAGUCAAUACAAUUCCAAGACCAGGACACACUUGAUCUGCUUAAAACCAACUGAUUUCACGCUGUGCGCCCAUGUUUGUUUCUUUCCUGCACUGUAAAUUCAACUACCUCCUCUGUGAAGGGUGCGUGAUUGUGCAGAGCUUCUCACUGGUAGUCCAAGUGUUGUUGCACCCAUCAUGAAUCUGCUCUUGGAGGUGAUACUUGUUCCGAAGUGGUACUAAGAAAACACUUAUUUCCCCCCUGUGGCACCCUGAUAGUUAAAUCGGUAAACAGGGACUUUGCUUUGUACCUGGAGUUCACUGCCUCACUUCAGCUCUGACUUUGACAGCUCUGAACUGAGAGCGGGAUAAAAUAAAACAUUCAGUUCAGACCUAGACAAAUUUCAUUAGAAGAUAUGCGCGCCAUUUGAAAUGUAACACCUACUCCGAGGAAGCGAUUCCCUCAAAAGAGUGUAAGUCAAUAUUAAAUGUGAUUGAAAUGCAACCGUAGUCACAACAAGAGUACACCGCUCAGGGUGUAAUCAAUUUUACUUUGUAAAUAUUAAAGCAUUUCGCAGUUGUCAUUUGAUGCUCUUGUGUUAUACACUGCAGUGCACCGGGCGGAUCGAGAAGAGGUAGAAAGUGGUUCAAACCAAUAUGAGUGGUGUUUUUUGGCUUUUUUUGUUGCAAGAACUUGUUAUAAGCAGUCGGAUUAGGAGGAAAACAUUACAUGGAGAUGUUUUAAAGUGAGUUUGAUCAAAGUAAAUCAGAUCAAAGCUGCUCUUAGCCAUGAAGGAUGGGCACCUCUUGGCAUGAGUCAUAAAAGAGUAUAAGAGACAAACUACUACAAACACUAGCAACUACCCGGGGCUUUCAGGUUUGGGGGGUAUUGCCAGACCCCUUUUUUAUUAUACAAAUCUGUCCUUCAGUUCAUUCCUGUGGGUAGUUUAGCUAUAAAAGUGAGGCAACAUGGUGUUGAAGCCCCUGUUAGAGGUCUGAAAUACUGCAGCACCUUAACCCAUUUACAUCUACUGUUUCCACAGCAAAGAUAUACAAUGGGCAAAAAGUUUGUCAAAAAAAACAAAGUUGUUCAGGGACAGAUUCUGGAUCAUCUGUAUGGUGUACUAGCGCUUGUUCUCCUGGAGAGCUCGCCGAGUUUGUUUUGGUGCUUUUCCGCCUCUACAUCCAUCUGCACUGGUCUUCACUCUACUCCUUUUUGCAACAUUUAGGUGACCAAACAAUACAACGCUUUGUCAAAUCAGAGCAUCCCUGCCCACUCAGACUACUACAUGAAUAACAAGGCCUUGAUGAACAACCAUUAUUGUCAUUUACACCAUUAUCGAUAGCACUUUGCGUGGUUGGAGAAGUAGUUCAGGGGACUAAAAAGUCAGGGGUACUUUUGGACACUUAGGUGAUUGUCGGCUGCCCACUGUCUUUUAAUAAGCAACUGCAACCAUGCAAUAUGGAUGUAGACCAAACUGUUUCACAUUUAUUCAAGAAAAAGAAUAAAUAUUUACUUUUUUUUUUCACUUUUUAGAAGUGAAGUUUUUGGCAUUUGGUUAAGAGAUCUAAAAAAGUGGAAAGUAUCGAUAUCCCAGAUCUUGGUUUUCUGAAUUUUCUCUAUCAAAGUAAAUAUAUUGGAAUAUCUGAUUUUACAAUUUGCAAUGCCCUCUACAAACAUGAGCUGCAUCUUAAACACAGUGCUGCAAAAGACAGCAUUAUUGAUAUAAAAAUGCAUUGUAAACAAAUGUCAGAAUGACAUGAGAGCAAAAAGGAAGAGAAACAAUGGGUAUUUUUGUUUUCCCACUCUCAUUUAAGUGCCCCAAAGAAAAGGCAAAACAAAAGCUGCGAACACCUGUGUCAGAGCCAAGAAUUCUCUAAAAAGGCCACGGCUCAAGCUUAUUUUUGGCACAAAAAACACAACUACACCCCCGCCAUGCUACCGUCACUUCAUUCUAGUGUGCUCCAGCACGAGUGAUGUCACGCAGGCUGCGAAAUUACCGGCGAAUGUGGGGAGGGAUGCACUUGCGCUCAAUGAAAUUACCACUUUGCCAGCGCAAGGGUCAGUGCGCUUGAUCUGCGGCUGCAUGCAAACACAGCUUUAGUGUUUGCAAAGUAACAAACGCAUCAGUAAAGGCCGGGCCGUUCUGCACUGUGGUAUCAUUACUGUGGCAUUAUGCAAAUUUACUGCUGUUUUUAGAAGUCGAUUAAGACCUUUAUGAUGCAAAAAUAAGCCCACGAGUGCUAGUCUAGCAAGAGCACAAGUUCAUGAACUUGCAAUCUUAGAAAAGAGAGAUAAAGGUGCUUCAUGAAUGUGAACUUAGCACAAAGCUUGAGAUGAAUUCAGGAAAAUGAAAUCAAUUAAAAGGGCAUUGUUUGAAUGCGGGGGCUUGUUUGAUUGCUGCUUUGCAGAGUCAGGAAGUCAAAUGGGAAUCUGAGGACAUGGCAGGCUUCUACACGUGUUCGUUUUUAAUUUGGAGCCUCAAACAGCCACUCUUUUUUUUUGUCUCCCUAUCGCUCCCCUCUGUAUGCCCUUCAGACAAAGCGGAAACGGUUUAACAUAUCUUUAAAAAUGGAGGAGCACAAGGCCAGUUAUCUCACUGCAUAACUCAAAAUGUUCCCCUUUUUUUUUUGCGGUGCACGGCAAUCAGCACAGAAAAUAAGCAAGUACGAAAGGUUAUACGCUUGACUGUCUUUGCAUACAGGCGAAACGAUUUCCUCCAAAUGCACAGGAGGACCUAAAAGGAUUCAUUUCGGUUCCAAAAAGUGGCUCUUUUGCUCUCAUCAAAAAUUGAUCAUUGGCAAAUAGAAACAAUGUACCUCUCUUGUCCACUGUGGUUUCGCUUGACAGGAAUGAAUGUGUUUGCAGAGUUCCCCUUGCACAAGGGUUCGAUACUUCGUCUUGAAGAUGGAUGUGGCUUUUUUACAAAUUGUCAAACGUCUUUAGGCUCCCUGGACAGGCAGUUUUGUUUUUUAUAGCUCUGAUGAAAUGAAGAGACUAAAAAUAAAUCAGCAUACUCGCAGACAUCCGGCUGUCUGUGAAUUACUGAGCUGGAGGCAGAGAUGAGCGCAAUCAUUGCAGCAUUGAAGGCAUUUAUUUAGAUAUCAAACGGUGAUGUGUACUCUGCAGGAAGCUUCCUCUUCCAUCGCUGGUUUGAUGCUUUUUCUAUAAAUUAGAAUCAGUGUUGAUUUAGCUCCGUGCAAAAUAAAAGGGCAUCUUUUCGAGAAUGCAUUUACAAUGGACCCUUCGUGAAAGCUGGAAAAUGGUGUUUUAGUGGAGUGGCUGAUAAAAAAUGCACCACUAAAUUGUCUGAAUGAUGAUUUAUUGAAAAAAUCUCCUUGUUCAUAAAUCAUGCGGCACACACUUAGUGUCACAAAGGCCUGAUGCAGCGCCUGAGACAUGUAUGUCACGGGCUGACAUUAAUAGACACCGCACACAGUUCAUUCAUUUAUUGAACAAGUGCGUCCUGAUUCAUGAAGUGCAUUUUUGCAGGUGUUUUAUGAGACAGCGCCAAAGAGUGGAGGAAGGUGGCGGGUGCGCUAAUGCUGCAAUCAUUUACCCAUCGUCCGCGCCCACCUUGAUGUAAGUGCAGCGCCUAAUUUCUAUUGCCCUACCGAGGCCAUUAUGGCCGCUAACCCAAUAAUGUAAUUGACUCAGGGAGUGGAGGUAGAUGCUCGCAAUUUCCUCCAUGCAGGAGGAGAUAAUGGUGGUGGUGGUGUUUGUCUGAGGCAACCUAGACAAAAUACCAACACUGUCGAAUCCAGUUGAAAAUAUUGCUCUCUUGAUGUGUUGCUGAUUUAGCUGAAUAAAUAUCAAAGCUGAUAGUUUAGCUAACUUUUCACAUUGUUCUUGUACAUUGGUAUCAGUACAGGUUUUGAAAGGGGGAAAAAAACAAAUACCAAUAUUAAUAUCAUCAACAGUUCCUAUGCCAAUAUUCAUACCUUUGACACUUAUACUGAGAGGGAUUUUGGAAACAGUUCUUAUUUCUGGACCAUAACUGAUACCAAUACUAACACCAAAGCCAAUGUCAAACCUUGGAUCCCAAUACCGAUAUCAACACCAUGACUGAUACCAUUAUCUAUUCAAUACAAAUACCAAUACUAGCAGUGACAGUUACACUGCUAUCACUACCAAUAUUUGUUCCAAUAGCAAUUUCUUUGCUCCUGCCAAUACUCACUAAGAAUGAAACCAACACCAGUGCCGUUAGUCUGUCUAUAUUGAUACCAACACAAAUAUCUAAAGAUACCAACACCGUUACUAUUCUUCAUACUUAUACCAAUAAUGAUAAGAGUAUUAAUACUGAUACCAGCCCAAAUACUGACACCAAUACUGAAACUUACACCAAUACUGAUGUGGUGUUACCACUGGUGUUAACAAUUGUACAACACUGAUAUUUACACUUACAGCAAUACUGAUAACAAUAUAGAUACUCUCUCAAUUAUUGUAUCAACAUCGAUAUUUUCACAUCUGUCAAUGUUUAUACCAAUAUUGUAACCGAUACCAAUGCCAAAGCUCAUGCCAAUACCGAUACCAAUACAAUAACUGAUACCAAUAUCAGUAUUCAGAAUGAUAUUGUGACCAAUUGCAACAUCACGACCAUUAUAAAUGAUGAUACAAAUUUAAAUAAAAGUACCGAUACCACAACUGAUAUCAUUAACUAUACUACUACUGAUACUGUUACCAAUAUUAAUAUCACUACUGGACUUAAGUACAAGACAGGAUUUUAGAGCAAAUACUGUUGUUGCUUUUUACAUGCCCACAAAUGAUAUGUUUUCUGGAUUUUCUUGCUUUUUAAGUCUUAAAGAAAAAAAAAAAAGAUUUAAAAAAAAUGGGGAAGUUAAAGGGGAAAAAAAACAGCCUGUGCUUUUAAUAAGUCGCUUUAAAACAGCACAUGGUAGGACAUACCAUGGGAUAUCGCUAUCCCUCGGGAGCAAAUGUCACUUAAUUGCAAACUAUUGAUUUUCCAGCAGCCAUUUGCUACUCUCCAGGCACCAAUCAGCAGAUGCUUCCUGUGUCCUGGUGAGGAUUCCCCUUCAUAGAUCUUGAUUAGCUGUUUCCGAUUAAUUGCUGUGACAACAGGGAACUGUUUUUUUUAGGAGCGGGAUUGACUGACCAGAGGAAAUCGGUAAGAUGAAGUCAAUGUGACUGCGUAUUUGAUCAAUGUGGGGAUUGUUUUUUUGGGUUGAAAUCAUGUCAGUUUAAAGACAGAAAACGUCGACACCAGAGAUUGAAGCUCCUCCUAGAGAGGGUUUAAUGAUCCUGUUGGGCGCUGCUUUUCCUCCUCGACUUAUUGGCUUUCUGUGGUCGCAUCGGUAGUCAGGUCAUUCCUACUUAGUUACACCAUUGCAAAAACUCACCCCAACCUUGACCUAAAGGUCUAAAAGAUAGCCCAGGACAGUGACCUUGUUUAACCUUUCAUUGAUUGACCUUGGAGUAACAAAAGGCGGUUAUUAAACAUCUAAACUCCUUGAACCCAGCUUUAACUACGUCUGUGGGAAGAGUACGGUGACAUGUUUAACGUUUUUUCAAUAAUGUAGCAUAAGCCUGUGUCUCAGUGUAGAAGUUGAAUAUUUUGAUGCAUUGCAUAUUUGGUCAAUAUUGGCCAACUAGAUGAUGUUCUGUUGAGCUUGAAGGCAAGAAAAACUUGGGUACCAUCUGGAUUUUUGACUUUAUGAUGAAAAAAAUACAAACUGUUCCAAAUAACUACUCUAGUAACAGUCAUUCAACAGGAGUAAACUGGCUGAGAUUCAAAACCCAAACAGCCACCAGCCUCGGCUUGCCGUCUAACAGAUGUUUUUUAGUGUUCAUUUACAGCUGUAUUUCAGUUCAACCCUGUUUACUGCAGUCAAAAGAAAGGGUUGACUCAUAGUACAUUGUGUGCAAGGUUAGAAAAUAUGAAUAUAAGGCUGUGGCACCUUGUUGGCCUGUGUUUGGGUUGCCAUUAAAACACUUAUAGUUUUGAGUGCAUUGGGUAAGUGUUCAUAUAUCAGUAGAAGAAAAAAAACUCUUAUCUUUUAGGAAAUUGGGAAAUCCACUUUUGACCCGCACUCUUGGCCCUCGUAUUUCCUGGCGAGCUGCCUUACAAAAGCAUGAAGUGCUGAAGGAUUCCAAAAAAUGGUGGGUUCAGAGAAAAUUGGACAUUAUUCACACGCUGAGGCCUUCGACUGACCUCCAGAAAAUCUGUCGGACAGCUGUCAGCUGUAAAACCUGCCUCAACCCACCGAGGUGAGAGGUGAGGGAUGCUUUUCAGCCCCGCAGCAGCAAUCGCAAAUUUAGCUUGACACAAACAGACGGCUUUUACAUCACCAAGCCUUCCAGGGUCUCCAAGUUUUGGACUGUAAUCUAUAAAGCCACCAAAGGGAACAAACAAAAGCCCCCCAAAAAUCUGAAUAACUCCAGCAAUAAAUAACACACAAAAAAAUGAAACAGACAUAUCUUAAAUCUAAAAGGAAAAGAUUUUGUGCUUCAGGAACAGAAAAGUACAAAAAGGAGCAAACUGACUUGGCAGGUGAUUGAUGUUGACCAGACUCCCUUGAAAAGUCAGCAACCUGAAGCUAAAAAGAGUCAGAAACGCAGGAAAAGAACGGAUCUCAGCACCCUGAAGUGACCUUGUUACAGUGCGUAGACGCCACUCAGCUUUUUGGUGAUCUCCCUAUUUCACAUUUUGAACCAUCCGUGUAUGACUUGUGAUGAGGCACUGUGGACGUGUGGAAGUAGGAGGACAGCAGUCACAUUAAAGAAGUGAUGGAUAGAUAAUCAGCUGGAAUAAAAGAAAUGAGGGCGGUCCAGAGGGGGCACAAGUGCACAUCCUUUACUUAACUUAAAACAUGCAAAUUUAACAUAUGGGAGACCAACUGUGCUGCACUGUAUUUAUUAACAUCACUUAGAUAACUCCAGUUUAAAAUGGUGGAACGGUUUAUCAACACUUAACAGAGCAUGUGGUAACAUUAAGUAGAUGUUUUAUCAUCCGUUCAUGUUAAUAUACAGUAUGCCACUGUGAAAAGGCUUCCUCAUGCCUUUUUUUUAUUUAUUUUUUUUAUUUUAUUUGUGCAGCGUGACAAUACAAGACAUACAACAUACAACAGCAUUUGUGGUUUUGUGUGUGUGUGUGUGUAUUAUAUAUGUAAAUAAUAAUGAAAAAAAUAAAUAAAUAAAUAUUACAAUUGUCAGACAAGCAAAAGAAAAUUAUAAUACACGAACAAUAUCAAUAAUAAUAAUAAUAGUAAUCAUAACAAUAAUAAUAAUAAUAAUAGUAAUCAUAACAGUAAUAAUAAUAAUAAUAAUAAUAAUAAUAAUAAGAAGAAGAAGAAGAAGAAGAAGAAGAAGAAGAAGAAGAAGAAGAAGAAGAAGAAGAAGAAGAAGAAGAAGAAGAAGAAGAAGAAGAAGAAGAAGAAGAACAACAUUCAAUAUUAAUAAAGAAAAGCAAUAAUAAUAAUAUGGGUGGAGGGGGGGUCUUGAAAUUUGUGGACCACCUCGGGUCCCUUCCCACUCGCGCGAGACCUGCCUGGAUCCCCCCCAGGCCCCCAGACCCCCCCCCCCCCCCAUGCCUUUUCACCAGACCCACUCUCCCUACAGCACCAUGAUUACGUCAAGUGAGUUCACCUGUGCCUGAGCGGUCAGAGUGGAGCUCCUGAGCUGGGGUGACCAUAUUCUGAUUUCUCGAAAAGAGGACACGACAACGCGGGGGCGGAGUCACGGUGUUGCACAAAGUUAAUUUUGAGAUUUUUUCGGAGUGUCUUUUACACGCUUCUAACUCAGUAAGACCACAUGACACAAAAUUGAAACUUUUGUACAAAACCGCAGACAUUUGAAAGAUUAAACAAACUUUCCUGGACAAAGCUGGACCGGCCCCAAAAAAGAGGACAGGUCCGGGUAAAAGAGGACGUACGGUCACCCUACCUGAGCGUGUUGUCUCAAUGAACUGAGUAAAUCCCUGCUCUUGAUAGGAUUGUGCUUUCAUUUAGUGUUGGUAUGUGCACGUUUUGAGUUUCCACUUUUGCUUGGUGUUUUGCCAUAUUUAAUGAGAUUUUAAUUUUUCCUGGUUUUAUCCUAUUAAAGGAUGCAUCACAGUUUUUCAUAAUUGACAGAAAGUAGAUAUAUUUGUUAAUAUUUAUGGAUUCACGACCAAGAAAUCAAGAAAGUCUGAGUUUGCUACUGUAGAUACGGUUAGUUGUCACAGAUAUUUCAGCGUUUAAAAUAAAUAUGGCACUUUUAGAGGUUGUUGGAAAGUUGAAUUUGAACUCCACUGUUUCCUUUCUUUUUCCUUUCACCCUCCACCAGGUUUGAGUUGUUUGCUUUUUUGAAAUUUGAGUGGGUUGAAGUUGGAGAAAUUUCUUUUCUACUUUGACAGCCUGGUAUUAUCCUAAAAAAAAGGAACUAUUUUGUUGUCAGAGCCAGAAUCUUAGCUGAUGAAACAAACAAAAACAAAUGUGGUGGAUCAAAUAUUCCUUGUUAACCUAGAGGAUAUUUUGAUUGUAUUGCAUUCUGACUGCUUUAAUGGUAAAAAUUUGAUUCAAGGUUAUAAAUAUUUAAGAACAAAGAUUGGUUAUAUUUUUGUAUGUUUGGCAUGGAAGUCGCCGCAUAGGCUCAUAAUUUCUUCUAAAACCACUUUUUAAAACAAAAGCUUUCAAUUUCAAAAUUGUAAUGUGUUGUCACUUUUCCCCGCACUUUUUAGGAAAAAUAAAAUGUUAAAAAAUUUGAAACUGGUAAAUUAAAUUUUUCCACAAUGUCACAACCUUUUUAUAAUCGGAGUUCCAAUUAAACUUUUGUAAAUUUCCACAUUUCUCAGGUUCAUCAGCGAGCACUGUUGGCUUGAUCGGGUUGAAAAUUGGGUUUCUUUGUGACCUUUAGCAACACACCAAGAGUUUCCUCAAAUCUAGAGGUUCAAGUGCAAAAAAAGGAGUGUUUCUACUUUGUACAUCUCGCCUCAAGUGUGAUUAAAAGACAGCAGCGCUCUCUUGUGACGCCUCACGUGUGUAAUGGCACACCAAUAAUUAAGUAAGUCAGCUGUUAAAUAACCUAUGGAUCAAAUACCUUUCCCCAUUUGCAAUUCGUCGAGGUGUUGUGACUGCUGGGAAUUAAAGGCGUUCCCAUUAGCAGGAUGAAAAAUCCCUUUUUUUCCCCCCUCAGCUUAUCCUCUCUAAACCUACUCUAUUUUAUUUAGGAUGAGUACAACAAAACAAAGGGUGUUUAAAUCUUACACCAAAACCCAUGCACCAAAUAAUAACGGCGUUAAAGAAACAGGAGGAACAGCGGUGCGUUGAGUCAUACGGAGCAUUCAGUCGUGAAGGCCAUCUCUUAUUUUGCUAAGCCGUCACGCAAGUGUUGCUAAGCGCCAAGCGUGUACCACUGGAUGCAUUUUAAACUCUAUCUUAAAAAAAAAAAAAACGCUUCACUUUUGUUGUCGAGUAAGUUGUCAUGACAGGAGUGCAGGAAUAAAACGGCAAUUACUGAAGGCGCUGUGAUUUUUCCAGUGGAGGAGUCGCAGGAUCGGGAGUUUCAGAUUCGCAGUGGAGACAACGGCGAAUAUGUGUGUGUCUUUGAAAGUGAUGGCAGCUGCCCUUGAAGUGAAAUGCCUCACGCCGACUCGGUGUUGGCAUCCAAUGUAACGUUGAUUGGAUCCCCACUGCGUGUGUCGUCUAAUAAAUCAAGCGCAUGUUCUCCUCCUCCUCACCCUGUCUUGCUCUCACUGCGCUCCCUAUAGACUGCAUCCUGGAAUAAAACUGACAGUAAUCAUAAUGGUGGCGCCAUGGGGUUAAGGCUGGGAAAUAAAAAACGGUCUUGAGGUUAAGCUCGAAAAAACAAAGUCGUCAUUGUCGCUGCUGGAAAGUGUCUGGGUAUCUGGCACGAGCGCAACUCUAUAAACUUUAACCUGCAUUUUAAACGACUGCCAGGAAGGACGCCCGACUCUUCUGUCUUCCCUCUCGAGACCAAUCGGCGGUGGCUUUUGGCGGCUGAUGGAAAGACGGAUGCGGGGGUGUGGGAGAGCCGGCGUUUUGCGAGGAGUGAUUGUGAGAGGACAGCAGUGGCAGAAGAUGUCCUCUACACUGUGAUUAAUUCCAGACCCAAUGUGAUUUAUGGCCCCACCACGGCUGUUUUGUAGGUCACUUUGGUGCCACAUCACUCAAGCUGUGCAAACAACAAGUCUGAUAUCAGUGUUGGUAAACCGUAAAGGAGGACACACACACCCGCGCCCACGUCGAAUAUGAAAAUGUUCUGCUUUGAUUUUUUAUUUUUUUUUUUUAAUAUUUGCGAGUCGUGUCAUCAAAUGAAUUUUGGAAAUCAGGGUGAGUCAAAGAGAUGCACUGGAAACAAACAUCCAGCUGGCCUGCAGAGACUGAUGCGGGGGGAGGGAAUGGUAAACAGAGCGUGGACUUUUAAUCCUUACAGACUUCUUUUAUUCUUCUUCUUUGACAAAAUAUUUCUGCGGUACAGUUAUGUUUGGAGGGAACAUCUCCUGCUCGGAUAAUGUUUACAAAAGCAGUUUAUUUUCCCUUGCAGCACAGUUAUUUUCCCAAUGAGGGGCUUGUGCCAGCUGUAGAACACUUGGUAUACUCGCCAGAUUCAGAUCUGAACAGCAGCAAACAAGCACACAUUUGUGUACUUAGCAGCCAAAUCCAUUGGCGCCUGUAGACACAAAUGUGUUCAACAUAUGUGGAUUUCACGUCAUGAUAAUCGAAUUUAUUCAGCUCUUCUGCUGGAUUGGUUUCUGUUGAUAAAUACCACAAAAUGAGUUAGUCCAGGCAGGCUGCAUAGUCAAACUCAACCUAUAGCCCAUUGGCCUGUCAUCUGAGCUAUUUCUUUUUCUUGUGCUUUUAUUUUGAAAGGAUAAAACAUUUAUUCAGCACUUCUGCUGGAUUGGUUUCUGUUGAUAAAUACAUCAAAUUGAGUUAGUCCAGGCAGGCUGCAUCGUCAAACUCAACCUAUAGCCCACUGGCCUGUCUUUUGAGCCUUUUCCUUUUCUUGCGCUUUUAUUUUGAAAGAAUAAAAGAGUUAUUCAGCUCCUCUGCUGGAUUGGUUUCUGUUGGUGAAUACAUCUAAAUGAGUCAGUCCAGACAGGCUGCAAAGUCAGUCUCAAUCUAUAGCCCAUUGGCCUGUCUUCUGAGCUAUUUUUUUUUCUUGUGCUUUUAUUUUGAAAGGAUAAAAUAUUUAUUCAGCUCUUCUGCUGGAUUGGUUUCUGUUGGUGAAUACAUCAAAAUAGGUUAGUCCAGGCAGACUGCAUGGUCAAACUCAGCCUAUAGCCCACUGGCCUGUCCUCCGAGACCAUUUUCUUUUCUUGUGCUUUUAUUUUGAAAGGAUAAAAGAGUUAUUCAGCUCCUCUGCUGGAUUGGUUUCUGUUGGUGAAUACAUCUAAAUGAGUCAGUCCAGGCAGGCUGCAAAGUCAGUCUCAAUCUAUAGCCCAUUGGCCUGUCUUCUGAGCUAUUUUUUUUUUCUUGUGCUUUUAUUUUGAAAGGAUAAAAUAUUUAUUCAGCUCUUCUGCUGGAUUGGUUUCUGUUGGUGAAUACAUCAAAAUAGGUUAGUCCAGGCAGACUGCAUGGUCAAACUCAGCCUAUAGCCCACUGGCCUGUCCUCCGAGACCAUUUUCUUUUCUUGUGCUUUUAUUUUGAAAGGAUAAAAGAGUUAUUCAGCACUUCUGCUGGAUUGGUUUCUGUUGAUAAAUACAUCAAAUUGAGUUAGUCCAGGCAGGCUGCAUCGUCAAACUCAACCUAUAGCCCACUGGCCUGUCUUUUGAGCCUUUUCCUUUUCUUGCGCUUUUAUUUUGAAAGAAUAAAAGAGUUAUUCAGCUCCUCUGCUGGAUUGGUUUCUGUUGGUGAAUACAUCUAAAUGAGUCAGUCCAGGCAGGCUGCAAAGUCAGUCUCAAUCUAUAGCCCAUUGGCCUGUCUUCUGAGCUAUUUUUUUUUUCUUGUGCUUUUAUUUUGAAAGGAUAAAAUAUUUAUUCAGCUCUUCUGCUGGAUUGGUUUCUGUUGGUGAAUACAUCAAAAUAGGUUAGUCCAGGCAGACUGCAUGGUCAAACUCAGCCUAUAGCCCACUGGCCUGUCCUCCAAGACCAUUUUCUUUUCUUGUGCUUUUAUUUUGAAAGGAUAAAAGAGUUAUUCAGCUCCUCUGCUGGAUUGGUUUCUGUUGGUGAAUACAUCUAAAUGAGUCAGUCCAGGCAGGCUGCAAAGUCAGUCUCAAUCUAUAGCCCAUUGGCCUGUCUUCUGAGCUAUUUUUUUUUUCUUGUGCUUUUAUUUUGAAAGGAUAAAAUAUUUAUUCAGCUCUUCUGCUGGAUUGGUUUCUGUUGGUGAAUACAUCAAAAUAGGUUAGUCCAGGCAGACUGCAUGGUCAAACUCAGCCUAUAGCCCACUGGCCUGUCCUCCGAGACCAUUUUCUUUUCUUGUGCUUUUAUUUUGAAAGGAUAAAAGAGUUAUUCAGCUCCUCUGCUGGAUUGGUUUCUGUUGGUGAAUACAUCUAAAUGAGUCAGUCCAGGCAGGCUGCAAAGUCAGUCUCAAUCUAUAGCCCAUUGGCCUGUCUUCUGAGCUAUUUUUUUUUUUCUUGUGCUUUUAUUUUGAAAGGAUAAAAUAUUUAUUCAGCUCUUCUGCUGGAUUGGUUUCUGUUGGUGAAUACAUCAAAAUAGGUUAGUCCAGGCAGACUGCAUGGUCAAACUCAGCCUAUAGCCCACUGGCCUGUCCUCCGAGACCAUUUUCUUUUCUUGUGCUUUUAUUUUGAAAGGAUAAAGGAUUUAUUCAGCUCCUCUACUGAACUGGUUUCUGUUGGUAAAUACAUCAAAAUGAGCAAGAAUGAACUAUGAUUAUAUGUGGACUAGAGGUAGGAAUGCUUUUACAUACAAUACAAAACCCCUAUUGUGGAUGAUGUCAUUGCUCCUCCACACUUAAUUCAAGUUACUCUACCCUUAAACUUUGUUUUUGCAAGUAUCAUUAUACCCAAGACAAAAAAAAGAGGAGGCUCAGGGUCAAACAUGAUGUAAAACCACCAGAACAACAGCAGAAACAUCCAUGUAAACACACCUUUAACAGGGGAUAAUAAAGUUGCUUACUCAUCUUUACCCUGCUGGUUUCUGCUGUGAAAUUAUGGACCAAUUACUAGAAAUCUGAUGAGAAUCUGUCAGCAAAAAGUAAUGGAAAUGAGGCCCAGGUUAACGAUCUCGCUUUAUGGCUUAAUAACAUUGUGAUGCUAAUAGAUACAAACACAGCCUGGCAGCAUUUAGGGCGAUUGGCCUCAAUGCAGGAGUUGAUUAUAGGAAUUUGUCAUACACUGUUUAACGCUUACGUAAUGUCGGAAUUAUCCUUUACUCAGAUAGUUUUUUUCUCUCUGCGAGCUAGUAGAAGAAUUCUGCCCUCCUUGCAUGCUAUUUUGGAGUGAGUCAACUGACAGACAUUACAGCCACCAUUAG